rnacentral:lncRNA from 1 species
UAAAAAUUUCUACUUACGCUUGAGAGAGUAGUAAGUUAAUUAGGAAGAUAUUAGAUUGAUAUUUGAUAAUGAUGCAUACCUUUGAUUGGCUUAUGACUAUUAACCCAUUCAUUCCAGCCCUGGCUACAAUCCUGGCACAUCACUUUUCCACUCACGUGAAUGACUUCUGCUGGUUCAUCCCAAGCUGAGGCUACCGUGUUAUUGGUGCAACACAUUAGUGUUGCAAUCAUCAUCAAUACUAUUGUAAAUGCCAUCUUCCCUCUCAAUUCACAAGGAUUUAUGGUUAGAUUGACUUUAAAGGAGCAAAUAUAUAUAACAAAGCAGGGGUUAUUGUGUAAUUAAUUGGGAAUAAACGUGGAGGAGCACUACUAUCGGUUCUUGACGUGCAAUCCAUUAUUUAAUUUUUUAUAAUAUUAAUUAAUUACUAAUACUACCCAAUUAUCAUACUAGUGUAUUUUGGGAAAGUUCAAGUAUAUGUUUUGUUUGCGGUGCAUAGAUAAAAUCACGAUGAACCAAAUAUGUGUAGAGUGUAGUUACUACAAAAUUACAUUGGUUUAAAGUAAUGUUGUUAAUUUCACUACAAAAUCAAACAUAUAUUAAAUCUUUAAUUUCAUAAAAUAAGUGGAAACAAGUGAUUUUUUAUACAUGUAAAACAAACACGUUAUUAAUUUAUCUGUCUCUAAGACUUUGUCUCAAAAUUUUAGAUAAAUAAAAACCUCAAAAAAAUUCAAUUUCAUUAUAAAUAUAUUAAUAUAAUAUAUUAGUUAUAAAUAUUCACCUAAUUUAAUUGGUCAAAAUAAUAGCUCUAUAUUUUUUUAAACGCAUGUUCUAACUUGUACGUAGCAAAACUUGAUUUUUUUUUUUAAAGUCUCACUUUUUUUAUCAACCAAAAAAUAAUCCUAUUAUAACAUUUACUUUAAACAUAUAUUUGAUAAUAGAGUAAAGUUGUUAGAAUUAAAGUAAAUCAAUGUCAUUUGUUAAAAACUAUAAUUUGCAACUUUUGAAAAUUAGGACGAUUUACCGGACAAACUAAAUAUGUUAUUAUUGUAUACGCUUGUAUAAAAAGGAGUCUUGGCCCAAACAUCCACAUUUUUCUAAGAUGUACUGUUUAACACAAAUUAGAAAUUGUUUCUUUUUACAUACAAAUGAGAAUUUGUUACGACAAGUUUAUUUGGAUAUUUUACAUAAACUCAUUUGAGAUUUUGUGAGUCUAGUCAGUCACGAAUGUGAUAUGCACGCUAGUAAUAAAUAAAGGAGGUUAUAUAUAGUUGAAUUACAUAGGAAAAAAGCACAUGUUACUCAAAAAUAAGUGAACCAUAUAAUAUGGAGACGAAUCAAAGAAAUGCAUUCUCUACCUUGUACCCAAAAUAAGGAAUUGUUUUCAGGUUAAAACAACAGCAUCCUAAUCCAAGUUAAACCAUGACUCCAAAACUCCCAAUAGGAACGCAACACGCAAUAUAAACAUUAAUUAGAGCGCACACAAGCUGCCACAUAAAAAUCUUCCAAUCCUUAAUCUAUGCCGUAAAUUGUGUAACACCUAAAUCUUCGUAACAUCUCAUUCUCACAACAUCCCUUGGAAAAUUAAGUAGUAAUAAUUAAUUAAUUAAUUAAUUAUUAAAUUGACAUGAAACUCUUGGAAAAAGAUUUUGCUCCUAACCAAAGAGGAACUGUUAAAAUAAUUGCAGAAGAACCUGAUGAUGUAUGGCUUCUUUACAAUCUCAUUACCAUCGGCGACGUCGUUACCGCCGAAACCACACGCAAAGUCCACCUCGAAUCAACCAAAAACACCUCGUCACGUGUCAAACUCGCCCUUCAUCUCAAAGUCACGUGCCGCGACUUUCAAAAAGACUCUUCCACCCUCCGCGUACAUGGCCGCAAUCUCGAACCAAAUCAACAUGUUGCUGCCGGUUCUUUCCACACUUUAACCCUUGAAAGAAAUAAACCUUUUCACCUUGAAAAGAAAAAGUGGAGUCCACAAGCUGUUGAAACCUUAGCCGAGGUUACCGAUGAUUCAUCAUUUUCUUCUUCUGAUGCCAAUCUUCUUGUUGUUGUUCUUCAACAACACCAAGCAGAAAUUCACUUGCUUGGAAAACAAGUCACUACUCGUUGUUCCAAAAUCGAAGCCUCUUCCUCUUCACAUUCUCAUAAAAAAUCAUCUUCUUCCUCUUCAAACAUGUUUUUUCGUGAGGUUUUUGUUGCUUUCAUGAAGCACGUGGAUUUCAACAUUGUGAAAUGUGUGGUGAUAGCAGGGGAUAGCGACAGUAAUACAUCGAUAUCCCCUACUAUCUUUCGUAGAUUUCUUUUGUCAGAAGCGAAGAGGUUAAAGAUAAAAUGUAUCGAAGAGAAUAAAUCACGUAUUGUUGUGGUAGGGUCAAGAUGCAACAACGACAAAGGUAAUUGUGACUUUGACUUGAAGGAAGUUUUAAGUGAUGUGACCGUGAUGAAAUUGAUAAAGAACAACGAGUUAGGGUUAGAAAUUAGGACAUUUAAGGAGUUGUGGGAUAUGAUAUGCAACAAUUCGGAUCGUGUGUGUUAUGGAGCAAGGCAUGUGGAGAGUGCACAUGAGAUGAAUGCGAUUGAAACACUUUUGAUAAGUGAUGAUCUUUAUAGGAAUGAAGACACUGAAAUGAGGAAAAAAUAUGUGAGUUUGGUGAAAUCGGUGAAAGAGAGUGGAGGAAAGGCUUUGGUGUAUUCUUCUAUGCAUGUUUCGGCACCACAAUUAGCUCAGCUAACUGGUGUUGCUGCCAUUCUUAGGUUUCCAUUGCCUAGUCUUCAAGAUAUGGAUGAGGAUGAUGAUCAUGCAUGGAUAUAAUUACAAUUAUAAUACCUUAAUUAAAUUAAAUAUAUUAUAUGUCUAGCUUUUAUUUUUAUUUAAUCCCUUCCCUUGUUAAUAUCAUCAAAAAUAAAUUCUCAUUUGUACAUAUAUAUAUAUAUACAAUAAUGGUUGUAUUGUUGUGGUGAUGUAUAUAUCAUUUGUUUGACUCUUGACAAACCAUUUUCUCUCCAUUCCUAAAAGGAAAACAUUUUUUCUGAAAAUUUUAAAAGAAAUGACAUGUGAAAUCUAAUAUUUUAAUAAUAUAUUAUAUUAAUAUUAUAUAUAUAAUAUUAGUAUUUUAUUUAUUCCUUCAAGGAACUUACCAUAUUCUGUAUAAAUAUUUUUCAAAAUACUCUUUUAUGUAUAAAUAUGUACAAUUCAAUUCAGAUUUUUUAUUGCUUAAAAUACUUAAUUAUUAUUUUAUUAAUAAUAUUAAUUCAGAAUAUUUUUAAAAAUAAUAAUAAUAAUUAAGUGUUUUAGUAAUUUGAAAUAUAUAUAAUAUAUAUUUAAAGACAAUAUAUAAAAAAAGAGAGCAAUAUAAUUUAUUUAACUAAGGUUAUUAAAUAUUAGUAGUAGUAUAUUUAUCGUUGCCAUAAAUAUAAAAUAGAGUUACUAAUAUAUGUGAUGUAUAUAAUAUAAAUUAGAAUACAAUAAAAAAAAAUAAUGUCAUAUUGAAAAAUAAAAAUAACAAUUUUUAAAUACUUUUUUCUUUAUAAAUACUAUACUCGUUGUGGAUACUAAACAAACAUUAAUAAUUGCAUACUAAUGGGUAGUUUUGUAAUUUUGGAAAAGAUGAUUUAAUGGGUUAUCCAAACAUUGAUCUCUCUCAUGAAAAAAGAACUAUUGGCCGUGGAAGAGGGGUUUUCCGACAUGUCCCAUUCGUAGACGAAAAAUAAAUAUAAAAAAGAAGACUGAAAAACAAAACUAAAAUUCCAUUCUCCAUUGACUUGACCCAUUCACUCUCUUUUAAUUUCUCGCUAUUCAUGCUUUCUUUCAUUCGAUGCUGAGAAAAAAGCAGCACCAGCUACCAGCGCGUGACCGUUGCUAUUGAAAAUUAAAAUUAAAAUUAAAAAAUAAAAGAAAAAUGCGUGUUCCCGUGUUGGUGGCUUUCGCCGCAAUGGCGGUUACGGUUACGGUUGCAUACGGUGGUUUUCCGGGAAAUUAUCUUCCUCUUGAACGGACCAUCCCUCUUAACCACGAAGUUGAAUUAACGGCUCUCAGAGCUCGCGAUAGAGCUCGUCACGGUCGAAUCUUGCAAGGUGUUGGUGGCAUUGUCGACUUCUCAGUCCAAGGAACCUCCGAUCCUUACUUAGUUGGGUAACUAAUUCUUUUUCAUUCUUUCCAAAUCUUCCAUUUCUUGUAUCCGUUUUCUCAACAUUGAGUAGAGUAGUUUUUGAGAAUAUAAUGUAGUUUUUUGUUAUGAUAAUUAUUAUAUAGUCUUUAAAUUGGAUUAAUCUUUGUUUUCUUGUUUAGGUUGUAUUUUACUAAAGUGAAGAUGGGAUCUCCUGCUAAAGAAUUUUAUGUUCAAGUAGAUACUGGAAGUGACAUUUUGUGGCUUAAUUGCAAUACUUGCAGUAAUUGCCCCCAAUCUAGUGGCCUAGGGGUGAGAAUUAAUUUGUUGCUUUUGUUUCUUAUUCUGUUUACUACUAGUAAUUCAUUUGUUUAUUUUAAUUUAAUUGUCUAUUUUUAGAAUAAUUUUGUUAGUAUUGAUUUUUCAUUUUCUAAGUUUAAGGUUGCAUUAACUAUUUUUAUGGCAAUUGCACUCCUAUUAUUUAUUGCAAAGCGGGAAAUUGAUGCAAUUGAGAAGAUGAACUUUUAAGGGUAUAACUGAAGAAGGCUAAUAAUUUCGUCAAAAAUAACAAUUUAUUGAUUUUCUUUAUGAGUGUAGAUAUAUUUGGAUAUGGUUGGAUUGGUGUUUUCCCAUUUCAUUCCAUUGCACCCUAUGCCAUCAACCAAACAUCCAAACAUACCCUAAAAUUGUUGGUUAUGUUGUGCAUUUUGUAGAUUGAGCUCAAUUUCUUUGACACGGCUAGCUCGUCCACUGCUGCACUGGUUUCCUGCUCGGACCCAGUGUGUUCUUAUGCAGUUCAAACUGCUACAAGUCAGUGCUCUUCUGAAGUUAAUCAGUGCAGCUACACCUUUCAGUAUGGGGAUGGAAGUGGGACAUCCGGUUAUUAUGUUUAUGAUGCCAUGUAUUUUGACGUGAGCAUGGGACAGACUGUGUUUUCUAACUCUUCAUCUACCGUCGUUUUUGGGUGAGUCCUCAAUCCACAUGAUGAAAAGAACCCAUGUAAUAGUAUUGCGGAUCAAACUGACUGUUAAUGCAUACGUAUUAUAUAGCAAAUCUUGUCAAUAGGUCAAAUUUUGAUAUAUAAAAGAGAAUAAGGUAAAUAAAUGGGAUUUGUUUACUAUUUCAUCGAUUGCUUCUGUGGUGAAAGUUUGCCCAUUACUCCUAUGUUUAUUUUGGGAUUGGUAAUUGGUUUUAAUUGAUCUUAUUGGGAUGAUUGUUUGGGAAAUAGGUGUAGCACCUACCAAUCCGGGGAUUUGGCUCGGACAGAAAAGGCGGUUGAUGGAAUUUUUGGGUUUGGCCCUGGUGCUUUAUCUGUUAUAUCACAAUUAUCAUCACAAGGCAUGGCACCCAAAGUGUUCUCUCAUUGCUUAAAGGGAGAGGGCAAUGGAGGAGGUGUACUGGUUCUUGGUGAAAUUAUGGAGCCAAAUAUUGUUUAUACCCCACUUGUUCCAUUACAGUAUGUUCUCUCUUCACUUUCUUCCUUGUUUUCUUCUCCCAUCUCAGUUUGAAAAUUUUUUUCCCUAAUAUUGCAUGACAUUGAUAUGAAGGCAAAGUAUAUGUUCUAUUCAUUUCUGCAUAAAAAUUCUGAAUCUUGGUAUUUGCAUCACUUUCAAAGAUUAAUUGCUUGUUUGUAACUAUGAGAUAAUCACUUUGAAAUUUAUUAAAUUGGUAUAAUGUUUGGAUGACAUAAUGAAACAUAAAAUAAGCACUGCUAGUUAUCAUCUUAAAACUUAAAGUUAACUAAUGAAUCACCAUUUUGUACCCCUUAGCUUACAUAAAAUCUCUAGUUUUAUUUGGUGCAACAUUUUAAUGUUUGGAAUGUUAUUAAUAUGUCAUCUUUUAAUCUCGAUUACAAUUUUCUGAAAGGCAACCUUCCAUUUCAUUGUACUUAGCCAAAUGUUUAGAACAGCAUUCUUAUAACAAAAGUAAUAGGCCUGCAUAUAUUGUAUGUCUGGCUUGGUGCCUCUUGCGGAGAACAAGGUUUUCUUGGUUUCUUGAUACAGUAUUCUUAUGAUGGGUUCAACAUUCUCCCAGCACAGAUCUUGGUUUCUUUUCAUGCGCUUCUAUGGUAAAAGUUUACAUGCCAUACCCUUGGUAAAUGAAUGUGAAUCCUGGAAGUAGUAAACCAUUUUUUUCAAACCCUGGCCUUAACAGUUCAUUGUUUUCUGAGCAAAAUGAACAUGCAUCGGUUUGUUGUAAUAAAUAUCUCAAAAUAUAAAUGAUAAUAUACUACGCAUUUGCUCUAAUUUAAUGAAAUAACUUUUGAAUUGAAUGUAGAAAGUGGUAUGGCUCACAAUCGCUAAGAAAGUUGAGUUCUUAAAAUGCUUGUCGUGCCAGUUACCAUUAUCAAAUAACUUGCAGUUUAUAUCAGUGUGUUGAUCUGUGCUUAUAUCAGACAUUGUGCUGGGUGUUGAUCGAAUUUCAGGCCUCAUUACAACUUAAAUCUUCAAAGUAUUGCUGUCAAUGGACAAAUUCUCCCAAUUGAUGAAGAUGUAUUUGCAACAUCUAACAAUCGAGGAACUAUAGUUGAUUCUGGUACUACAUUAGCAUACCUUAUUCAAGAAGCUUAUGAUCCUUUUCUCAAUGCUGUAAGUUCCGUUUUACCUCUCUUGAACUUUUGAAACACUACACUUUGUUGUAGCUAAGUCCCAUGAUUUUAUUUCCAUUCUCCCAAUUAAUUUAUUUGGGCACAUAAAAUCUGGUAUAUGACCCUAGGUAUUCAUACUUAAUAAAAUUAAACAGUAGUGAUUAAUAACGAAAAGGUUUUUCUAUGUCAAUCAGAAAGUCGGAUUGUUUAUUUAAGGUUGUCCUCAAUUUUAAACAUCUUCUAGUUAAUCAAAUGUCCAAUACUCAAUGAUAGUUAAGGUCUAUAUGUCCUCAACAUCACAUUAAUCUAUUACACACCCACUAAUCUAUUUGCACAAUCUCUUCCUUUAAAAACCAAAUCACAUUGACCAAGGUACUCACGAUAAUCAAUUGCUUACCUCAUAAAUCUGAGAGCUUUUUUUCACACCCAUAAAACCCUUUGUUUUGUGAAAACAGGGUAGAUUAAAUAUGAUGUUGGUAACAAUGGCCAUCUAUCUAGACAGUUAGGUACUUCAACUUUGCUGUAUUUUUAAAAAGAACCUGACUAUACUAUGAUGAAGUUACAAACAGGUUUGUAUUAAAACUUUGUGCCAUUGCGGGAAGAGAGGCUGUAUGUCCAUGAGUUAACUUUAUUGCAGAAUUUUGAAACAAAGUGUUUACCUGAAAAAUAGUGGACCCCUUUCUAAUGUUUCUGUUACCAGGAUCCAGUAUUCACCCAAGAGUCCAAAUAUAGCAUUGUAUCUUGAUUCCAGACGCCUGGAUAUAUGUGAUUAGCCGCAAAGAUUUCGUUGACUGUAAUUUUGUGUUUACAAAAAGUGGAACUGCGAUAUCAAUAAAUAUAUGGACGUUACAGUAUGUGUUGGACAUUGAAGAAUGAGAAUUUAAUUUGUAUUCAAAAUUUUAUUUUCUUCAAUAGGGUGUGUUUGGCUUAUUUAUCUUGUGUUUUGAAUCAUUAAGAAAUGAUCUUGACCUUUCCCAUAUUUUAGAUAUGAUAUUACAUGCACUGAUGUUAAAUAUCUCAUUGAAUGUGUAGAUAACUACCGCUGUGUCACAGUUUUCCAAACCCAUUAUUUCCAAAGGAAACCAGUGUUAUCUGGUCCCAACCAGGUAAUUUCAAUUCUUCUAACUCAAUUUUUUAAUAAAAGAUAUUUAAUUCUCUAUUUCUAUUUGAUCAUAAAAAAUAUAUUUUGUGCUGUUAUGAUUUCUAAGAUGUCAUUUCAAUUUUUGCUCAUUCAGCCUAGGUGAUAUAUUUCCUCCAGUCAGUUUAAAUUUCAUGGGUGGAGCAUCCAUGGUUUUAAAACCAGAACAGUAUCUUAUACAUUAUGGUUUCCUGGUAACUAUGUCUUUCUCUUUGUUUGAUCACUUUCUUCUUCUUGUCUAAGUUCUUCUGAAUUGAAUGCCACUGAUAAUAGUCCAAUCCGCUACUUUGUCUUUUAUAGGAUGGUGCUGCAAUGUGGUGCAUUGGUUUCCAAAAAGUGCAGAAGGGAUUCACAAUUUUAGGAGGUUAGAAGCUGGAAAAAAUAUUUUAACAGAAUAAAAUCUACAAGGAGUUAAUUGUGUAUUUUCAAAUUAAUUUCUGUUUAGAGGUUUCAUCUUGUAUUUUCAUGUUUAUUUUGUGUUAAUUAUGCAUAAAAUCUAUCAGGUCAUUAUUUUAGUUGUCCAGUAUUUUUAGUAUUGGGUUUUAUCAACUAAGUUGUUAGUUCUUUUGCAGAUCUUGUUCUAAAAGAUAAGAUUUUUGUAUACGACUUAGCUAAUCAACGAAUCGGGUGGACUGACUAUGAUUGUGAGCUAACCACAUGAUUAUUUCCUUUGUUGCAUAUAUGCUCCUUUACCUUGUCAUAAUCCUAAAUCGGUGCUUGCUGCUCAGGUUCCUUGGCUGUAAAUGUCUCGAUGGCUACGAGCAAGAGUAAGGAUGCAUACAUCAAUGCAGGACAGAUGCGUGUCAGCUCCUCCCACAUUGGCAUUCGCUUCGAGUUGGUACUUGUAAGCAUUGUGGCUUUUCUUCUGCAUAUAAUAGUUUUCAUGGAGCCCCAGUUUUUGUAGAUAAUGUUCAAGAGUCAAAGCUCAACCUUAGAAAAAUUUACCGGGGUUGGCCGAUGUUUUAUUUGUUGUCGGCAUACCCUUGAUACCUUUCCAAUUAGUACAAGGAAAAUGCGGAUCUCACUGUAAAGGGGCUCUGUUGUUGAGAAAUGGAGAAUUAGUAUAUUAGUAGAGUUCUGAAGUAGAUUGAAAUUGUACUAUUUAUAAACUGCUCUGACUGCAUAAAAAAAGUUCACCUUCGGGGUUGUGAUUUUAAGCCAGUGUUUAGUGUAUACAAAUGUCAUUCUUUUUUUAUUGUGAAAUGUUGGUUGUUAGUAUGUUAUUUAGUUGACAAAGUUUGAACUUUAGACUUUCUUCUCAAUCUCUUUUGGAUGUCCCAACUCAACCAAUGUAUUGGCAUUACGAAUGUUAUAUAAUCAUGAUUUUCUGUUCCUGGAGUUAUAUUGUAACAAUGUAUUGGCAUGAGAACAAACAAAAAUGAUUUAAGUUCUUUAUUUUAUUUUUUAUAAUAAGCAACAAAUUUGUUAAUCGAAUGUAAAGAAAACCUGACAAUAACUUUUAGAAUAGAAAGAUUAUUAUUAUUUUUAUUUAUUUAUUACUUAUCUUUGACGGGGGAAUCUCCACAUGUACAAUUGUGAACUAAAAUUAACACUCAACCAUGGUGGUUAGGUAAAAUUGUCCUAGAAUGGGGUAUUAUUUUAUCUUGGAUGUAAAGCUUAGGAGAGUCCACGUCCACUCAAACAAUCACUGUUGUGUUGUAACUGUAAUUCAAUGGUAGUUAGUGGCAGUUAAAGUAGUUAGCUAUGAAUGUUAUUCGUAUACUGCGUUCACAGGCCAUCUUAUGUGGGUACCCCUUUCUUUUGCAAUCGUGAGAUUAAUUUAAGUUAUUCGUAUGUAAACUCACGUUUGAUUAACCAAAAGUCUGAUAAUAUAUUCAUUAUUAUCAUAAAUAAAUAUAUCAAAUUUAUUUUAACUAAAUUAGUAACAUCGUAAUGCAUUGAACAACAAUGAUUAUAGCAGUUGCCAUUAUUAGACAUUUACAUAUAUGUAUAUACAAAUAAAAAAACAUCAAAUGUUCAAAAUGCUUAUUGUUAGAUAUAUCGAAUGAGAAGUAUGUAUAAUGAAAACAUAUUAAAAAUAUUACAAAGUAAUAUUUAGUUAACUUUCUCAACAUAGUUUACAUUUUAAACAAUUAACCUGAAAAAAAAUGGGUACAUAGUUAUUUAUUAUGAGUAAAAACUUAUAGACUAAUUCCCAAAAAAAACUUACAGAUUAAUUAAUAAUAUUAUAAAAAUAAUAACUCUUUACAAUUUAUAAUAAAACUUAGGCUAAACUACAUUCGUGGUCCCUUAACUUAAUUUCAGGUAACGUUUUAGUCUUUUAUCUUUUUUUUUUUUUUUCUUGGGUUGGUCCUUUAUUUUAAUUUUAAGUGACAAUUUGAUAUUUUAUGUUUUAAAAUGUCAACAAUGUUGUCCUUUUUUUUUUUACAAAAAUUUAAAAAAAUCAUCAAAAUUUUCAACCAAAACCCAUAAAAUUAAUAAUCAUCUUCAAUAUAAUGCAAAUUUUAUCAAAUCCAUAACUCAAAUAUUCAAAUACACUCAUAUUUUCAUCUCCAACAACAUCAAAUAAAAAAUGAAAUAUGAGUUUAUUUCAAGAUUUAAGUUAUGAAUUUGAUUAAAUUUGUAUUUUAUUGAAGGUGAUAAUGAAUUUUAUGGGUUUAGUUUGAAAAAUUUGAUGAUUUUUUUAAAUUUUUGUAAAAAAAAAAAGGACAACAUUGUUGACAUUUUAAAACAUAAAAUAUCAAAUUGUCACUUAAAAUUAAAAUAAAUGACCAACUCGGGAAAAAAAAAUAUAAAGGACUAAAACGUUACCUGAAAUUAAGUUAAGAGACCGCGGAUGUAAUUUAGCCUAAAACUUAUCAUAUAUUAUUUUGUUUAUUUUAUUUUAAAAUUAAUUUGUAAGUAUUAUUAUAAAUAAACUUAUGCAACACGUACACAUAUCACCUUUAGUAUAAUAAAAAAAAUGAAAAUGGAAAUAUGAUCCUCUCCUCUAUUAGUAGUAGGGUUGUACAAAAAAUCCGAUUAUGAGACACAAAUCUAAAACUGGAUUCAAAUCAAUUUUAAAUAUCCAGUUAAAAUUAUAUGGUUAUAAUCCGGUUUAUUUAUAAACCGGUUGGAUAACUACUUAUGUUUUAUAUUUGAAUUUGGUUUUUAUCUGAUUUUUAUCCACUACCAAUAUUUUGCUAAUUUUGAGAUUUUAUUUCUUGAAAAAAAUUUAAAAUUUAUUUUUUUUCGAAAAAAUAUCAGAAAAAAAUAAAAAAAUCUUUUUUUUUUCUCAAAAAAAUUGGUGAGAAUCUUUUUAAAAAAAUUUAUUGAAAAAAUCGAUUUUUUUAAAUAAUCGAUUUUUAAACUAUGAAUAAAUUAUUUUUAAAAAAAUAAUCAAAUUUUAACCGAUUUUGAAAAAAAAAAUCAAUUUUAAAAUUAAAUUUUUUAAAAUCGACUGCUUAAUUAUAAACUGGUUAUUUAACCAUAACCAAUUUUACAAUUGAUUUUAUAACCGAUUUUAAACUAAAUAAUGAAUUUGAUUAUAAAUUUAAUCUAUAUAUUAAUUUUAAAAUGAAUAUAGUUUGAUUUGUUAAAAAAAUCAACCAUGAACAACCCUACCUAUUAGGGUUUUAAAUUUAUAUUACAUUCAAUUUUUUAUUCCAAACCUUUUCACUAUAUUAAUGUGAAUUUGUUUCCUAAGAAUUAAUUAUAUUUUGUAUGCAACUGUGAGCUUAUCCGCAAUUGAUUCAGAGUCUUCCAUUGUCAACUUUAGAAUUUUAAAACAAAAAAAAAAACACUAAAAACUUAAAUUGUUUUAAAGUCAACAAUAAUUAGUGUUUAUAAUUCCAUAAAGUUAACAUUAUCAUUAUCACUACUAUGUUUAACUAACAUUGGUUAUCAAUGAACCAGAAGUUACGGUUAGGGAGGCAAAAGCGCCAUAAUUGCUUAUUUCCUUAUGACCUUAGAAUGAAUUCAGGAUGAUUGAAGAUUUCUUUUGUUUUCUGAAAAUUUGUGUGGCUGGAAUAGUGUCUUAAACAAUAUUAUAGGAUUGUUACCAAACUCUAACAAAUAAAAUAAAAUCUCAAAAAAAUUUAAAUAAAAAGAUUAGAAUCUAGAAAGUGAUUUUUCUUGUCCAAGAUUAGAGGGUGAAAUUGAACGCAAUGUUUUGCAUUUUGUUUUGUUUGAAACAUUCUCCUUUUCAUUCUUCAACGCUCUUAUAUCCGUUUCUUUCUCCCUCGAUCCUUUUUUUUUCCUUUCAUUUUUUGCGAACAAAUUUGUCAGUUGCUCUAAAUAUUUUUUAGUUUGUCCUUUUACUUAUAUACACGCGCCACUCUCUCUCUCUCUCUCAUCAUCUUAACCAUUCACCAACUUUCUGUCUAAAUUCGGACAACAUUCGGAUUAUAGUGCUUUAAAUGGAUAAUAUAAUUGGCAAAUUGUGACAUUAUUUCCACCAUAGUAGUAACUUUUUUUUUUCGAAAAAUCCACCAUAGUAACUAUAGUGCCUUAAAUGUAAAUUAAAAAAACAAACCAUAGUGCCUUAAAUUGGUAAGAUUAAUUGACAUCGCCAAAAGUGAGUAGGACUACAAUAGCAGGCUAGGCUAGAAUAUACAUUGACAUAAAAAAAAGUUUCCCAUUUUAAUAUCUUCUACCACAUGCUUCAAUCUCAAUGCACUAUUUGGCAGUGUGUUUUCAUUGUUGUUAAUAAGGUAAGAAAAAACUAUCAUUUGAUUGUUUGCGUAUCAAUAUUAAUUACAUACAAAUUAAAUAAGAUAAACUUCGAGAAAACACUUGUUUUCUAGUGCCACUUAGAAAAUAUCUUUUUGACUAAUAUGCAUUCAUUUCUAAAUAUAUUUAUUUAUUAAUUGCAAAAUUAAAUUAUUCAGCCUAAAAUAUAAUGCCGAAUACUAAAUGCAUGUUACAAACUUAAACAACUUUUUUAGUUAAUAUUUUUGUAGUUUAACUCAUAUUCAUUUGAAUAAUUUAUUUUUAAUUAUAGUUUAUUAAUUAUUUAAACUCAACCGAUUAUCUAAUAAAUCAUUACUUUCCCAUAAAUAUAUAUUAUAAAACAUACUAGUAUUCAAGAGUUAUUAUAUACAAUAAAUAAUAAAAAGUUUAUUUAAAUCCAAAAAAUGAUCAAAGCAGUAUUUGUAGAAGGUGUAGCAACUAAGUAGCAGGCACAGCAUUGACAUUUAGUUGAUGAGGAGCAAAUUUCCAUGAAUAUAAUAAUUAAUUAGUAGUAAUUAAUAAACAAUGAAGAAAAAACAAAGGUCAAAGGGUAAAGAAUUGAAGAAGGAGCGAGUGAGAAAUACAAUAUGUAAUGGCGCGUGAGAAAUAUUGUUAUGUUUUGAUAUAGUACCUGAACGGCCAUGCAUGCCGAGUCCCUCCUACACUCACUCACUCUCACACACACCACCCUCUCUCUCUCUCUCUCUCUAUUUCUCUCUCGCUCAUAUCAUAUUCAUUCUCUCUCACACAUCACCCACACACAUUCACAUACAUAUACACACAUUCUUUCUUUCUCUCCAAUUUCUCUUUCAUUUUCCAUUUCCAUUUUCAUUUUCAUUUUCUCUUAUUUCCUCAUUAAAACCGAUUGUUCAAUGGCGGUUCCUCCCUCGGUCGCCGCCACUCCGGCUUCUCUUUACGUCGGCGACCUCCAUCCCGAUGUCUCCGACGGACAGCUUCACGAAGCCUUCUCUGAUUUCAAGACUCUCGCUUCUGUUCGCAUUUGCAGAGACUCUUCCACCGCCAAAUCACUCUGUUAUGGCUACGUCAACUUCCUUUCUCCUCAAGACGGUAAAAUAUCAUUAACCUUCAUCGUUUCUUUUCCAGUUCUUUCUUUCUUUCUUUAGGUUUUCUAAUCUAGCGAAUUAGUGUAUUAUUUCUUGAUAAUAAUAAUAAUAAUGAGGAGGAGGAUUCUUGCUGUUCUUUUUUUUCUUUGAAUUAUGAGAUCUUGAUUUUGAAUUGCAUUGUUUAGUUAGUGUUUUCUUUUAUUACCGAUAAAAUAAACGGAAAGAUUUAAAAUCGGUUUCAUCAUUUUUCUGUUAUGAUGAUGAAUGUUAAAGAGAGAGAAAUGUAAGUGAUCAAGAUCUGAGUGUGGUUACUCUGUUAAUGCUAAUGUUCUAUUUGGUUUGGUCAUGUAGCAAUUAAUGCGAUUGAGCUGAAGAAUCAUUCUACAUUGAAUGGAAAAGCGAUAAGGGUCAUGUGGUCGCGUCGUGAUCCUGAUGCAAGGAAAAGUAGCAUAGGGAACGUGUUUGUUAAGGUAUCUACGGUUCUUUGAUUUGAUAUGGUUUUUGACCGGUGUUUGCUGUUCGUUAUUGUUUCUGAAAGGGGAUUUCUGGUUUUGUGGCAGAACUUAGCUGAAUCGAUAGAUAAUGCUGGAUUAGAAGAUAUGUUUAAAAAGUUUGGCAAUAUUUUGUCAAGCAAAGUUGUCAUGUCUGAGGAUGGGAAGAGCAAAGGAUAUGGCUUUGUUCAAUUUGAAACAGAGGAAUCUGCAAAUACUGCUAUCGAAAAGCUGAAUGGCUCUACUAUUGAUGAUAAGCAGAUGUAAGUGAAAUUCUGCAUUGUUUUGUGGUAACUUUUUCAUGUCUGUAUAUAUGUUCAUGCUUUGAAGUUUAUGAUUCUUGGUCCACAGUUAAUUGACGUAUUCAAUUUCUGUACUCCUGUUAUUUCCUGAGAUUGAUUUUAAUCUGAUUAUAAUUCUUGUCACAGAUUUGUUGGGAAGUUUGUCAAGAAAAGUGACCGCGUUAUGUCUGGCCCUGAUGCUAGAUAUACAAAUUUGUACAUGAAGAAUUUGGACUUAGAUAUUACAGAAACACUUCUGCGGGAAAAGUUUUCCUCUUUUGGGAAAAUUGUUAGCUUGGCUGUUGCAAAGGACAACAAUGGGAUGUCAAAGGGUUUUGGCUUUGUGAACUUUGAUAACCCAGAUGAUGCUAAAAGGGCAAUGGAAGCAAUGAAUGGAUCACAACUUGGUAGAUAGUUAAUCUUUUACUGUGUUGGUUUUCGGCUGGUAAAGUUGAAAUUUCUUGAUGUUGAUCCUAUGUAUUAUCUGGUUUUGAUUUGUUUCAACAGGUUCAAAGAUUCUGUAUGUAGCCAGGGCACAAAAGAAGGCUGAGCGUGAGCAGAUCUUGCACCAGCAAUUUGAGGAGAAACGGAAGGAGCAAGUCAUGAAAUAUAAGGUAAUUUCUUUACCACUCUCUUAUAUUUAUGUACCCAUUUUCUCUUCAGUUGUCUUAGAAUGUCAUCAUUUAACUUCCAGGGGUCAAACAUUUAUGUGAAGAACAUCGAUGAUAAUGUUAGUGAUGAAGGACUGCGAGAUCAUUUUAGUGCAUGUGGCACUAUAACUUCUGCAAAAGUUAUGCGAGAUGACAAAGGGAUUAGUAAAGGAUUUGGUUUUGUGUGCUUCUCCACUCCUGAGGAGGCCAAUAAAGCUGUGAAUACUUAUCAUGGUAAGUGGGUUAAGUUGUUGAAGGGAUGUGUUACUGCACAAUACAUGCUUCACAGUAGUUCAGUUUUCUGGUGAUGAUAUGAAUAGGAAAAUAAAUGCAUGGUGUAAGCUCCAAUAAAAGAAUGUAAGAAAUACAUGAUAUAUUUAUAGGAUUUCAAUUUGAGAGAUUAGAUUUAUUCAUCAUGUACCUUUCUAUUAAAUGAAUAUUGACAAGCAUCAACGUUUAUAGUUCUUUCCUUCUGUUCAUUUUAUUUCGAAGGAUCUGAUAAUUACUAUGAAAGAUCAGUAGAACUCUCAGUGUUGUGUCCUGUAUCGUUACCAGGAUUCCUUUUCAAGGGUUUUAUUUGUAAUUUUUCUGUUUCAUUUUUCUGUAUGUUUUUUGGUGGGGGUGGUUGGUGAAGGUUCCUUUGUGUACACUUAACUGUGUUUUUGGAUUGAUUUUAGAAAUUUAAUUCUUCUUUAAAAGAAUUGAAAAGAGUUUCUCGGCUAUCCAUUGGGUUUAUCACUUUAUGGGAUAAAGCUCCUAAAAAGAGUUUGUAAGUUUCAUAAGUAUAUAUCAACACUUUAUUAAAUUUAAAUCACGUUGUCAUCUUAAUCCACUUAAAUUGAAGGUUGAAUAUAUCCUUAGCUGCAUCUUUUAACAAGAUCAUUUUAGAGGAGCUUUUUCCAGGUUUAUGAUAUGAGACACAAUCAACCCUACAUGUUAAUGCAAAUAAAGGAUACUUGAUAAAUCUGAAUAUAUUUUGUAUACUGGUUUGGAACUGAAGAUCUUGCAAAUUUUCAUCUCUGCCUCUUUAAAGCUUUUUUAUUUGAAGAUUUUCUAAUACUUUUAUGUAAAUUACAUUUAAAUUUAACACUAUUUUAUCUGCAAUGACUUUACUGUCUAAUUAAAUGAUAUUAUUUAUAUGAUGCAGGAUUCAUGUUUCAUGGUAAACCACUAUAUGUUGCUCUUGCUCAGAGGAAAGAGGACAGACAAGCACAGUUGCAGCUCCAGUACGCACAGCAAAUUGCAGGACUAGCUGGGCCUUCAACUGCCAUUGUCCCUGGUGGAUAUCCUCCUUACUACUACACAGCUACUGGUGUUGUUUCACACGCGCCUCCUCAAGCCGGGCUCAUGUAUCAACCUCUGCCAUUGAGGCCUGGAUGGAGGGCUAAUGGCUCUGCACCUCCUGUUAGAUCAUUUCAACAGUCACCCAUACCUGUUGUAAGUAACAUCUUUGUUAUGAACCCAAUAAGUAUUGCAUUCACUUUUUCAUGAUUUUUUAAUUAGGAUUCUGGGAAAAUGAAAAAAGGAACUUUCAGGAAAAAAAAAAUUAGCAUGGAGGAACUAAAUUGCAACAGUAAUUUUAUUUGGAGAAAUUGCUCCUAUUUCAAUGGUGGCAGUUUAAUGAGUCAUUUAUAUUAAUGCCUUUCAUUCGCAGGCUUCUAAUAAUACUAGACAGCAUAGGCAAAAUAGGGGCAGGAUGAAUGGGCAUGCAGUAUCACAGGGAAAUACUCACUCUGGUACAUAUAUGCCACAAGCCCAGCAGGCUUCUCAGUCAGUGAUUUCUCCAAGAGAGUCAAGUACUCAGCAGGUUUUUUCUUUCUUACUUUCUCUUGCCCCCCUUUUCACUUAUAGAACAUGAUUCUAACAUGUUAAAAAUCUGUUGUAUCUGUAAAUGUUUGAUGCAUUUCACAUUUAUUUCUCUACACAACUGUCAGGUCUCACGGAGGUGCCAAUGCUACUUGUUUUUCUGAAAAACACUUUAAAAUGCCCUAAAAAUAAUUCCAAACUGAGCAUGAACUCAGGACUUGAAAAAUUUGUUUGUUUAGAUUUGAUAUAAAAUAGUGGAGAUGUCUGGAUUUUAUUUCAAAACAUGUGCUUUGAUCCCUUUCUAUGCAUGUUUUUCAUAGUUGUGUUCUCAAGUUUGUCUCCUUUGCAGAGAACCGGACAGGCUAAGUACGUACCUAGUGGACGCCACCGUGAUAUGGAAAAAGGAUCUGGAUUCUCAUCUGGUGGUUCAAACUCUGGCGGAAGCUCCCAGGGAACAGGAGUGCUCCAUAGCAUGCUUGCUAAUGCUACUCCAGAGCAGCAGAAGGACAUACUUGGCGAGCAUCUAUACAUGCUUGUCCAAAAACUCAAGGUACUAUUCUCUUUUGUUGGGUAUUUGAGAUUGGGCUUUUUAAUUCUUCAAGUAUACUCACUAAGCUAUCUUGAGCAGCCUAACCUAGCAGCGAAGAUUACUGGGAUGCUUCUGGAGAUGGACAAUGCAGAAUUGCUGGUUCUCAUGGAAUCGCCAGAGUCUCUUUCUGCCAAGGUGGAAGAAGCUUUCCAAGUGCUGAAGAACUCUAAAACUAAAGUUUCUGGCCAGGAAGUACUUCAUUCGAAUUUCUUCUCAGCUGAGGUUGCAGUGAACUGAAGAUGUUUGAAGCAUAGAUUGAAUCUAUACAGUGUAUUUCCUCAUGAAAAUAACUUUUUAUUUUUCCUGCCUCGGAACUGACUAGAAUUGGUAGUAAUAGUAAAAUUUAGGGAAAAUUUGUUUUGAAUUUUGAUUACACGGAUUAACUUCGAUGAAUUUUGAUUCAAUAUUUUCAUUUUCGUCAAUAUGCUGCUGCUGUCCAUACAGGGUACUUUUCUGUUAUAUGCAUGAACACAGAUCUGAAUCCAGUAAUAUGCAAACACGUCACACUUUUCUACAGUCAAUAUAAUUUAAUCACCAUAGACAAUCAGUAACCAAGACCAGAAGUCAUAUUGGGUCCCGACUAAUCCAAGUCAAAGUCGCGUGGAUCCAUGUAGAGGGAUAAAACUCUAUUAGCAUAGUUUCUUAUUCACAAAACUCAAUUAGUUCUUAUUUAUGGACAUUUAAGUUCUUUGCCAUUUAAGACCAAAUAGUAGUUUGUUAUAAGGAAAAAGAGUGGUAGCAUUCAAACACCCCAUUGACAUUUAGAGUAAAAAGAAAAAGAGAGUAAUCCGAUUGAUGGACUAUGUUAGUGAAGUGAUAGGAACCUGAUAAAUAGAAACAAAAUUAGGACCUGAAUGAGUGAAUGAAAAUUAUGGAAGUACAAAUAUUAGUGUCUUAGUGUCUGUGUUUUAAAAAGCAAAGGCAUAAAUAUAAUGGAUCGAUUAUGUAUUUGCUAUUUUAUUUUAGACAUAUUCCAAAUAUAUGGAUUUGUGUUAAAAAUUCAAGAGAAAUCGUCUUCUCAUCCAUUCACCAUAUGUGAAAUUUCUGGUCUGUAAUUUUUUAGGUGAAUGUGAAACUUUCGAAAGUCAAUUUUUUUAAAAGUUGAAAAAAAAUGAAUGCAUUUUUUUUCAGAAAUUCUUUUUAAAAUUUUCAAAAAAAUUAAAUUAAUGUGAACUUUCUUAAAUGCAAUUUUUCCAUAAUUUAAAAAGAAAAAAUUGGAUGAACACAAAACUUUCAAUGUGCACAUUUUUAAAAGGAGACACCCCCUAAACCAUGUAAAAAGACAAUUUUAUUCUUUUAAUCACAUAAAAGUUUGAAAUUUUUUCACCUCCCACUUUUUCAUCCCACAUAUACGAAAAUUUAACAACUAAUUUUUCAAAAAUUUUGAAACUUUGAUUGAUUGUUAAACUAUCAAACUAAUAGGUGAGUUAAUUUUCGAAACUUUUGUGUAAUUUGAAGUUAUCGAAAUGUAAAAACUGUUUUUGAAACUUUCACAUUUAAAAUAAGUUUCGAAAUUGAUCAUUUUGAAAGUUUGAAACUGUUAGUUUCUUAAGUUUUAAAUUUUUGAAAUGGGUGAUUUUUUAAGUUUUUAAAAAUCAAACUUUUAAAAUAGAGAUUACAUUUCGAAAUUUUCAGUUUUCAUUAAAGUUUCGAAAUGUAAAAUAAUUUUAUUUAAAAAUAGUUAAAUUUUGUAUUUAAAAUAUAAGUAUUAAUUAAAUUUAGUAUAUUGUUUUAAAUCAGGCAUAAGUAGAGUUGAGGGUGAAGUUCAUGCUACAUCGUCGACCAUAGAUUCUGCAGAUAAAUUCACGACCGAUCACAAGAAAAAAUCAACUGUAACUUGUUAUCACAAGAAAAAAUGUUCAUUCAAACUCAAAUGUAUACCAUUAAUUAUCGUGAAUGACGGAAAAUUAGUGUUUGUUGUGGAACACACAAUCACGAUUUAGCGUAUACUUUAACCAAUCAUUCAUAUUUUGAGCGUUUAAUGAAGAGAAGAGAAAAUUUGUUAAUGACAUGACAAAUUAUAAGCUUGCACCAAUAUGUAUUUUGAAUGCUUUGAAAGAGAAAAAUAAAAAGAAUCUCACAAUUUUCACUCAAAUAUAUCAUCUAUUAAAAUUAAUACAUAAUGAAAAUUAUGUGCAUUGGACAAGAAGGUGGGAGGAUUCAUUUUUGAUAGACAUAUUUUGGACGCAUCUUGAUCGUAUAAAGUUGUUGAACAUGUUUCAUUUUGUUUUGAUAUGUGAUAACACAUACAAAACAAAUAGAUAUCGGCUACCAUUGCUUGAAAUUGUCGAUGUAACAUAUAAUGGGUUAACAUUUUCUGUUGCAUUUGCUUACUUGGAACAAAAGCUACAAGAUAAUUUCAUUUGGGCAUUUAAAAAGGUAAGACGAUUGUUCGUCUAUGAGAAUUUAAUUUUUAAAUUUAUUGUGACCGAUAGAGAUCUUGCUAUGAUAAGUGUUAUUGGUGUUGUAUUUCCUACUUCAAUUAAUUUGCUAUGUCGUUUUCAUAUUAAAAAAAAUGUUGGGGGAAAAAUGAAAAUAAUAUGUGAAAAAGAAUAGACAAGAUGAGGUAAUUGAUUUAUGAAGAAAAAAAAUUGUAUUUUCAACUAAUGUAAAGAAGUAUGAUCAUCACAUACAACACUUUGAGUUAGUGUGUGCCGAUAUUAUCUUUUUUGUUGAUUAUAUUAAACAUUAAUGGUUCACACCUUACAAAGAAAUAUUUGUCUGGGCUUGUACCAAUAGAGUGAUGCAUCUAGGGAAUACAACGAUCAACAUGUACUUUUAAAUUAUGAUUUGUUUUAGAAAUAUGAUUUAGUAAUUUAUGGGAUUUGUUUUGAUUUGUGUUAUUUAAAUUAUUUGUAGAGUUGAGUUUGCUCAUUUGAGAUUGAAAAAUAUGCUGUAAACUAGUAAUGGAGACUUGUGUAAAAGUUGUGUUGACGUGAAUAUGAUGUUGAAAAACCAAACGCAUAGUAUCAAAUCAUCUUUUCAUAAAAUGGUUAUCGAUGUUGAGUAUGGGUAUAAGUCACAAUUUUAUCAAAGAUUGCAUCCACCUCCUGAACUUGUAUUUUCACAUACAACAAUAAUGCAUCCACCACCUGAUGAAAGUGAAACCAAAUGAGCUACUAAAAAGAGAAAAUAAUUUGAUGCUCCUCGUGAUCCUUCGUAUUGGGAGUAUGUUGAUGCCUCUUAGGGAUCUCCAAAGCAACCAUCUCAACAUUUUGCAAAACAACCAUUUCAAGAAUCUGCAAAGCAACCAUCUCAGUGUUAUGUAAAUCAACCAUCUUAGCAUUAUGCAAAGCAACAAUCUCAAGAAUAUGCAAACCAACCAUCUAAGAUACAUUUUUCUACUUUUAUUCAUCAAUAUAUCGAGGACAUAAUAGAUGUUGUGCUUGAUGAAAAUUGUGGUUAUCGCGCAGUUGCAACAUUAUUAGGUUGGAUGAAGGAAUUUUGGCCUUUAGUACAAACACAUUUGGAUAAAGAGAUCAAUCUACAUCAAGAUCUUUAUUCAAAUAUUUUCGAUGACAACGUUGAAACAAUGUAUAACUCAUUAAAAAUUUCUAGUUUGGAUGCUCAAAAAAAAGAUAAGUGGAUGACUAUACCAGAGUUUGGUUACGUGAUAGCGACAAGAUAUAGUGUCGUUUUAGUGUCAUUGUCUCAUUAUUUGAAUAUGAAAUUAUUUCUGCUAAAUAAAUCACCAUUGAAUGAUUUUUCUCUUAAUUAUUUAAUAGCAACUGGAUUUGUCAAUGAAAGUCAUUGGAUACAGAUAACAUCUAUGAUUCAUAGUAUUGUUUAAUAGUAAGUUAAUGUUCAAUAUUAUCUCAUUCGUAUAAACUAAUGUUUAAUAUUUUCUUGGUAAAAUAAAAUUGAAGUCUGAUUGUCAUUUGUCACCCACCUCACAGAAAUUGAGAGACUUUUGUAGUGAUUGUGUGAAAAUAUGAAAAAUAGCUUAUGCAGAACAUCUUAAGCAUUGAGAACAUAUAGAUCCAACAUUUAUUAGACCAUCUUGUAUUUCAUUAAAUGAAGAUUAGUAUAUAUGUGUGAAGUUUUCAAACAAUUGUAUUUCUUUUUUGGUAUCGAGUUAGAGUUGAAAUUUUAAUCAUUUACUUAUAUCAUAGAAUUUAAGUAUUGAUGUUUGAAAAUUCAUAUUAAAAUAAAAAUUCAUGAUACAAAAUAUUGAUAAUACAAAAUAUAUUUAUCAUACACAACACAACCCACUAAUAGUCUCUUGAGAAAAUGCGAAAUAACUCACUUAAUAUUUCAUGAACUUCACCAAUUAGAUUUACUAUGUGUAUGCCCCUACAUAAAAGCUUAGAUGUUAUACGGUCUCGUGUUGAAGAUGAACCAACACGAGUGCAAAGGAUGAUGGAACAUGUGGAUCAACAUGUGCAACAAUAGGUGGACUGGCAGGUGGAGCAUCAGGGAUGAUUAGAUGAUGUGAAACAUUUACGUACCAGACAUAAUAGUCUGCAAUGACCUCGCCAAGAAACAUCGUUGGAGGACAUAGACUCUGAAAGUUCGUUAUACAUGCUCUCAUGGUAUUUUGCCACUUUAUCGCCUAUAACACCUCUAGCGAUAGUAUGAAUAACUUCUCGGUUCGCACCUGGUUCUAGACACAGUAAAAUUAAGUUAAAAUAUUAAUUAUUAUAUCAAUAAUUUUAUAUAAAAAAUUGAAAAAUUACAAAAAUUUCAAAACCUGUAAAGUUUUAAAAUUGAGUUUCGAACAUUUUGAAAGUUUUUCAUAUUUGAAAUGUUUGAAAGUUUUUCAUAUUUUAAAAUUUUCAUAUUGUUCAAGUUUCGAAAUUUCUUGAUUUUUUCUAUUUCAAGCAUUUCAGAUUGUUCGAAAGUUUCGAACAUUUUAAAUUGUUUAAAAGUUUCGAAAUUCAUAUAAAUUUUUCAUUUCGAAAAAUUUAGAUUAUUUAAAAGAUUCAAAAAUCCUUAAAAUCUCAUAUUUUAAAAGUCUGUGAUCCUUCCAAAAUUUAAAAAUAUUUAAAUUUAAUUUUUUAAAAGUUGUGUCAGAAGUUUAAAAAGUUCGAAUAAAAUUUACUUGUUGAUUUGAGAAGAUUCUAGAGUGUUAAGAUUUAUCUAAAAUUUCAUAAGUGAGUGAAAAAGUGAGUUAAAUUUUUAUCAAAUUUUUAUAUAUAAUUAAAAAAGUAAAAUUAUAUUUUUAUAUGUGUUUGGGUGACAUGUAGAUGUAGAAGUGGGGUGGUAAAUUAGAAUCCUUGAAGAGUUUUGUAUAUUUCAUAUAAUCCACAAAGCCAGUCAAUCACCUCCACCACUUCCGCCGCGAGAUUCCUCCUCCUUUUCUCCUUCGUCAUUUAAAUUUUAGGGUUUCUCUUUCCUUCAUGACGACCGCAAAAGGUCGAAGACGAACGAGAUCCGAUGACUCCGCAUCAGAGUCGGACUCCAACCACCGCCGGAGAACUAGUCGCGGGUCACGGCGGGAUUCAGAUAAUUCCAGUGACGAAGAUGAUAGGAGUGGAAGAAAGAAAAAGUGUUCGAGGAAAAUCACUGAAGAGGAAAUUACACAGUACAUGGCUAAGAAGGCUCAGAGAAAGGUUUCAAUUUGUUUUUAAUUUUGAAUUUUAUCUAUGAUUUGAUUUCAUAUGUUGAAUUUUAUGCUCAUUCUUCUUUGUUUUUUUUUUGUCAGGCUAUGAAAGUAGCAAAAAAAUUAAAGACUAAUACGGUAUCGGGUUAUUCCAAUGACUCUAAUCCAUUUGGUGAUUCUAAUCUCAAUGAAAAGUACGUUUCUCCUUUAAUUUUUUCCCUUUGCCAUUGUUACUUUUAUUGUUUGGGUGAUUGAAUUAAACUUAUGUUAGAUUCCUUAUUAUAUAAUUGUACUUAAAUAUUGCAGUACUGGUCGCCCAUUAGAGAACAUAUACGAAUUAUAAACCUAAAAAAAUGUUAUUGGUAGGUUUGUUUGGCGCAAGAAGAUUGAGCGUGAUGUUACUCAAGGUGUAUCUAUUGAUUCCUUUUCAGUUAAGGCUGAGAAGAAAAGGCAAAAAGAUAGGAUGGUAUGCAUUUCAUUCUCAGAAAUUUACUUUUGUGUGUGUACAUUUCUUGGUAUUGGUAUCUGGUUAGGUUACGUUUGGAUGAAGGAUUUUAGAGGGGGAAGGGAGGACUUAUAUUUAUUUUCUAUAUUUAUACCAAAAUAUAGACUUAGUUCUCUAAAACUCUCACUUCAAACAUACUCUUAGCUUUCUGAAUGUAAAUGUUUCAAAUUGAAUAUUUUUGUUGCUUACUACUCAGCUUCCUAUUAUUGUUGCUUUGACCAGUGUACACAAUAGGCUAUUUUCAUCCCUCAUUGAACCUUUUCACUUUCUGAAAAUGCUGAUUCUAUUUUAGCGUGAACUGCCAUUUUCUUCAAUAUCCAUCUUUAUUCUGGAUGAAAUCUGGUUUGUUGAGUUUCGUUAAAACUUAACUAAGGAAUUUAUGAUAGUUCAGCAAUUCACUAGCCUUAUUUAGUAAACUCGUGCUUGAGGUAAGGCUUUGCACGUUUCUUCUUUGUUUUCACAAUUUGAUUGGUUCUGUGUUUUUUUACUAAUGGUCAAACAACUAAAUGUUCUUGUUGCUUACUAUUACUAUAUUCACAAUUACAAUACAGGCAGAAAUUGAAAAGGUGAAGAAGAGGAGAGAGGAAAGGGCACUUGAGAAAGCACGGCAUGAAGAAGAAAUGGCAAGUUUUUUUCUCAUUGUUUGUUUUUUAAUACUUAAUAGGUAUUAUGAGGAUAUUAUUUAUGUGGCGUUAACUAUGAUUAGCCUAAGCUUGUAUUGUUCUACUAGUGGUAGUGUGUUACUAUGUUCUAUACCUGACAUAUUAGUUAAACCAGAGUCUCAGACUGGUGUCUAGUAUUGCAGUUAUUCAGUCUUGUAUUGAUGAAACAAAAUUCAGUCUUAUUAGUUAAAUAUAUUCUGUUAUUUCCUUUACGAAAUCCCUAAACUUCAACUGUUAUCAAUUUAUCAUUUUAAUAUGUUGGUAGAAAAUCUUUUAUUUAGCCACCGUAAAAGUUUGUGGUUCUAUUCUAAUGUGGCAUACCAAUUAUAUCAAGGUUACACAUCAGCUCUUGUAUUUGGGGAAAAAUUUAAGGCUGCAUAUCAGUUAUUUUCUUUAACCAGUGAUGCUAUAAACUCAACUUCACUCUGGAUUUUGAGGCUCAAAUGUGGUGGCAAUAUUUAUAAGAGUCAAGUCAAGGCUUGGCAUAAGUGUUAGAUUAGUGAUGUCACAAACUAUGUUAUCUUAUUGGCAUUUGACAAACUCUUUCUUCCAGGCAUUAUUAGCUAGAGAACGAGCUCGAGCUGAGUUCCAGGACUGGGAAAAGAAGGAAGAGGAGGUACUGUGCUUUGAGUUCCCUUACAUUUGUUCUUGUUUAGUAGUAGUAUUGCCUUUUUGUUGACAUAGACUAUUUAAUCUGCAGUUCCAUUUUGAUCAAAGCAAAGUUAGGUCAGAGAUUAGACUGCGUGAAGGGCGUGCCAGGCCAAUUGAUGUCUUAACCAAGCACCUCAAUGGCUCUGAUGAUUUGGAUAUAGAAAUAAAUGAACCAUACAUGGUCUUCAAGGUUAAUAUCCAGCUUUCUAUUCCUUUUCAUUCUGUUGUCUUAUUCCUUUAACUGUUUUAACGUCACGUAGUAUGAUUACAAAUAUACAACUGAAUGUUAAUAUUAUUGAACAAGUUAAAUAAUGAUUUGAUGCAGGGUUUGACUGUUAAAGAAAUGAGUGAACUUCGCGAUGAUAUAAAAAUGCAUCUGGAUCUUGACAGGGCAACGCCAACCCAUGUGGAAUAUUGGGAGGUAUCACUCGGUUUGCAUUGUUAGUUUUAUGGUUUUUAGUCCUGCACAGGUUAUGUAACUUAUAAGUUUUACUGUAUCUGACACAACACAUCGAAGAUAAUUUCAACAUAAAAAUUUGAGUUAGAUUGGAGACCAAAAGAACAAUGACUUUCACGAUCUCUUCCCUUUCCUUUUUAUGUAACUCAUGUGGCCAUUAUGGUUGUCCCCUUCUUCAAAGCUGAAGACUUAUUGUUGUACAACUUCACGUAGGCUCUCCUUGUGGUGUGCGAUUGGGAGCUUGCUGAAGCUCGGAAAAAGGAUGCAAUUGAUCGAGCUAGGGUGCGUGGAGAAGAACCUCCUGCUGAGCUGCUUGCUGAACAAAGGGGUCUGCAUUCCAGUGUUGAGCCAGAUGUGAAGGAUCUUUUACAUGGAAAGACACGCAUAGAGUUGGAAGCCUUACAGGCUCACAUUGAAUCAGAGAUGCGUACUGGUACAGCAAAGGUGGUUGAGUACUGGGAGGCGAUUUUAAAACACCUCCACAUAUACAAGGCCAAGGUAUUCUACGUCACAGUAUUUUCCGAUCAUUCUUUUAGGUGCCUUUAAACAUUUGUUCUAAUACAUUACUAACAUGCUUCAAAUAUAGGCUUGCUUAAAGGAAAUCCAUGCUAAAAUGUUACGUAAGCACUUGCAACGUCUUGAGCAACCAUUGGAGGAUGAAGACAAACUGGAGAGUGCUCAUGUCACGAUACCUGAGGAAUCAUAUACUGAGGAUGAUGCUAAAGGUAUGUGCUUUUUGUUGUGGUUUAGUUGUUCAUGAUUUUUUGUAUUGGCUCUAUCUAUCUCUUCAUCCAUGUUGAAAUUUGCUUGGUAUUUCUCUAUUGUGGUAGUCCGCUCUGCAGAUGAAUCAUUUUCACCCGAGCCCAUUAGAGAGAAUCAAGAAGCUGAAGAUGAGGCUGGAUCAUUUUCACCACAACUGUUGCAUGAUGAUGAAAAUGAGGAAGCUAUUGAUCCUGAAGAGGACAGAGCUAUACUGGUAAUCUUUUUAAGCAUGGUUAUUAAUGGUGAUCCCAUACCUAUAUUAUGAAUAUAUAGAUUUUAAUUUCACUAUGUCGGUACAUAUAGGAGCGGAAGCGUAUGGCUGUAUUAGAAGAGCAGCAAAGACGAAUUCAGGAAGCAAUGGCAUCAAAGCCAGCUCCAUCUGAAGAUCAUUUUGAGAUGAAAGCCAUAAAAGCUAUGGGAGCUAUGGAAGAUGGAGAUGCAAUGUUUGGAUCUGGUGCCGAAGUGAGCCUAGAUUCUCAGGUAUUGUUUGUGGACCAUAUAUGUAAUUUAUCACUCUUUGCGGAAUAGAAUCAUCAAAUCAUCCAGAUUCUUAGAACUGGAUCAGUAUAAUAGAGGAACUUUGUGUGCCAACAGUUCAAAUAUCCUUUUGUCAUAUCCUUCAGCUACUUCUUUCCACCAUAAAAGUUGGCACUAGAGACAGAGAAUACACUAUCAAUUAUGUAUUUUGAUAUUUUAAGGAGAAAUAAAAUAUCUAAAUUCUCCUGAUUGUUUUCAAUUUUAAGUUGUUGACCCUACUGUUAAAUGUUGGAGCAGGUUUAUUGGUGGCAUGACAAGUACAGACCAAGGAAGCCAAAGUACUUCAACCGUGUUCACACUGGAUAUGAGUGGAACAAAUAUAACCAGACUCACUAUGAUCAUGACAACCCACCUCCAAAGAUUGUUCAAGGAUACAAGUUUAAUAUUUUCUAUCCAGAUCUUGUAGACAAGAUAAAAGCUCCAAACUACACUAUUGAGAAAGAUGGCAGCAAUGGGGAGACUUGUAUCAUAAGAUUCCAUGCAGGGCCACCAUAUGAAGAUAUAGUAAGUCUAUUAUUCUUGAUCACUUGACAAUGUGUAACUUUUAAUCGGUUUACUUAUUUCCUUAUAUAAGGGUUGGAGUGUUAAGGAAAUCGGGAGUUCAAUUCCUUCUACUAAUGCGCUAUCUAUUAACAGUUUCCGUAAAAAUACUUAUUUCCUUGUGUCUUCCAUGACAGGCUUUCCGCAUUGUAAAUAAAGAAUGGGAAUAUUCUCACAAGAAAGGUUUUAAGUGCACAUUCGAACGUGGAAUUCUGCAUGUAUACUUCAAUUUCAAACGCCACCGCUACCGUAGAUAGUUUCAUAUCAGGCAAUGGCUCACUUUCUGUUGAGCUUCUCCUUCUGGUUUGAGGGAGGUUGUAAGUUGCUGCCAUAUUUUAUUGUAAAGAGGUGCUAGCACCAGAGAUAGAGAUGUUCUGGAAAUCAACUGCUUGGAAAUGAGACCUGGGAUAAAUUCUUUAGUAUGGAGCAGUAGUGUUGUACUCCCCAUGAUUAAGAUUUGAUCUGACUUUUGCUAAAAAUAUUUUAAUGUAAUCACAUAGUUUUAUGUAUUCGGUACGGUCCUCCAAGAACAUACAUAAGAAUCUCGAGAUAGAGAUAGGGAUGGGUGAGAGAUAUCAAUGAGUGCUGCAGUAUCAGUUUUGUCAACUGCUCAUACCUUGAUUUUUAAGUUUUCACUUAAGUCGGUUAAAAAAAACCAACAUGCCUGUUAUGGUGAUGAUGUGCCUGUUACGAAGUAAAAAAAAGAAAAAAGAUGAUGUGACUGUUAGUCUGUUAUCAUUUUAUGUGGAAAGUUCAACUAAACUUUUAACCAAAAGAAAUUAAUUUUUUAUUGGUUUAAAAUACUUUUUAUUGGAUUUUUGGUCUCAUAUUUCACAUUUUACAGAAUUUUUUUUGUCCUUUAAUUUUGAUGAAUUGAUGAUCUCAUUUAUGACGUGGUGCUUAGAUGUUAGCAGUGACUUGGAAAAAUAGAAAUUGACCUUAAAUCUCCAAAUUUCAUCUUCUCUCUUGUCUUUCUCCAAUUUUUAGAUUAGAAUCUCAUCUAAAAUCUGAUUUAUAUUUCGACAUCGACGGAGCUUGUAAUUGCAAAAUCAAUGUAGGAAAUGGCACUCACAAUCCCAAAUGGCCGUGAAAAUUUCAUGAUUGUGAUCUUUCUAGGUUUGACACAUUUCUUAAUCGAUUCACGCUUUGGUUGAUUAUUUAUAACUAAAAAAUUUCAUCAUCUAUCCAAUCAUAAAUGUUAUAUUGCUAAACAGGACUGAAAUAAUUUGGUUUGAUUUAUGGCUACAACAUUACUAUAUCUUAAACGGUGAUAUUGCAUAUAUGAUUUAGUAGGUGAUGAUUAGUGAAUGUUUCACGUGAUUGGGGUUUAUACGAGGAACAACUUGAGAAUUAAACAAAUUUUGAAAAUCAAAAGGUUAUGGAUAAGAUUUAAUGCAUCUGAGAAUCUUGUUAGCUUAGAUUGACAUUGAGAGAUGUAUGAAUUUUUGGUUGAGACUCAGACAUGGAGAAAAAUGAGGGAGAAGAUGAAAUUUGGAGAUGUAGGUUGAUUUUUUUGUUUGUACAUAUUUAGUAUUCUUAAUAUAAUAAAUAAUAUUUUAUUAUUAAAAAAGAUUUUUACAAAUUAUUAAUAAUGAAUGUGUUGAUGUGGACUGUGUUUUUUUUUCAAAAUACUAAGACAUCUUAUCACCACUUCAUAAAUUAGAUACCAUCUAUCAAAAUUAGAACGAAAUUAAAAUAUUCUAUAAAAUAUGAAAUAUGAGAACAAAAGUCUAAAUUUUAAAAUGGAUAAAAUAUGAGAAUAAAAGUAAUUUAAACAUCUUUUAUUUGAAACAAAAAUAUCAAAUUAAUCUAAAAUAUGAGUUUUGUAAUUAGAACGAUAUCUUUCUUUAUAAAUUAUAUUUAAGAUUUUUAUCUCUCUACUCAAUGUUGAUUUGGGUUUUUUUCAAUAUUAAAUGAAUUUGAAACUUUGCUCAAAUUUAGCAUCCAUGACUAAACACAAUCAUUAUCAUUGGAGGAACUCAAACCCACAAGCACAAGCUAUUGUGAUUUUAUUUGUUUUUUGCAUUGUCAAGAACACCUUUCUAUUCCUGUUGAACCCAAAAUUAGUGCUUCUAUUUCUUGUUUGAGGAUGAGAAUAAAAAUGGAGGAGCAAAUAAAAAACCCUCAGAAAAAUGUUCCCCUCUUCUUCAUAUGUCUCAACAGAAGAAACAAAUAAUCUAUUAGGGCUAAGCUAAGCAAAAUCAGUUGACUUGGUCGAACUCAAAUCAUUUGAAUAAAUCAAUUUGAUAAGUAGGCGGGUUUUAUAACGGAUCACAUGUCAUACAAGUUCACAAAUGUAGAUAUAUAUAAUGUCAGAGUAGUCAGGUGCGGAUUAACUGAAUUAACUGAAUCUGAUCGCUUCACUUAAAACUCGAAAUAUAAAAGUUCAAAUUUUUUAGGAUGAGUUUCUUAGUCUCAUUUAGUAAUCACACCACCAAUAUGAUAUAAAUAGACUAUUUGAUAAAAAAGACUUAUUUAAAUAUUGACAAAAAUAUUAAAAUCCCAAUAAGUUUUUUCUUAAAAAAUAAAAUUUAAAAAUAAAAUGUACAAAAAACUAAAAAAAGUAAACAUUCCAAUAUAAACUCAUCACCCGUAGAACAAACUCAUGCAUGAUCUGCACCAGUCGAAACCCAUUUAAACCAAUGCAAAAAUUGAUUGAAAUUGAACCCGUAAAUUGCAUACUCAAUUUUCGUUGAUUUGACAAACUUGGACUCAAAUCCGCCCAUAUUCGAGCGAUGUUCAUCCCUAAAAUCUUCAAGAAAUACGAUAAAGUGAUCCAAUCGGAGAAUAUCAUGCCUAUUUAUGUAUGAAAUAGACUCCACAAUGAUUGUGAAUACCAUGAAUUCAUCCACUGAAGAUUUUUAAAUAUACGAUUGUUUGAUCUAAUUCUAUUUUAGUUGCAUAAAGUUUGGUUGUUGUUGUGGAUUCGAAGAAAUUCCCAAUUUCGGAUUUGAAGAACCCUACUCAAAAAGCUUUCAUCAAUAUUAUUCAUGCAUAAAGUCACGCACUGCAAUUCUUUUCACGUACAGUGACUUGAUGCAUAAAUUUAGAUACAUGAAUUCAAUUUGUUUAAUUAGUGAAUUAUUGGCUUCAACAAUGGAGCGUUAAUUUAAUAAUUUUAGUUCAGCAGUAACCUAAUCAAUAAUCUUUAGACACUUCAAAGAAAAAAAAAAUUAAAGAAUUUUGUUAACUGUUCUUAAAAUACCUGUCAAAAAAUAAAUUUUAAAACUUUUUAGAAGUUGAAUAAACUACCCGGAAAGUUUAAAGGAAUUAUGCAAAGCAUUAUAAGGAGUUAAUGACAUAGCUUUUGACUCAUCCCACUCUUUUAAAGUUAGAUAUAUAUCUUUGCCUUAAAAAGUUUUCCACCGGUAAUCAAGUUUUCCACCAUAAAACCAAUUCAGUAUACAUGGUGAAAACUUUGUCAAAAAAUAAAUAUAAGUGGUGAAAAAAACAUGCUGAAAAAAUGGAAAACUGAACAAAUCAUUGAAAAUUAUUUUAUUACUUCUUUCUAUGAUAAAUAUAAGAUAAAUUUAUAUCAGUAAAAAUUGGUAUAUUUCAGUUAAAUUUUAAAUACAAUAUAUCGAUAUUAUAUUUAAAAUUUGAUAAAAUAUUAUAUUAUUAGAUUUCUUAAAAACCGAUACAAUCCAACUCAAACCGAUGAUAUAUUUGUGUAAUUUAAAAACUGAUUUCAUUUGUGAAAUUUCAUUUAUAAAACUAUCAUAUUACUAAAUUCAAACCGAAUAUAUAUUCAUUUGUGCAAUUUUAUUUAUAAAACUAUCAUAUCACUUAUUCAUUGUCGCACUAUUCAAAUUUUAAUUUCAUUAAUUAUUUUGAGCUAAGUUGCAAAAAGUUUUAAUCCAAUAGUUUCCACAUAAGGGUUUUCUUGUCUUCUGUACUAGAAAGUCAAAAGCAAUUAGCAAGUAGUAGUAUACUCGGGAUUUAUUUGUUUUGAAAAUAUAUGUAGAGGAUAUAAGUAAUGGAUUAUUGAUGAGUAUCAUCAACUUUGCAGGCCCUAUUAGGAAAAGAAAAAUUGCUUAUAAUCCUUCAUGGAUUAGACUAAUCAUGACCAUUAGGUGAUGCUUUCCUAGUAGAACAAAAUGAAAUUUUUAUUUUAAAAAGUUUGAGUGAAAACACUUGCAUAAGUUGCUAAAGGAAGACCACUUUGGAGGACAAGACAAACCAUUCCAAAUAUCUCAAUACUUGCAUAUACUUUGGAAUAAUAGUUCAUACUUUCUAAAGAUGGCAUAUGAUUCUAAUGUUUUUUUUUUUAAUCUAAUCUAAUUUUGGAAUCACUUUAGUUCCUUUUCUUAGUGGACUACUCAGUAUCUUUCAAAAUACUCGAUUGCACAUUGUUUACAAUUACAUAUAUAUCAAUACAACUUUAAGUUUUUCAUAGUACAUAAUUACGAAAAAAAACAUUUUGAAACAUAAACUUGACAACAAAAAUAUACAAUAAUUUGAAUGUUAACGACAUUUAAAUAUAUGAAUUACAUUCAAUGAAUAUAACAAUGUGUCACAAUUCAUUAACCAUAAACAAAACAUAAUUAACCACAGUUAGUAAACGCCAAUAACUGUGAUUUUCAGAGUCCUAAUAUACAUGAUAUUCAUUAUAACCAUCUAAGUUCUAUUCAAAUUUACAUGAUUUUUUAGAUUUUCAAAUAUAUGAUGUAACCUUGUUAUAUCAAUUAACCAUCUACAUCUACUAAGUGUAAUGACCAUAUAUUUGAAAUGCAUUAAUAUUCAAAUUGUUUAAUUUUAUUUUCUCAUUUUAGUUUAUGGCAAAAUAACACAACUCAUUAAUUAAAUACUAGGCUCACUAUUACACAAUACACUUGCUAUCAAACAGAAACCACAUUCUGCAUACUUCACUCUUGAUCUUCAAUCCUAAUUAUGCUUAGGAGGCGUUCGACAAUAUCCCUCAUACAAGGCCUGUCAACUUUCUUCUCCCUAAGACAAUCAUGUGCAAGCUCCCAAAAAAGUCUUAUGCUUGUGAUCAAUUUACCACUUGAUGGUUCCAAAGAUAGAAGAAGAAGCCUUUGAUCAACCACUUGCAUGAUUGCACCAUUGCUUGCAUAUUGACUCACAUGAAUUACCAAGUUGACAUCAUCUUGAUCACGAGAGAAGUCUAUCGCUUUCUGUGAAGUCAAAAGCUCUAGCAGCACAACUCCAUAGCUAUAAACAUCACUUUUAUCAGUUAACUGAUAGUUACGAUAAUAUUCUGGAUCUAAGUACCCUAGUGUCCCCUGAGCACACGUAGACACGUGACUAAGUCCCGGGUUAGCCAAUCUCGAGAGUCCAAAAUCUGAAACUUUCACGUCAAAUUCACCGUCUAAUAGUAUAUUUGUUGAUUUAACAUCUCUAUGGUAAAUUGGGGUGUGUGCAGAAAAAUGUAAAUAAGCCAAUGCUUCAGCUGUUUGAUAAGCAAUUUUGAGCCUUUUUUUCCAAUCCAAAAAAUUGGGAUACCUACCAUGAAUAUGGUCAUAGAGGGUGCCAUUUGAGAUAUACUCAUAAAUCAUCAAAGGCUGAUCAGAUUCCACACAGCAGCCCAAGAGUCUGACUAGGUUCUUGUGAUUGACUUGAGAAAGUAUUGAAACCUCAUUAAGCACUUGUUGUGUGCUUUUAAGGUUACCAACUCUAGCUUUCUUGACAGCUACCAACGUUCCAUCUUGUAGUUCACCUUUGUAAACUUCACCAAAGCCACCACUUCCUAGGAUCCUGUCUUGUGAGAAACUGUUUGUUGCUUUCUUCAACUCUUUCAGCUGAAACAUCCUGUAAGGUUUCUCACCAGUGUUUGAUUUGAGAACAAUUUCUCUUUCCUUGGCCUGAUUCUCCCUAUUGUUAUAGUGUUUGAAUUUGAAGGACUUUGUGAUGAUGACAAGAACCACAGCCAAUGAGAAAAAAGCAAUAACCCCUAUUGAGACAACCAAGCUGGUUUUCCAUUUGGAUUUUCUCUUGUACCUUACACAGGUUGCUGCAAAAGGAUCCCAAUGAAAUCCUUUAUUACAAAAACAGCGAAAGACUGCAUAUCUACCAGAAGGGGAACACUUAGAGUCUCUAGAGCAAUCCCUUUGUGUCCUACAGACAGGUUCAGGUGGAAGAGACCAUUGAAUCUCUAAGCCUUCCUCCCACUGAUUAGGAGGUUUGUCUUGGUCCAAAUGAAGGAUGCUUCUGAAUGCUCUGCAACCGGAAUCGUGAAGACGAAUCUUGUAAGCCGAAGGCAUACCACCAGCAACAAAGGUGCAACAAGGGUGAAGACCGCUGGCACACUCAAGUGCUCGCUUUGUGUCAACGUGACCUGAAUUUUCCAAGUAACGAUGACAAGUACUAGAAGAAGUGCAGUUAAGAGGAGAAACCAAGAGGCGAGGGGAACAGUUGAAGAGGAACACUGUGUUAGAUGAAGUUAUUUUGAAAGGAAGGGACUGAUUUAACCAAAUACCGUUGCUUACCGGCAUGUCUUGUGUGACACAUGAACCAGGUAACCAAGGUGGUGGCUGCACCACGAUACGCUGGAUUGAAGACAUGAUUCUGAGUACAACAUAGGAACUGCCAUUGAGAGUGUCAAAGUAAAGCUUUUGAGAAUGGGGAUCGCAACGAAGCCUAUAGUAGGAAUCGCCACAGUUGGGGUCUGUGCUCAAAGGAUAUGGAACAUUCAUAAAGCCACAGUUUGGACAAGUCUUUUGUGAACAAGUAUAAUGACCAAGGAAAAGGCAAAUAAGAAAGACAUAUCUAAAAUGGAAAUUAUGUCUCUUGUUUGACUCAACAGUCAUUUUGCAUGGACAAUUAGGAGAAGAAAACUCUUAUGCAUUAUAUGAAGGCAAUCAAAGGAAUAAAAAGGCUACGCAUAGCUAUUGCAAUGGAAUAAAGUAUGUAAAAUACAAGUUAAAGUGGCUCCUAGAAUCUAGAAAAUGGAGUACCAUAAAAAUAUAAAGAUCUAUGGGACCAAUCGAUACCAGAUGGAUGGUCAUAGAUACAGAUUUUGUAAAUAUACUCUCUUUUAUAAGGUGCAAAGAGAAAACGCUUUGGAACUUGCUCAGCUUUGCAGAGUUUUUCUUCCUUUGAUUUUAGUCAAGCAAGACGUACAUAAAUAUCAUAUCAUAGUGGACAAAUUAGUGAUUAAAAUAUACAAAAUGCGAGAAGGCUAGACCAUAUUUGCAAAGGGAUCUAAUAAAGACAUUUGAUUUGAAAUCUAAGAUUAUGAUAAACAAAACUUGCACUUGCUUAAGAAUCUGAUAUCACACACUUCCUGUCAAUAUCAUUUUUCUGAUACUCCAUUUGAUAGUUGACAUAUAUAAAAGUAGUAUUUAAAUACUCAAACAAGCACGUGUUUAGUAUUGAAUGGAGUGUCUAUGGUAUAUUAGAUAUUUUCCUAAUCAAGCAUGAUCAUAAAUAUGAUUUGACAUGAUUCAAAGGUUGGAAAAAAAGACUACAUACGCAUCUAGCUAUAUUGAUAGUCAAGAUUUUGAAUGGCAUAUUUGUAACAUAAGACAAGCGAAACCUGGUCACAGAAUCUGUUCUCAAUUUCAAACAUAGAAUCUAGUCUUUUAAGGAUUGUUCCAGCUCAGGUUGACUAGCUUGUGUAAAAUCCAUGAUGCUGCAAUUAUUUCAAAACUCUUAAUGUGUGUUUGGAAAAAUGCAAAAUCACGUUUCAGAAUAUGUCCACUAAUACUCUCCAAAGAGUAGCUUCUCUAAAUCACGGCCAAAAUGCUUGGGAACAAGAUAAAUUGACUACAAAUCUCAUUCCAAACAUAUGCUUAGUGUGUGUUUGGUUAUACGGUAACAACAUUGAUUGUGAAUGAAUUGAUUAUGUGGCUUAAAGUGAAUUGAAGCUGAAGCGAUUGUGUUUGAAUAUAUUUAUGUAAAAGUCAAUUGAGUGAUUGUGUUUGAAUAUAUUCAUGUAAAAGUCAAUUGAUAGAUGCUAAAAAUCAAUUAUAGAGCCAAAAGCUCCAAAUUCAAACUUCAUAAUAGAAUAAUUUCUGGAGGGCAAAAUUAAUUCUACUUAGAACAAUUAAACCUCAACUCAAAGUCAAGUAUUUACAUCUAGAAUCAAUUUUCAAUUUUGCCUCCUCCAAACUCAAUUCUACACUUAGUAGUUAAUCACCUAUUCAAUUGAAAAUGAAAAAGAAGAUCAGUAGUUUAGGGUUCAAAAAAAAAAUUUAAAAAGACAUAUUAAUCGUAAAAUAAAACAUUCUAAAUAAGUAAAAUAAAAUGAUGAAACAAACAACGAAAACCUAAGUGAAAAUAAAAUGCAUCCAUUAAUGAUAAAAAAUUGUAGGAAUAAGGAAAAAUCAAAAUGCAGAAAGAAAAACACAGAAAUUCAAUUCGAAGGACGAAGAAAUCGAUAGGAAAAAAAACCUCAAAAAAUUUGGACCAUUUCUCGAUUUGUGCGUGUCAUCCUUGCGCAGGGGCCAUGCUAAUCUUCUCUGUAUCGUUCCAAUUUUAUCGGAUGUCCCCGAAGGGACAGUAGUAGAUGUUCUGCGAUAGUAUAUAAACAGUGAAAUUUAUGAUAUGUAAACAAUGUGGGACUUAAACAGUGAUAAACUAGAGGGUCUACUGGACUUGUAUGGUAACCAUCUUUUGUAUUUAUACUCUCGGUCCAUAUAAAUUAAAUUCAAAAAAUAAAUGCAUGGAAGGUUUUAAGUAUUAACAUUAAGAAUUAAGAGUUAUAAAAUUUUAUAUGAUUAUUUUGAAAAAAAAAACUCAAUUAUUUGAUCGAUAAUAAAUGAUAAAUUGUAUAUAAAAUAAGUUAAAUUAAAUAUAAAAUUAAAAUGCUAUAAAAACACAUGGUAUUCUUUCGUGUGUGUGUAUAUAUUCGAAACACAUAAACUUGUAAAUAAAGUAAUUUAAAUGAAAUGUAAAAUUGAAAUAAAAAGUCACACUAAAAUGGUGUAUUCUCUUUUAUAGACAUGGAUAGAUAAUAUGUGUAGUGUAAUAUGAUGGAUUUCUCCCUUCAAAAAAUUGAAGAGAUUUCCACCAAAGGAAAUCAAUUCCUAGAUAAAAGUUAAUAUAUCUUAUUAUCAUCUAACUUCGGUUAUAAAAUUUAUCGGUUGAAAUUUCUACUAUUUAUUUCUAGUAAGUCUUUGAGAGAUAGUUGAAUGCUAAGGAUUUUCACUCAACUUUCAAUUAAAAAUGUUAUAGAAAGAAUUUGAUUUCUCAUCUAAUUUGUAUGUAGUAUAACAUCACUAAUUUUAAGUGGUGAAGUCCAAUAAAUUUCUAUUGUGAAUUCAAUAUGUUUUUUAAAAAAAUUGACAACAUGGAUAAAAACCAAAAAAGUUUUUUUGAAAACCAAAAACUUAAAUAUUAUAAAGAAUAAUAACAAUUAGUUUAAACACAUGAUUACAUCUCAAGUUGUAAUGAGAUUUUUUUUCAAAAUGGUCAUCACUUACCUCUACCACAGGUCCACAACCAAGUAAUUGACAACUUGUGCACAAGAAGAGCAGUGACAAUAAGUUAACUCAAUACUGUUUUUCUAACACUAAGCCACUUUGGAAAAUUAAUGUAGAUUCCACGAUUAUUUUGAGAAUAAAUCUUCGUAAAGUUAUGAGACCAGACAAAUUAAUUUUACUUAGUGCUUAUAGAUUUACAAUAAAGUUGACAAAAUUAUAAUAAACCAUUUUAAUUUUGUAAAACUAUAGAGUAAUUUUACCAAUUAUAAUAUAAAAUAUCUAGUAAAAAAGAGUAUUAGAAUAAGUGUCAGUUGUCCAUAUAUCUCAAAUGUCAAAAAAAUAAAAUAAAUUGAUCAAUUCUCAAAAGUUAAAUAGAAAUAAAAGAUUACAUGCAACUCUUUUCGUCACCAAGUAUGACAUGUGUCUAAAUUGAAUAAUCCUUAUUCGUCUGAAUAUUAACUAAUGCUUAAUAAUAUUAGGCUUCCAGGAAGACUUGUCAUGUAUAUUAACCAGGAGUAAUUCCAAUCCAUAAUCAACUACUCGAUACAAUAAACAAAACGAGAACAAUAAAUAAAUGUCGUGGAAAUGAAAAUCACUCACAAUAAUAACCUCUCAAACAUACUAUAGGGUGGUUGGUCCCUUAUUUGCAGUGUUGGGACACCAAACAUGUAGCAUUGCUUGUAAUUGGCUAGCUCUGGUAUACUAAUAAAUUAAUCAUUACACGAUCACAACUCAAUUACCACGUAAUUAUGCCUUUAUUAUCACAAAUUAAUUAAUAUCAAAAUAAUAAGAUUAUUAUUUAUUUAAGGCAUAAUAAUAACAAUAAUAAAUAUUGUAAGUAGGCGUCAUCGUCAUCAUUUUGAAUUGGAGACUCUCUUCUUGUUGAUAAAAUCCUUGACUUGCGAAAUCAACUGAGAAGACUCGGGCAAAUCAGGGAAAACAUAAAAAGCAUGAAUCAUGUUUGGAUAUUCGAUUAUCUGAACUUCUUUCCCAUUUUUUCUCAACCAAUCGUAAUACCUCUUUUGCCAAUCAUUUAACGGGUCAAACCCGCCCACAAAAAUAAGAGUAUCUGGAAAAUCCAAACCCGACAAAUCCUCUGAAUUCGGCCCGCUAACAUUAGCAGCUCCAUGAUCCCGAUCUGAUCCCUCCGGCAAAAACACCUUCCACAUCCAAUCAGUCCUCGCCAUCGACACUAGAGGCGAUCCUUCAAGUCGAACCUCCGACUCUGUCCGCUCCUCCCCUCCAAAAAACGGUUGGAUCGAAAUCAGCCCGACUACCUGGAUGUUUUGGAGCCCCGCUUUACAUACCCGAACCGCAACGUGGUGUGCUAAAUUUGCACCGGCGCUGUCUCCGGCGAGGAAACAUUUUGACACGUCAGCAUUUUCCGGUAAAACGGUUUUGUUCUCGUCAAGGAAUUUUAAUACCUCUUCACCAUCGUCGUAUUGCGACGGGUAACGAUGCUCCGGUGUGAGACGAUAGUUGACGGAGACAACGACAACGGACAUUUUCCGGCAGAAUCUCCGACAAACGGCGUCAUAUGAGGCUGAAGCUGGAGAAAGAUACGUAAAACCGCCGCCGUGGAAGAAAAUGACGACGGGAAGGGAUGCAGUUUUAUCGUCAGCGUCGCCUCCGUCGACAGUUACGGCGUCGGUGGGAGUGAAGAGACGGAACCAGAUGUUACGUUCGGGAUCAACGGUUACGUCUUUUGUGAAAACGCCGUUAACGGGAGUAAUGUUUGCUGAGCAUUUGCGAUCGAGGAAUUUGAGGAAACCGCGAUUAACGGUGCCGUUAGAACGACGUGAAGCGUCCGAUAGAGCGGAAAGGAACGAAAUCGCAACGCGGGUUUUCCAAGGAAGAGGGAUUUUGGGUUUGUUAGUUGGUGGUGAUGACGACAUUGUCGUUUUGAGGUUCCGUGAUUCAACGAAGUAUGUGAUGAAAUGUGAAGAAAGCUUAGAAGGAUAAAUAAUCAAUCAUGAGAUGGGUGCUUUUAUCGUUUAUUCGUCCUUUUUUGGUAGUAGAUGAGAAAAUAUGUAAAAGUAGUUAGAAAUUGGGAGGACAUAAAUGAACGCACGACGUGCCGUGCAAUGGAGUUUCAAUUUUUAGUCAAAAGUUUCUGGUUCUCUGCCAAAGGAAAAUGGGUCAUUAAAAAAGACGUAAUGUACUCCUAAUUACUAUACUUUCUAUGUUAUUCGGUAUGUCCUGAAUAAAUUUGAGUUUUUAUUUACGACAUUUUACUACAAUUCACUCGCCCUAUUUGAAUUGUUUGAUUAACAUUGUAUGGUUUAAAUUUUAUGUUUGAAUUUCAAUUAUUUUUAAUUUAAAAUUUAGGACAUCUUAUUUUAGUUAAACAAUUUAAAUGUAUAUGAUGUAUUGCAGUUUAUAGUCAAUCUAGGUUUGACUUAAUUUUGAAAAGAAAAAUUAUUGAACAAUUUAGGAUAUUUUAAAAAAAUUAGAAAGUUAUUCAUACUUAUAAAUCAAUCUUCAAUGCUAUGGGAUGGUCUCAACGUUGUCUAGAAAGAUCAAAAUUCUUUAAUUUUUUUUUAAUAUAUUAUUUUAAAAACUGACGUUUGAUAUUAAAUUAUUAAUCAAGUAGAGUUUAUUUGUAUCUCAAUCUACUAAAAACAUUUGAGUAACAUUAAUUAUCAAUUUUACCAUCGGAUGUGGUCUAAAUCAUCAUUGGAUGAGUUUAAGACGAAUUUGUUGCACCUGACUCUACUCGUAAUAGAAUAUAUGUUUGUGGAUGUUUAUGACUCUACUCGUAAUAGAAUAUAUGUUUGUAGAUGUUUAUUUAUUUUAGAAAGUUAUUUAUGUGUCAUCAUCUUUGGAUUUAAAAUCGGUAUUUCAAAAAUAGUAUACUUUUUAUUUUUAAGAUACUACUACCAUUGUUUUAAAGUUUUUUAAACAUACAAGGAAAUUAAUAAACAUUGUUAUUUUUUAGAGGUUUUUUUUAGUACUUUUGAUUACUUAUAUUCUCAUUUCACAUAUUUUUUAUCUGUAGAAAAUAGUUAGAGUAGUAUUUUUGUUAAAACAAUAAUUAACGUUUUUGAUAAAAUAAUUAAUAUUAUUUUAAACUUUAAAAUAUUAUAUUUUAUGUCAAAAAGUUAUUUUAUUUCUUUCGUUUCAUAAUUUCUUAAUUUGUAUGAAUGAUUUAAUAUGACAAUAAUUAUAGAACCAAUGGAUUUAUUAUUAAAAAAUCAUAUUGCGAAGUAAUUAAAAUUCAAUUAAAUGACUAUGUUUUUUUACUAAUAUAUUUCUCAAUAAGUAUGGAUAGAGGAUUGAACCAGUAAUUGAGUAUUACGAAAUAUUAAAUUAGUUUUUUUUUUUUAAAUUAAAAAAAUAUCACUCAUUUUGUUUCUUUUAUUAAAAUAAUUUUAGUAAAUAUCUAUAAAUAUUAAUAAAUUAAUUUUAUACACUGAUAGUAUAAUUUUUUUUAUACAUGUAACCAAUCAAAUAAGUAUUUAUUUAAAUAUUUUAAUAAUUGAUUUUAACAAGUGACAUAAUUGAGUGGUUUGAUUAUGCAUGUGUAGAAAAAAAUUAUAUAAUCGAUGCAUCUAAAUUAUAUUUAAAUAUUAAUAGGAGACUUACAUAUUGACACUUUUAAUAUUUCACUACAUUAUAUCAAAUGUAUAACUUUUUAAAUUAAAAUAUUAAAUUUUAAAAAAUUAUUAAAUUGAUUGACUUUAUUCGACGUAAAAAACUAAAUUAUUAUUAUAUUCUAUAAAUUUAAGAGAUUAAAUUAAUCUAUCGUUAUCAUAUUAUGUCUCGUUUGGUGGACAUAUAAAAAGACGAGAUAGAUUAUAUGUAAUUCGAUCUAGUGUAAUAUUUUUUUGAUAAAACAUAAAUUUAAUAGUAAAGAUUAAUAAGAUACUAGAUGGAUAUAAUCAAAGUAGACAUAGGACUAUAGGAGUUUGUUGAUAAAAAAAUUACUGAUUUAAAAAAUAUAUUUUUAUAAAUAAAAAAAUUGAAGAAUUAAUCUUUUUAAAUUUAAAUUUGAAAUAAAAAACUUAUAUUAAAACAAAUUACUUUAAAAUAAUAUCAUAAAUGAAUAAAAAUAAAUAAAUAAUAAGGUUGGUCGAUAUAAUCAUAAUAGUUGUUGAGAUACUUUUUAAUAAGAAAUUCAUUUUAUCAUUUGUAAUUUAACUAAAUUCAAUAAUACUUUAAAUUUCAAGUUAUUAAACAAGUUAUUUUAAAAUGAAACUGAUAAUAAAUAUUAUCAAUCUAUUUAGUAGAUAGAAUCAAAGUUGAUAUAAAAGUUAAUUGAAUUUUUUUUACUGAAUUAGAGAAAAUUGUUUUCUACAGAUAAAUAAAUGAAAUUGACCUAGAAGCCACGCAUGUCACUAAAAGGCGGUACUAAUAUUGGUAAUAAAUUACUCAAAUAUUGGAUUUAGCAAUGCUCUCUGGAUUAAGUCGUGGUUCUUUGAUUUCGCAGUCUCCGUAUAUAUAUUUUUCAAUUUUGCAUAGAGGUCGCCAAUUUUAAUGAUAUGGUAUAUAUCCAAGUGUGUUCCAACAUGAAUAUAACCAUUUUUUAAAAAAUAGAAAAAAUAAUUUUUAAAAAUAAAACAAAUAAUUUCUAAAUUUUUUCACCUUUUUUUCUUCCUCGUCCCAUUUCAUAGAACACCAGAAAUAUUCUUAUCCUAUUUAUUAUUUUGAUUUUUUAUUCUAAAUUUCAAUUGAACUUUUUAUCAUAAUCUCAAAUACAUAGGUUUUAUUUUUUUUCACAACCCUCCUCCUAUCCAUUCUCUCCACACUCCCUAACACCCACGACUCCUAUCACCACUUUGCCUUCCAAAAAAUGGGUACACUUAACUUUAAAGUAAUAAAAUAUAUUACCGAAUUUAUUAUCUUCCACAUGCUAGAUGAAACUAUUUAUGACGACUUCUACUUCAGUGAGUUAUAGAUCGGUUCUAAGUUUUGAUACAACUGAACUUGAUCCAGACAACUUACUCGUUGAGAUGCAAUUUCAAACAUGUUAUACUAUUUAAUGUGAAAGUUGAUUUGAAACAUGAUGUAGUGUGGUCAACAAACAUUAUUAGUGUGGAGGAGGAGCAUAUAUAGAAGGAGAAAAAACAGGAAGGAAAAUAUGAAACACAUUAUUUUUCUUAACAAUUUUCUGAUUUCUAAGAAAUAGGAUGAAUAAGAAGGAAGGUGGAUGAGAUAAAGACUUUUUUUUUUCUAACAAUUUGUUGUUUUUAUUUUUUAGUAUUUUUCUAACAUUUUUUCUAUGUUUUUGGCUUAAUUACAUUUUUGAUAUCUUCAUUUUCAUUGAUUCACGAAAUUAUAUUUCAAGAAUCGACAAUUUUGGUCUAUUUCUCAUAUUUUUAAACUAAAAACGAUAAUUUGACAUAUUUUAAAUGAUUGACAUACGAUUUCAUCUGUGUUAAUCAUUCUAUAUCAUCGUAUCAUAUGUCACAUUAUUUAAAAUAUGUCACAUUGUCACUUUUUAGUUAAAAAGUUAUAGGCUUAAUUGCAGUUUUGAUCCCCCUAUUUUAGCUGAAUCGUGAAAGUAGUCCCUCCAUUUUGUUUCUCCCCAGUUUUGGUCCCCCAAACAGAAUUUUAGUCCAAAACUUGAUGAAAUUUUAGUUUUUAAAGUCGUACUAAACCAUUUAUGAUCGUAUAUUUCAAGUACAAUUGUUGCAAAUGAGAUCUUGAGGCAUUGUGUGACUUAAAUAAAUGCAAACAAAAUGAAAUUUCAUCAAGUUUUGGACCAAAAUUCUGCUUGGGGGACCAAAACUGGGGAGAAACAAAAUGGGGGGACUACUUUGGCGAUUCAGUUAAAAUAGGGGGAUCAAAACUGCAAUUAAGCCAAAGUUAUAAUGAGGAACCAAAACUUUUAGAUUUUAAAAUAUAAGGAUUAAUUUUGUGAAUUAGUAAAAAUAGGAGGACUAAAAUUGCAGUUAAAUUAUUUUUAUAAUAAAAAUGUUUAUAUUUAUAUAAGAAUGACAAUAUAAUAUGCACCCGUGGAUACCCACCAAAAUCUGUUUGAUUUGGACGAGGAAAACCCGCUUUGAUUGGGUGCAAGUGUGAAUUUCCCCAAAAUUAAAAUUCGGGAACGAAGACGAGUUUGGAGUGAUGAUAUUCUCCCCGCACCAAAACCCGCUCUACAAGUAAUAUUAUAGUAAUUUUUAAAUUUUCUAGAUAUAUACAUGUUGGAUAUACUUAAUAUUUUUUAAAUAUUAAAAAUUAUAAUUUUAUCUAUAUAAAAAAUAUUUUUUAAUGUUAUUAUUGUCUAAUAAUUAUUAUUUUAUUAUAUUAAUUAUAAUAAUAUGAUUUUUAAAUUUAUAAUUUUACAUAUAUUAAUGGGUGCGGAUUUGAGCCAAGAAACUCGAACCCGAACAUGAUGAAACUAAAUUUUACACCCACUAUAAAACGAAGACAUAUAUAAGUUUUCCCCAAUUGAUCGAAUGGAAGAUGAAAGAGAUAAAAUCUACUCCUACCCUAUUGUCAUAUCUAUAUCCACAAAUAAAGUUGUACAUCACAUCCUUAUUGUCAUAUCUAUAUCCACAAAUAAAGUUGUACAUGCCACAUCAUUAAAAUUGAGCAUUUGAGCUUAAAAUUUGGGGAAAAAAUACAGAGGUCUUCAAAAAAGAAAAAAGAGGCGAAAGGUGAAAUGUAAAAAUAAUUUGGUUUUGAAUAAAGGGAAUCAAAAUCGCACAAUUAAGUGCAAUUAAACAUAAAACUAAAUACCAUAUAAAUAGGGUUUCUCGUCUGUGUUUUUAAGCUCACUUCUUUCGUAUCUUACUAUUCCGUCUACCCUUUCACCCAAAACUCCGAAAUCAUUCUCACUUUGCCAUCACCCAAUACCAUCGACCUUCCACUUUCCGACAGCGUUUUCCGUCGAUCCGACACUUUCCUUCUUUUUUUCUCAAUCGUUUAGUUCUGGUUCGUUUAUAUUCAUCCUAACCAAGUUUUUUCUCUUAUUUAUUCUUCUUUUAUGUUGUUUCGGUUUUUAUUUUUAACAUUUUAGUUUAGUUUUCAUUUGUUGUUGUUGUUUUGUUUCGUUGAAUUAUCGUUCUUCUAUUAUGUUGAUUUUUUUUUUAUCAAACACCGUGCCUAUUUUGUGAAGGAGAAGAAGGGAUUUUUUUUUCAAAAAUUGUGACUUGAUUUUUUUCUCUUUUUUGAGAUUGAUUUUCAUGUGGUUUAUGCACUGUAGCCUUGAAAUCGUAAUGAAAAUUUGUAGAUAUUAUUAAUUCUAGGUUUUCUUUGCUAUGAAAUGCAUCUGAAGGAAAUGUUUUUGUUUAGCUUACUGAAUUGUGCUACAAAAUUGUGAUUUGUAAAUAAAGUGUGUGAGAGAAAUGUUCAGGUUGGUAACUGAGAAGAGUUUGAAAUAUCCUACUCAUGAAUUUAUUGAGGUCUUGAAAAGUCAUAUUUUUUAAUUGUCCCAGUUUUCCAAGUUUUGAUAUUUUUGUGAGUUCUUUUGCGCAUGUUACGCAUCACGAUGACCUAGCGUUCAGUUUGUCUAUUUUUUUUAUUAGGCUAACGCGUUUAUAAGUUUUUUUGUUUUGUUUUAUGCUGUUAAUGAGUUUUUCUUUUGAAAAUGCAGUUAAUGAUUUAGCAUUAGUACCAACUUGUAGGAGAAAAGAGAUUAAGCAAUAAGUUUUUGGCAUUAGAUUAACUGUCACUAAAAGGUAAACUAGGAAGAAGAAAAAGUCACACCAAAAAAAGCUAUUGCCGUUAUAUAUUGUUAUAGAUAUCAUGAACUGUUGCUUUGGAUUAACACAUUCAGUUGAUGUCAGAACUGAACCCAAAUAAUCCAUUCAACUGAGGAGGAUAAAAUUGCAGCAGCAUAUGUUCAUUCAAGUAGCCUUCUCAUGUUUAAAACACUGCUUAUGCAUUUAGUUUAAAACAUUUCCUCCUACUUAUUUUGAAUAUUAUUAUUUUAGUUAUCUGCCCCAAUUUGCAUAAGACUGUUGCCAGUAAUCUGGACCUGAUCGAAAUUUUUAUGUUAGCUACCUCUCUUGUUUAUGUUAAAUGCCUCACAAAUCUAGUUAAUAUUUUAAAAUUCAAUUAUGUUAUGGCAACUGUGCUAGACGUUAUUUGUGAAAUGAGGGGUUUUAAGUCACUGUGCUUACUGGUUAGAAUGGUUUUUAUCAUUUUAAAUAAAUAUAUCUGAGAAUUAUUUUUCCACAUUAAGAUCUUAAGAUAUGUGUAUGCUUUUAUACAAUUUUGAAUUGGUAAAAACUGAAUCAACUGAUCCAAUCCAAACCAUAUUUUAUCAGAUCGGACAAAAAAAUUUUAGGUACUAAUCCAAACCUAACCACAUGUUUUAAUAUUUGGAUAAAAAAUUAUUUUUGCUUCAAAGUCGGGUUGCGUUUUUUAUGGCUCACCAGAAAGUGAAUCCCCCUAGUAGGCUCACUUUUACCCCCAUCAUGUUGUGAGCCAACUAGGGUGGGACGAGUUGGCCCAUUUGGACAACUUUAUUUCACUUGUUUUCUGCCUAUUGGUUCGAUGCACACGUUCUUUGUUGAAGUGAAGCUUUUGUUUUCCAGUGAAACCACUACUUUCCUAUUUCAUUUUGAACAAACUUACAUUUAUGUAAUGCUGAUGAGCUAUGAUUCAUAUUUGAUUGUAUAAUUUGAAUGAUGAUUGUUAAUUAGCAACAUUUUUUAAAUUUGUUGAUUAAUUUGGUAAAUGAUGAUGCAGAUAGGUAGGAGGAAGAAAUAAAAAAAAUGCCUCCUUAUGAUUGCAUGCUUUUAUUCAAGCCCAACGUGAAAAAAGAAGCCCUCAUCAGUUUAGUUGCAAGAAUUGGAAAACAUGUGUGUAGAAGAAAUGGGGUUGUCACCGAGGUUAAGAGUUUUGGAACAGUUCAGUUGGGCUAUGGUGUGAAAAAGCUUGAUGGCAGAUUUUUUCAGGUGAGUGUCACAGUAAUUGUUCCUUGUGUAGUAAUGCGCAGAUUAUUCAUUUCUUUCAUAUUUAAUCUAGUGAGUUUUUCCUCUUUUUUCUGUUCUAAUUAAAACCUUAGUGCUUCACAGUUUUUGUUAUUUGGGUUAUAUUGGUAAUGAACAAAUGCUACAAAAACAACUAACAAAUAAAUGUGAUGCAUAAGCCAAUGUCAAGAUGCCUUUGGUGUGGUAUGUUAAAGGAUUUGGAGAGAGACUAUAAAAAAAUUGUUUCAUAUAGCUCUAGGUUUGAGGUAAAGUUGAUUUGUUGGAUGUCGAAAUAGUAGACCAUGGAGGUGUUUGGGAAACAGCUUAAAUAAUUGAAACAUUUAAUUCAAUGAACUAUUUGCAUUUGGAUAUAUAUGUUGAAAAACUAUUUGCUUUUUCAAUAUGUUUCCCUCUGUAAAAAUUGAAUUUUGGUUGGAUAGAAUCAAAAUACGAACAAGAAAUAAGGUUUUCAUAAGCUGUACUUAAAACUGUUUUUGUAAACUAUUUUAAGGAUGAAAUCAAUUUAUACAUACUAUGAAACUCUUCCACUGAAACAAGUACUUAUGUAUUGUUAUAAUAAAUCUAAAUAAAAUCUAAACAAGCUCUUCUGAAUCCCCCCUAUGAAUAAUACUGUUCCACUCAAUGUGGCUCAAAAGCAUGAAUUCAAAGAACAUCUUAUUAAAAUUCUAAAAGUGAAGUGUUUAUCAAACGUGCUGUUUUCCAUAUGCUGCUGAAGUUUCCGCAAACUUAUUUUUUUGUUUGAGAGUGUACCUUUGGUGAUACAGAAGGAGUUGCAUGUUCUACUUUAAGUUUGAAUUGAAAUUAUGCAAUUGUUAAGUAAUGUGUUUCUGGUUUCUAUUUUUAAUGAAUGUAGGGCCAACUGAUGCAAGUGAGCAUGAUGGCUACACCAGAAAUCAACAAAGAGCUGCAUUACCUAAACAAGGAAGACAAACUAUUGCGUUGGCUUCUGGUUAAGCAGCGCGACACAAAGUUUGGGCUUGAGUUCAUGGGAGAUGAAAAUAGAUUGGAGCUAAGCAAAUUCUCUCAAAUAAAUAAACCUGAUGAUGAGGAUGAUGAUAAUGAUGAGGAUGAUGAUGAAUAUGAAGUGAUCGAAGAAGAAAACAAAGUGAACUAAAAAGAUGGUUGUAUUUUGUUUGUUUCCAUUAGGAUAGGAUAAAACAAUUGUGCUACAUAAGACAUGAAGGUAGUUUGGCCUUGAAGAUGUUUAGUAAACUGCUUGCUGUCUCUUGAUUUUAGACAAUUAUUUCUUUGUAACUUGGUGAAAUAAUUGAUUUACAAACGCCAGUCUUUGAACAUUUGAGCACUUGAUUACAUCCAAUUCAGGUGUUACUAAGGAUUUUAUUGCCUUUAUGUAUGUUGGUGUGAUUAGUGCUUAUCUGCUAGACCAGGGAAAGGAAGACUUGAACUGAUUUUUUAUUCUGCCGUGGAAGAGGACUUGUAUGGCAUAAAGACACAUUUUCAGAUAUUUGUAAUACGAAUAUGUUAGGUAUUUGACUUUUGUGUAAACUCUUGUUUAAAGUAUGAUAACUUUAUCAUCUUAUUGGAUGGCCGAAUGAUUAAAUUUUAAAGUGUUUUUUUUUUUAGUUUUCAGUUGGGCACUAAAUAUGCAUUUUCUAACAAAGUUUUAUAAUUUUAUUUAUUACACUGAAAAAAUAGCUCCUUCAAAUAGACUUAAAAAAUAUAUUCUGAAAACAUGAAGGACUUUUUUAGCAACAAAUAUGCAGUAAAAAGUUGUAAGUCCGUGAUAGUAACGGAUAAGAGGAUCGUCUGGUAAAGAAAAUAAAAUUUCCAAAAACUAAAUUUUAGACACAAUUGCACUUUUCAAAAAUUUAAAUUCAAAAUUAAACAUGUUUCUAAAAGUACAUUUACAAUCUAAAAUAUUAUUAAUUUUUUAAAAUGUGGUAUAUCACAAUCAACAUUGUGUAAAUUAAUUUUUUUAAAAGGACAUUUUAAUAAAUAAAAAUGUGUUACAGAAUGUGUACGAGAGACUGUUGUUAGUAUUACUGUUUAUUGACUACUAGAAGAUGUUGGUCUUUUUUUUUUUCUUCUUUUUUGACAUGCGAGGAUGUAUGUGUUCCAUGCCAAAAAGUUGUAUUUUUAUGUUUGUUGAGUAGGGGGUUGGAUUUGAAUGUAUGUAAACUUUUCACAAAGUAUAAUGGACAACGAUAACCAGAUUAAACACUCAUUUGACCCCGACGUACAUAUGCCAUUCUAGUUCUAGUUUUAUAAAUUAAUAAACCAUUUACUUUUUAGGCGUAACGAUCAUUAUUUUUCAUUUACACACCUGCUUAAAAUAAAUAGGAGUACCACAUUGUUUCCAGUAUGAACAAAUACAACAGAAUCUCCAUGCACUGGGAUAAUGGGGACUUUUGGAGUAACAACCAUCGCACCAACCGUCUGUUUGCAUGCAGUCGUACUCCGUUUGGCUCUGGAAGCAACCAAUAAUCCAAUAUCCUUCUAAAUUAAACCAAUAGCAUGUCUGGGAGUUUGAGAAAACAGCCCCUGGCCUAAAAGUAGAGGGACCAAAUACACUAUUCUCAAAUUCCUUGAAUUAGAACUGAACUGCAAAAGAUUACAACUUGUGAUUAGUUAGACCAAUAACAGCGUUGAAAUAUCGGAAAAUCAUGUCAGACACACACGUAUAAAGAACAUAUCUAGUAAGAGUACAACAAAUGUGUGAAUGAACUAAUCUUGACCGUGCAAUCGUAUAUGGAUGAUUAAAAAUAGCCCUUCACAUGCUGGUAUUUGAUUUUGUUAAGUGUAUGUGUGUGUUAUAUAGUCCAAAUAAGCAUUUCAUUUUAGAGGCCAACUUGGAAACAAGCCAAAUAAGACACUGAGUCAUUCCAGAAUAAGGUCGUUUGGAUUUCGGAUUUCCAGUCAGAGUUCAUUAGAUAUCCCAAUGGCCUUUUAUUUCAUUAUUCUGAAAACACUCCUGCCUCUUAUUUUGUUUUUUCUAUAUUGUCCUCUAAAUGAAAUAUUAGUCCCUUCAGAAUUGCCAAUAUUACCUCCUUGCUUUCAAUGGCUUUUUUAUUGAUUCAAAUUAAGACAUAACCAAAAUACAACCAAACAAAGGACAGAUAAGCAGAAGCAUACAAACAAGCCCUAAUCUUGUCAAGCAUGAAAAAUCAAAGUAGAUGCAACAGAAAUUGGAGCAACUUUAUUGUAUCAUACAACCAAAAUACUAACCACCUGUAGCAAAUCAGGAAAGUUCAAAUCCGGCAUUUGAACUUAUAGCAUAUAGAAGCUUUGCUCGCAAAGUGCUUGGACGUUUGUAUGUUGGAAGCUGUAACCAUUGAGAGGAAAAUAAAAAUGUAAGCAACUAUUGUCUGAAAAACCAACACUUCUGUCUCCAUGAUUUACAUCACCAAGUGAUGUGUUUGGUAAGUGGAUAUUAAGAGUUCAUACUUAUUGACAAACCUAUCUAUAUCAUAUUUUCAGUUAUGAGUUCAUAAAUUUCAAGAUCCCCAUGUUCAGUACAUCAUAACUCAUAACUGGUAUGAGAAUCUUGCUUUGAAGUAUAUGGUUAAGGAUGUCUUCUUCUAUUACUCUACUAAUACUUUAGUAGUACCUUAAGAGUAUUGUAGCAGGUUGAAGCUGAUGGAAGCCGCUCAACAUCUUGUCCUCCAAUUGUCGCCCAAAGAGGGACAUCACAUGCAACCUAGGUGAACAAAUAGACGCAAGUGAUGCUUACUAUUCAUUGAAAUCAAGACAUUUUAGGAUUCACUAAAAAAUGGAUUAUAUUUUGGGAUUCCUUUAGUUCAAUUAAGAGAUCAAUGAUAUUUCAAAGGGAAAAAAAUGUGAGAAAGAGGAAAACAGAAAUUCUAGAAAACAAUAGCUGGCUAAAAGAGCCACACACAAACGUCUAAUAUUUUUCUAAUUUUCUUCCAUUUAAUGGAUUACUGUAUUCUUAUAAAGAAUGCUGAAAUGACCAUUGAAAAAAAAACAUCCAAGAAGCAAAAUACAGUACUUUAGGAAGCCCUAUUUGGUGUGGGCGAUGCUGAAAAUCUAAGCCAGUGGACUGGCAUAUUUCACAAAGAACCCCUUCUCUAAAAGAGAAAAAUAAAACUUUUGACUAAAGUGAAGGUGAUUGUUUCAUGUAAAACAGAAUUCAAAAUUUUAUCUUAUUAGGUAUUGACAUAUUGGAACAAGGUGUUCCUUUACUAUACUUCCUGUCACAUAAUUAUUAGUGUAUCAGAAAAAAAAAACAUCUGUGUACUUCUUAAACUUCUCUUUCCAGCACCAUAAAGUAAAAAUGAACAAAAUUUGUGGGAGUUGUAAUACUGAAAUUUGGCAUGGGUAGGUUGGCAACUCUUACAAUUCAUAGCAAGCAGUUAAAGCACUCAGCAUUUAACUAAAAACUGCAUAGUACAUAAAUGCCCAUAUAGGGAAACCCAUCCUUCCAAGUAGCUUAUUAGAAGAGUUUGAAUGCUCUGCUUAUUAUUAUUAACACUAUUGAUAUGCUAAACGGGCCACUCCAGUAAAAACUUGAAAAUCAUGCAUUAUUUCAUUACUAUAAACAAAGCAAAUAGGACGACAUAGGUGCUAGUACAAAAGAUCUUGAAUGCUAUCAAACAUAGAAAAUCAAGAGCAUACCUUGUGGAUGGUAAAAGGUGGCUGUAAGUAUUUGAACCCAAGUAAUGGAGCACGAGAACAACUUGUGACAAAUUUAAGAACCAUACAACGCUCUUUCGGUUCAAAGCCUUUAAUCACCUGUAAGAAAUUGGCAAUCAGCAGAGAAUGAAUAUUGAUGUCGUAAAAUUGGUAUGUGCAUAAAUAGUAUGCAUAAAUUCUUCAAUUUAAUUCAUGAGGUUGAAAAUAAUGGUCAAUAAUCACACCCUACAGCAAUUAACGUGUACAAAAUUCACAAACUAGCAAAUAUGUAUGUGUUAGAGAGGUUGAGGAACUGCAAUUCAAGCAAAUUCAUCAAAUCAGCAGCCUCUGCUUGGGGAGGGAGAGAGAAAGGGGGAGAUCUCUGAUCAAUUAAUUGGAUGAUAACUUAUUUGUAAGCCACCAAUCUCAAAAAACAGGAAAUACAGAAACAACAUUGACUCUAUCCAGUGCUUUUAAUUUGAUAAGAAUCCACAACACAUCGUGUAGCCAUCAUCUGUCCUGUUAAAUUCUGGAAGAACAAGCUAUAUCAAAUUUGACUUGAUUGUUAUGGUUUGGCACGAAAAACCCGUUUACCCUCGUCUGGGAGGAGAGAUAAUGCACUAAGGCUCCUUAAUUCUAUUGUUAGUAGGGGUGUAAACAAGCCGAGCCGAGUCGGACACUUGAAGCUUGGGUUUGGCUCAUGAGAAAAAUAGGAUUUUGAGUUGAAGCUUUAGUUUGGCUUGUUUACAUAAAAGCAGACGGUUUAAAUCACAAACAUUUAUAUAUAAUAUGUCCAAAUAUGGAAAUAUAUUGAAAAUAAUAAUAUAAGGGAUACAAUUUUUAACAUCAAGUCAUCAAUUCUCCCUAACAAGCAAACUCAACGAGAAAGAAAUCAAAUCUGCAAAUUGAGCUAGAUAUGAGUCAUAUGACCACCAUGUACAAAACUGAGGGGUUUGCAUAUAACAAGGGAAAUACACACAAUAUUACAUUAGUUUAAAUAUUUUUUUAUGCAUGGAUUCAGAUUGCUAUGCGUGUAUGUGUGCAGUACUGAGGUUCCAAAUUCCAAUACCUCCCAGAAGAUUUUGAUUGUCCGGCUCCCCUCAUUGUAACCACCAGUGUAUCGUGUGUUAUUUUUAAAAUCAUCAAUGUCAAUAUCGUAAUUGCCACCUGAAAGCAACUGCAUUCUUGUAUAUCUCAGAAAUCUUGCAGUAAAAACUGAACUCAUCACAAAUAGAAUUUUCAGUAAAGUUAUCAUAAGUUGCUUGUAGUGAAAGAGUGAGAAAUUGCAUCUUGAUUCAGAUAUUAUUCUCUUAUCAUGACAUAUUCCUUUGCACAAAUAAAAAACUACUUCACUGAUACAGCAUAUAAUUUUAAUAAAUGUAGAAUUCUGUCACUGAAAGGCUCUGUUGCGCUUUGUCCAAGAGAGAAGAGAAAACAUUAAACUCACAAAGAAAACCUUUGAAACACACUUGGGAAAGAAGUUACCUGAUUAAAUUCACUAGCAUUAAAUAAUUUCAACCAGGAUGGAGAUAUAAGAUCGGUUAGCCCUCGAUAAAAUGCAUUUGAAAAGGGCAAUAUCUGCAAUUUAAACAUUGUUACAUGCAUACCCAUGAUACCACAGAAAAUACAGUACAUAAGUGAAUAAUUUGCAUUAAACUACAGUCAAUGAUGAUUAAACCUGUUGGUUGAGUUUGUAGUCUGCCAUUGCAUGUAUGUACUGCAUCUUGUUCUCGUUUGUCACAGAAAUAUCUUUGCCACCAGACUUGAGCUCAAUCACAUGCCUUUUGCCAAAUGAUUCUUCAGUAACUGUGAAAUCAAGAGAGAGCUCCUUGACAUCACCAUCAUAACUCUGCAUGAAUAAUUAUGUGAACCAUCCAGUAAAAUGUUAAAUUGCAAGAACAGGCAUGCACAGUAACAACCCAAGUCAAACGUGGCCAAAUUAAAUUAAAAAUGAGACAAAAACCAGUACUUCAAGAGAAGAACAGUCCCAAUCCUAGAAUCAAACCUAACAUACCAAAUACAAAUUGGGUCUUGUUAAUCAAUUAUUAAAUUUUUAAGGUUUCCAUUAAUAAUACUGUUAUUUAAGAGUUAUGUAACAUCCAGCUGCCCCCCACCAAGGCAUUAGCUCUUAGAGAAAAUUCAUAUAACAAUUAGAGGUAAGUAUUUGUGCUUUAGAAGGAUUGCACAUGGACCAAGCUCAUCUACAGAAGGAGGAAACAUUUUAGGCCAAGAAGCAGCACCAAACCAUGUAAAAUUUUAAAAACAAGGAUCCUAGCAUAAAGCAACGUGAUGCAUUAUGGAUGAACCUUAUUAAUUUUGACAAGGAUUUAUAAGAGAAGCAACAGCAUGGAUAUGUCUCUCGGGAUUACCUUGACAUACAUGAGAUUCCUGUAUAGCUCCGGAUCAAGUGUUGAUAAUUCAUCAAGAAAGCUAUAUCGUCCCAAUAGCUUUUGAACAAAAACAUGCGAGAAAGAGUAAUCAAGUAAUAUUCCUUCAUAAAAAGAUUUACCAACUACUCUUCCAAGGAACUCAAUCAUUUGAAGACCAUUGUCCAGAAAUCUUGCGGAUGGAGUUGGAAUUAGGAGCCUGUCUGAAGUUGAGGUUUGGGUAAAAAGCCCGUAUCUAGAGAAAAAUGAAAAAGUUUCAGCUAAGUCGCUCCUAGAAGCGGAAAUAACCAUGAAAUAAAAGCAAGAAAAUACAAAAUAAUCUCAAGCUUACUCUGGGGCAAAUGCUUCUUUUGACAUGUCAGUCAAAAACUCUUUAGAUAAUCCACCAUAAUCCAGACCAGCCUCCGUAAGGCCACAUUCACUGACAAACGAUACAUGGAUGGACGACUUCAACUUUGAACCAAGUGAAUUUAAUUGUCGAAAUCCAUCUUCAACGAUAUGACCCCGGCGUACUACUAUCUCAAUGGCUCGUGAACCGGGUUCAGAAAUUUCACCAGCCAUUUUGCGUGAGGCUUUAUCCAUCUUGAUGAAUUCACGAAACAUCUCAACUCUAUUUCAGCAUUAAAUCAAGUGAUUAAGUACUUUCAAUCAGAGACUAUAUCAGGUGUUACAUUCAAAACAAAUGAAUAUUACAUGGUGAAGAUACCCAUGAAAGGUUUUGCUGAACUAGGCAAGUUAUCGCCACCAAAAAUAAAACUAAGAUUAAAUUCUUUUUCUAAAUCUUGCACUUUCUACUACUAAAGUGAGAAAACUUUAAAAAACAAUUCAGUCGGGCUAUUCCCCUGGUCAUUAGUUAUNNNNNNNNNNNNNNNNNNNNNNNNNNNNNNNNNNNNNNNNNNNNNNNNNNNNNNNNNNNNNNNNNNNNNNNNNNNNNNNNNNNNNNNNNNNNNNNNNNNNNNNNNNNNNNNNNNNNNNNNNNNNNNNNNNNNNNNNNNNNNNNNNNNNNNNNNNNNNNNNNNNNNNNNNNNNNNNNNNNNNNNNNNNNNNNNNNUCCCUACAUUUUAUCCUUCUAAAGGAUCAGUUGACGUGACAAUGGAAAUGUCAAAAAGGAUAUAAAGUACAGAAUAGCAGAACUGAAUAAAACAGAAUUUAUGACAAGAGGUUCAUAAUGGCCACAGUCACAGAGUUGGUAGUUACCUCUCUUCAAACGGGAAAACGUGAGGAGUUAUGGUGAUAACAGAGCCUACACUCAGGGAAGUUAAUGAAUCAUCAGAUCUCAGGUUGGCCGAAAAAAUUUCAUGAGUUCUAGCAGCAACUGCAAUUGGUGGCCGGCUUUUUCUGGCAGGAGAAAGCCACAAGUCAGGAGGACAAAAUGGGUGUCUGCAAUCCCUUUCAUACAUUAAAUGUAAGCAUCUGACAGCACAAUCCAUGAGGGCCCUGCUGUGAUGACCAUUAACAUGGGACAAGCCAUUAUAGACCAGGGUAUUGAGCAUUGAUGCAAUUCUUCGUUGCUGCUCUAACUUGAAUGGAACCUAACGAUGUUAUCAAAUGCUCUAGAAAAUUAAGUUUCUGAAAAUGUGGACUAAUUCAUAAAAGGACUGGGAAGAGAAGAAACAAGCUGCUACCUGUUUCUCAUAAAACUCUAUGUCAUCAAGAACUAAAAGCAGAUGAGAAUAGGUCGCACAGAAAAGAUGAAGCAUAGCAAACAUAUUCUUUGGAAUGCCUUGUGGGCCAUGCCUCAUAGGUUCAAUGUCCCAUACAUCUGAUGAAUCUAAAUUCACUUUGCUAGUUGCAGCGUGACUGCCAAUGGCAUCUGUGCAGUUUGUUGCAGUUUGUGAUUUACCUGUAAAUUUAUGAAGGGCGCUGACCCACUUACUGCCUCCAUCUUUACUUGCCUGUUUUGGAAUCUUCUCAAAAUCUUUAUGUUUUGCAUUUUCACUUGUGUGAUUAUCAGAAAUAUGUUUGUCUGCAGAGAAAAAGGAAUCCUCCAGUACACCCCACAAUCUCACAAGAAAUCCGGGAGUAAAUGAUAGCAUGUUAAGAACUGGUAAUGAGCCACGAAUUGGACUCAAGGCUGAAAAUAUUCUAAGGAAGUUAGAAUAAAAAAGUGCAACAUCACCAAGAUCUAUCUUCGCCAACUGUACCACACUGUUUGAGAUAGAAGUCUCAGCCUUCUUAAUGGCAUCACUAUUCACUGAUGCCAAAAGAUUUGUGAGAUGCCACUGCUGACAAACAGGCCUAAAUUGAUCCAUGUAUGACAUUAUUAACGAUUCAUGGGUUGCUUCACCCUCAUGCAGAACCAUAUCCCCCGGCUGUAUUAAACUUUCAACAUCAGUUUGAAAAGAUUUCUUCUUCUUUUUUAGCCAUUCAAUAUUAUAAAGAUAAGCCAGUAGACUUUCUGCUAGAGUGAUAAUAACAUGGACAUACAACGCCCAGUCUAAACCUUGAUUGAAGGAUCUGGAGUCUACAGAGUCAUUUUCAUUCCCUGUUGCUAGGCAUAUAAAGUUAGCGAGAGACCAACCAACUGGUGGAAUUUCCUUGAAAGAGACAAUAACUUCUGACUUAGCCAACUCUGACAUCUCCAUUAAAACAUUCUCUUUCAAAAUCUGUCAUCACCUGUCAGUUUUUGAUCAGUUCUGAUAUGUUUGAAUCAUAAAUUAUAAUCUAUGAAGCUAACGAAUCUGUGAUCUUAUUGACUCUAGACAGACAGAUGUGACGGCAGCAUCUUAAUAUGUCAGAGACGUUGCCCUUAAGUAAAAAAUAAGAAUGAAAAUGCACCUUUGAACCAUUGUUUUAUAUGUUUACAGAUAGAGGGAAUAAGUAAAGAACCUUGAUAUAUUCAAAUUAAACAACCUUAAGUUUUUUCAGUUUAAGAAGUAUUGUAUGAGUGUGAGUAUUCCUUCGUAUAAAUAGUGAGAAAAUAUAGUUAGACAGUAGAUUAAAAUAAAUAUUAGAACCAUUUACAUUGUUACAACUCCAAUACUAUAAGAUAGAUACUAACAAAUACAAAACUUGCUAUCAAACAUUGAAAGAUCCAUCUUGGAUUAGCAAACUUAAAACUAUAAUAUCAAACAAAUUACAAAAGAAUAGAGAAGUAAAAUGUGCAUGCAAAAUCAUGCAUCAGCAAGUCAAAGGUUAUAACUACUUUCAUUUAAUUAUACAAAAACACAUGGGUUACAUUUACAUGAUCCAUUUGUGGCAUCAAAAAAUAAGAUUUAAAUAUUUCAUAAAGAAUAAAAAAACAAUAAAAGAGAACAAGUUCUCAUUAAAACAAAAGAGAUGGCUAAUAAUUUUGCAGGUGAAAUUGUUCUGCUUUAAUUAUGCUUACCAAUAGUGUCUGAAAACAUGGGAACAAAAUAGACUUGUGCUUUAAAGCAGGUAGAAGAACGGGUGGGAGAAGUUGCACGAGCCAGGGAAUAGUCAUUAGAUGUACAAUAUAUUGCUUAGCAGCAUGGUUGACAUCCAGUAUAUCAGGCCUUUCUCCAUCAAAAAAAUUCAGAUAAAAUGGUCGCACAGCUAAAGUUAUUGCACUUGCAGUGAUAAAAAAUUUAUCACUUUCAUGGGUGAUAACUUUUGUCUGGGAAGAAUAAUUAUCCAACGCACUAAUAUAUCUAGCAAUAGAAACAUAACUACUACUUUUGUUACUCCCUGUGAACUCAACUAAACCUUUCACAGAUAAAUCUGCAUCUAAGCGGUUGUCAUCUGUAAUGCCUUUCCAUCCUUUUAGAUCAGUUAAAAUUACAAGAAUACGCAUUGCUAGAGAUGUAACGAUAGUAAUAUCUUGAGCCCCUGAAUUGUAUUCACUGUACUCUGAAAGAAUAAAAAAACCAAGAGAAGUAAGAUGCUGUGCCUGGUAACUCCAAAUUCUUCUCUCUUCAGUUGUACCAAUUGCUAAAAAGCAAAAGUUCCGCUUUAAAUCUAAACAAAGACAACAAUAGAUCCAUUAGAAAUAUAUUAAGUACUCGUGUUGACAAGAAAAAGAAAAAUAGUUCCGUCGAAAUCUAAAAGCUACGAAAAAACAAAGCAACAGAAAGUAUCUUGCCAUUCAUAAUUUUAUAUAAGCGGUAGGCAUGCCAUCAUAUUUAAAUGAGUAACAUAACUGGAACACCAACUUGUGGUCCAAUAAAAGAAUAUCAAAACGAGGGAAUAUACCAGGAGAUUUCAAGCUUUCCAAUAAGAUUGUAAAGCACAUCCUCAUAGAAUCUAUUUUCUUGCUAUGGACCUUCUGAUACCGAUUUGAGAAACGGGUUAUAAAGAACAAAAAUGGCCUCAACAAAUUGUUUGAAAUCCAAAUUGCAGUCAUCACCCCAGUAUAACGGUUCACUGAUGUCUCCCACUCCUGUUGAAGCUGCAGAGCAACCAUCUUUGUAACCUUGAAGCGCCUCCAUACUCUCUUUCAACAUUAAGAAAAAGUCAUCAUUUCUCCAUUUUGAUACAAACAUGAGGUGCUAAUGAAUGCCAACACAAGGUCAGAAGAAUCGUGCAAAGAAAGCAUUAUUUAGAAGACUCAUAGUCACUACAAAAUCAUUUCAAUUUUCCUUUCCCUAUAAAUACUGGUUGAAAAGUUUAUCCACACCAGCUCUACAUAAAAACAUAGUACUCCUUACAUUCCAAAUAGCAAAAGUACAAAUUUUCAAAAUUAAGUGUCACUUUGUCAUUCCAAUGCAUCAUUAAUUACAUUUUUCCAAUUUUGCCCCCAAUAAUUAUACAUGAGACAUAUAGUUUUUAUUGCAACUUUUCAUUAACCAAAGACAUUAUCAAGCAUGCAUCGAUUAAUAAACAGAGUUAAUUUAGUAAAACUACUAUAUCUACCGUUUUUCUUAAUAUUUGUGUAAAAAGUAAAAACCUUAAACGACGGAUAAUUUGGAAGGAGUAUUUCACAGUGUCUCAAUUCAAGGACUUAUUCUAACUUUCAGAAUAUUAUUUUUUCUUGAGUUAAGAUUUGUAAUUUUAUAUUAAUUAAUUUUAUACCAAAACACUAGCUUAUACUCACUCUAUAAGCUCAUAUAUGACCAAAAUAGGGUUGUUUGGUAACGGUCAACUGCUAUAAGCCCAUCCGCUAAUUUUACCUAAAACUUCAAAUUCAAUUAGCUGGUUCAUUCGCUAUCUGCUAUUAGCUACCUUAUCUACUAUCCACUAUAAGCCCGUCCAAUAUCAACUAGCUUAUCCGCUAUUUUUUUUACCAAACAGAGCCUAAUUUUACCUAUUCUGAUCUCAUGAUACGAUCUGAGUAUCAUGCAAAUAAGAAAAUAUCAAGUUGAAUCUUGAAAUUUUUCUAUGAAAUAAAGCAAAGAUGUUGGACCUGAAUGAAGAGAGCAGCAGAAGCAGCACGUUUUGCAUAAUUACGAAGCUCUCUUUCCCGUGAGACCUUCUGAAGAAGAUCAUCACGCGUUAUCUCCUUCGCACUCGCUCCUCUCAAUGAUACCUGAACAAAAUUCAAUUCUCAGAAUAAAAACAAUAAUCAUUAUAAUAACAUUGAUUCGAGGGGUUUAACACAAAAUUGAACAAGUUUAGGGAUAAAUUUAGAGGAAUCGAUUAUUUGAUAGGUAAGUAAGAAGAGUACCUGGUGUUUACGAUGUGCAUCCAUGGAAAAUCAGGAACAGAGAUGAGGUUCAAUGCUGAAAUCCAUUAAGUUCUUCACGCUAACACCACAGUGUUAAAUUAUUCAGACAUUUUUCAAUUUUCUAUCAUCUUCUUGUUGCGAUUUAAUUUUACUUUGACCCAAAUUUCUGCUCUCUCUUUACCACAACUGAGUUUGAUUUUUCAAGUUUGGUAACGAAGAACGAAAAAACAAAAAGACGAAAAGUUCGUUUUAUAUUUUUUUUGCUUUGCUAAAGUUGACAUGUCAAUUUUUUUAGUUGUCAAAAAUAAAAAAGUUAUUAUCAAAAAUAAAAUUUAUUAUUAUUAUUAUUAUUAUUAUUAUUAUUAUUAUUAUUAUUAUUAUUAUUAUUUAUCAUGGAAUUUCUCCAUCAUUUAUGUCAUUUGAAAUUCUAUUACUUCUCCUUCUAUGAAGAUCAAUUGGAAUAACAAUGUGACGGCUAAUUUUGAAUCUUCUAGAAGCUUAAGACAGAUAAAUUAUCUUUCUUUAUACCUUUUUGUUCUCGGUUUGAGCCACAAAAUCAAGGAUAAAGUAGCUGAUCAAACUUGGAUUUUUUUUUCAGCUUUGGUAGAUGUGAUAGUCUCAAUUUAUUUCAUGUUUACUUUUGCCGACGAUUUUAUUCUUGUUGCAGAAGCUACUCAAGCACAAGUUCAUUGUGUGAAGCAAUUCUUCAUGUUGCAGGAAUCUUGAAUGUUCUUCUGUGAAAAUAUAAGAGGAUCAAGAAAUGUUGUCGGUCAAGAUUGUGGGACGGUUUUUCUUUUUCUGAAAAAUGUUCGGGCUUUUAUGUUUAAAAUGUAUGGUUAUUUAUCUUGAUGAAAUUUUUUUUAAAGGAAAUAAUUAUUAUGAAAUAAAUAAAAUAUUAAUAUGAAGAUAUAUUUUUAGAAAUAAAAAAAAUUAUUUUAAUUAUUUAUAUAAAUGAAGAUAAUUAAUUAUUUUAAAAGUCUUUAAUUUUUUAAUUAACAAAUAAUUAAUACGAAUUUUAAAAAAUUAAAAUACAAAGUAAAUGGUUAUUUGGUAUCCAAGAAACCAAAGAUUUAGACAUCUAUCUUAAUGCUCGUGUGAUCCACCAAAGAGUCUCUAAUUUUUUGUUUUGUUUAUGAUUUAUAAAAUAAUGAAGAAACUUUUAGGUUGAUGAGUUCAAACUCUAUCUUUUACUAGUAGAAUAACUUUGGUACAUGUCUCUAGGGAUGGGAAUAGGCUAAGUUGUCCGACAGGGGCCUAUGACCUGGCCUAUUUAUGGUCUGGCCUGUUUAAUAAAAAAGUCAGGCUCAGGCUGUUUUUAAAGUCUAUUUAUAUAAAUAGGUCAGACUCAGACUUGUAAAAAAGCCUAUUAGGCCUGACAGACCGGCCUAUAUAUAUUUUAUAUGUAUUNNNNNNNNNNNNNNNNNNNNNNNNNNNNNNNNNNNNNNNNNNNNNNNNNNNNNNNNNNNNNNNNNNNNNNNNNNNNNNNNNNNNNNNNNNNNNNNNNNNNNNNNNNNNNNNNNNNNNNNNNNNNNNNNNNNNNNNNNNNNNNNNNNNNNNNNNNNAUUUGUUUCAUAUUUUUUAAAAAUUAUUUUGUUAGAAAAAUCAUUUUUUUAUUUAAUAUAUAUAUACAUAUACACAUUAGUAUUGGUAUAUGGAGAAUCAUAUAAAUCGAUAUGUGUAGAGCAUCAUGUAGCUAUAGAUAGUUAUUUAUUUAUUAUAUAUAUAUAUAUAUAUAUAUAUUAUUACUAAAUAUGAUGUUGCACAGAUAAUAAUGGGUGCGUUUGUUUUAAUAAAAAAUUUAUUCUUUUAAACUAAAAAUCAUUUUUUAGAGUUUAAAGGGUGUUUGUUUUAUAUUUUUUUUUUAAAUUAUUUUGUUAGAAAAAUUAUUUUUAAUAUGAAUAAGGCUUUUAAAUAGGCUUACAGGCCAUGCCAUGAUAGGCCGUAGGCCAGACUCAGGCCGGAAAAAAAGCCUAUCAUAGGUCGUAGGCCUCAAAAAUUCAUCGUAGGUCAGGCUCAAGCCUUUCAAAGCCUAGUCUGGUCUGGCCUAUUCCCACCCCUACAUGUCUCUCUCACUAACAUUGUAGAUUAAGUUCUCCAAGUAACUCACAUUCAGCUUCUAAGUGCAAUGAGUCAGAGCAAAUUUAUCAUAUUUUUAUUUGAGGUAUAACAUCAAAAAUUAAAAAGGUUCAUCUAGUAACUUGAGAUAAAAUAUGUCGCCAAAAAAUCGAAAGGUGGUCAUGCUUUCAAAAACCUAAUAUGUUGAACAAAGCCCACAUGGUGAAAUUGGUAUACCAAGUAUUCAUCUCGUCGAUAAGCUAUGAGUGAUAAUUUUGAUAUCAAAAUAUGUUUGGGAAUGCAUAUAAUAUACCACUAUUCAAGCAAAAGUUUAAUUCUUUUAAUAUUUGGAGGAGUAUAGUUAAAUUUUGGGAUGAUAUACAUGGUAAUAUAUUUUAGAUUAUUAAUGAUGGUCGAGAUACUAAAUUUUAAAAAGACUAUUGGAUCUUUGGUUAUAGUCAGCUAAUUGAUUAUUUUUCUUCUUCAGAAAGAAUUAGAGUAUCCAAUUAAUUAAUUAUGUGACUCGUGGAAGUUGAAAUUGGAAUAAAAUCAUAAAUAUUGUUCCAAAAGAUAUGUGCAAGAAAAUCAUUGUUCUUAAAACCCUUUUUCCAAUAACUAAUGGAUUUUUUUUUUUUUUGUUGGAACCUUACUCUAGAUGAUUUCUUUUCUAUGAAAUAUACUUAUGAGUGGAUGUAUCACCAAAACUCUUUGAGAUAAUUUAUCAUAGCCAUAUUUUUAAGAAAAAUCAUAAAUUAGAAAGGGUGAAAUGUGCCAAAUAUUUCCUUUUGAAAAUAGCUCAUGUCAAAUGGUUGACUAAUGAGGAGAGAUUUGUGAAAAUUUCAUUUGACGAUACUUAUUUAAAGCGUUUGAAUGCUUGUGACUCAAUUUGCAUUCUAUGGGAGAUUGUGAAUACAUAAGAGAUUUUUAUAUCCUUUGAUUGAUCCAAGUAGUUGGAACAAGCUAUUACAUUUGGGUCAUCAUAAUUGGCUUGAUUGAAAUGUAUCUUAAAAAAAUAUUGGUGUGACAUCAAUAAAUAAAUUGGAAGUUACUUGUUGUUUGUUGCUAUCAUUGAAAUUUUGAAAGAAAAAAAUAGAACAAUCGGAAGAUUCUCAAUACCAUCAACCAUCAUGUCACCCUUGUUUCUCAUUGUGUUUUUUAGAAGGUUUAUAGAUAUUAUUCUUUAUCGAUUAACAUUUAUUGGUUUCCUUCCUCACUUGUUUGUUGGCAGAUUAAUGUGGGUGACCUAGUUAUUGCUUUCUAGAGGAGCACAACUUGCAAAGGUUUGGUUUGUGAAUCUCAUGGUCAUCUCAUUAAGGGGUUCUUCAAUAAGUUUAGUUCAUGUAAUUUUUUGUGUAACUUAGUUGUGGACUCUCGUUUGAGGAUUUUUUCAAAAAUAUCUUCAUCAUUCCUCUCCUCCAACACAAUGUUGUUAUUCUCCAAUAUAUUCACUAUAGAAUUUCAUUUUUCUAUGUUUUAUCCAGAGACAAUUGUUGUGCUUAUUUUAUUGUUAAUAUGGGUCACUCUUCUUCUUUUGAUGGAUUUUUAAUCUUUUUAACAUGCCAUUUUUGUUCCUAUAUUGUUGUGAGACGAUUUAAAAAGUAUUUAUUUACAUCGUUCUACUAUAUCCUAUUUUCCGUAAAAUAAAAUUCAUAUAAAUAAUAUAAGAGAAAAAUAAUAGUAAACUGUCACUAUAAAUCAAAAGUAAACGAUUACCAUUAAUAUUAUCAUUUCAUCUCAUAAUUAUAACUUCAUUCUAUUAAAAACUAUAAAAUCAAUAUUUUAGAUUGUCUCAUAGUAUAAAACUAUUUACAAUAUGAAUGCACUACUAUUACUCUCAUAAACUAAAAUUACUUCCAAAACAAACUAUUUUCAUAAAUUCGUUAUACAAUUUAAUAAUUUCAAAACCCACAUUGGUACAUAGGAUAAUGUUGGCUUAAAGUUUAUAUUAGCCUAAUACAUCGAAUAUUGACAACCUAUAGGAGAUCAAUCAAGCAGUUAUUUAAAAUUUGAAUGAUUGUUCCCAAAAAUGAAACAUAUCACUAGUUUUGACUUAUUAAAUUUAUAUAGAUUGAACCAUAAUCAAAUAUAACUCAUGCAAAUCAUAGUUUAACACGAGAUAUGUUUCACAGGAGAAUUUUAAUAAUUUUUUCUCUCUUUAUUAUAGUGAUUAUACAUAAUUAUAAGGAUUUUAUAUUCUUUAAUUUGUCCUAAAUAUAAAAAAUUAUAUAUAUAUAUAUAUAUAUAUAUACACACACACGUAAUAGUUUAUACAUUUAGAUUUACAUAUAACCUACUUAAAUGUAAUUCGAUUAUCCAUUGUAGAUCAAAUGCAAUAAUAACCACGUAUACAAAUUUAAUAGACAUUCAAUCAUUUCAUACUAGAUGCUUUAAACAAUGAGACAAUUAUUAAUAAUCAAUGUAACAAUGUUAUAGAUUAUGACUGUGUUUGAUGACUUAACGUGGUUUAGACAAUUUAUAUAAAAUUGGAGUUAGGAUUUGCACUUUAAUCUCAAAUGAGUUUGACAUACAAUAAACAUUGAACUCAUAGGAAAGUUUUGGUCUAAUGAUAUCCUUAACUUGUAAAUGGGUCUAUUAUCCAUUACAACAAAUUACUAUUAGCUUCAUUUUUAAGCAUAAAAUUGUGACAUAUAAGAAUAAAUUAAAAUUAGACAGACCAUAAUAUUCUUGAAUAUGAUUUAAGUUCAGUUACACGUAAAUUAAAGAAUGCCCUUAUUUUUCAGAUAAUAUCACAUAUUCUCUUUUUGUCUAAAACAGAAAAUAAUGUAAUAAUAUGAGAAGAUAAGGUGUAUACACCAAACAUUUUUCCGUAGUUCAUUAAUUUCUUUUUACACGGUGAGUUCAUUAAUUUCUUCAGGUUCUUAUUCGAAAUGCAGUUGAAAACAGAGGAAUACAUGGAAAGAUGGAGGCACUCCUCCAAUUCCAACCCAGUUAUUUCUCCUUCUCCUCUUUCCUUCACCACUUGAGCUUGAAACCAAAUAAAACACAUCCCCGUUCUCCCCUUUUCAAUUUUCCCAUCAACAACUCAAAAACCCACUAUUCCCUUCACAUACACACACCCCCUCCACUUCCAAUUUCACACCCCCCUUUCCCAAAUCCCUCUCUUCUCUCCUUCUUCCUCCGUCUAUCUUCUCGCCACAACGACAUCAACCUCGCCAAAGCCAUCCACGCAACCCUCCUCAAACGCAAUGAUGAAAUUCAAAACACUCAUCUCUCCACCGCCCUCAUUUCAACCUAUAUCAAUCUCCGUCUCUUAUCCUACGCACACCAUCUCUUCCUUUCCCUUUCUUCCCCCACCGUCGUUUCUUACUCCGCUCUCAUUUCCGCCUUCUCCAAAUCCAAUCGCGAACACCAAGCUUUGUUCCUCUUCCUUCACAUGAUAACCACUUCAUCUCUUCAACCAAAUGACUACACUUAUGUUGCCGUUUUAACCGCCUGCACCCGAAUCCUCUAUUUCCAAUUCGGCCUCCAACUACACGCUAGGGUUAUCAAAACCGGACAUUUUAACAAUUCCGUUUUUAUCUCCAAUGCGCUUGUGUCUUUUUAUACUAAAUGCGGGUUUUAUCAAUCUGCAUUCAAGGUGUUCGAUGAAAUGCGUCAAAGAGAUAUUGCGUCUUGGAACACCGUCAUGUGUUGUGCGGUUCAGGAGUUUAUGUACGACACCGCGUUUCGAUUGUUUUGUGAUAUGCAAGUAAUUGAUGGAUUAAAAGUUGAUUAUUUUACUUUGUCAACGCUUUUGACUGCGUGUGGUGCAAGUGCUUUGGUGGUGGAAGGGAAGCAAGUGCAUGCGCAUGCUGUUAAGGUUGGGUUGGAUGCUGAAUUGAAUGUUGGAAAUGCACUUAUUGGAUUUUAUAAGAAUUGUGGAAAUGUUGAUGAUGUGAUAUGUUUGUUUGAGAGGAUGAGUGUGAGAGAUGUUAUUACUUGGACGGAAAUGAUGAGGGUGUAUAUGGGUUUUGGGUCGGUGGAUUUGGCUUUGAAGAUGUUUAAUGAAAUGCCGGUGAAGAAUUCUGUGACUUAUAAUGCUCUUUUGUCUGGGUUUUGUCGAAAUGGUGAGGGUUUAAAGGCUGUGGAAUUGUUUAUCAAAAUGGUGGAUGAGGGCAUGGAGUUAACGGAUUUCUCUUUGAGUAGUGGGAUUAAUGCUUGUAGUUUGCUUGGGGAUUACGGGGUCAGCAAGCAGAUGCAUGGAUUUGCAAUCAAGUUUGGGUUUGGUUCAAAUGUUUGUGUUGAAGGGGCUUUGCUUGACAUGUACACAAAAUGUGGGAGGAUGGUAGAGGCUAAGAAGAUGUUCAGCCGGUGGGAGGAAUCGGAGGAAGUUAGCUCUGUGGCUUGGACUUCCAUGAUGUGUGGCUAUGCUCGGAACGGGCAACCGGAGGAGGCGAUUUCUCUUUUCCACCUUGGUCAUACCGAAGGGAAAAUGAUUAUGGAUGAAGUUGCAUCAACUUCAAUGAUUGGUCUUUGUGGAACUGUUGGUUAUCUUGAUAUGGGUAAGCAAAUCCAUUGUCAAGUUUUUAAAUUUGGCUUUCAAUCUAUUGUGGGAGUUGGAAAUGCUGUUGUGAGUAUGUAUUUCAAGUGUGGGAAUGCAGAUGAUGCAAUUAAGAUGUUCAGUAAUAUGUCCUUUACCGAUACAGUUUCAUGGAAUACUUUGAUUUCUGGUUAUCUUAUGCAUAAACAGGGCAAUAGAGCAUUGGAAGUAUGGUUGGAAAUGCAGGAGAAGGGCAUAAAGCCUGAUGAAGUUACAUUUGUUUUGAUAAUUUUAGCCUAUAGGCAUACUAACUUGAAUUUGGUUGAUGACUGUUGUAGUUUGUUUAACUCAAUGAAAACGGUUUAUCACGUUGAGCCAACAUUUGAGCAUUAUUCCUCUUUCGUCCGUGUUUUGGUUCACUGGGGUCUUCUAGAAGAAGCAGUGGAAACCAUCAAUAAGAUGCCUUUUAAGCCUUCUGCCCUUGUUUGGCGUGCUUUGCUUGAUGGUUGUAGACUCCAUAAGAAUACAAUAAUUGAAAAAUGGGCUGCCAAGAAUAUUCUUGCCCUAGAUCCUAAAGAUCCAUCCACUUUUAUACUUGUUUCGAAUUUGUAUUCAUCUUCUGGGAGAUGGGACUGCUCUGAGAUGGUUAGGGAAAGUAUGAGAGAAAAGGGAUUUCGUAAACACCCGGCUCAAAGUUGGAUCAUUUCUCAGAAGAAAAUGCAUUCGUUCUAUGCAAGAGAUAAAUCUCAUCCACAAGAGAAAGACAUAUAUAGUGGGUUGGAGAUUCUAAUAUUGGAGUGCCUAAAAGUAGGAUAUGAACCUGACACUAGUUUUGUUCUCCAUGAAGUGGAAGAGCAUCACAAGAAAAAUUUUCUAUUCCAUCACAGUUCCAAACUAGCAGCAACUUAUGGAAUAUUGAUGACAAAGCCAGGAAAGCCCAUUCGGAUUGUAAAGAACAUUCUUCUUUGUGGGGACUGUCAUACAUUCUUAAAAUAUGUAUCUAUUGUCACUAAGAGAGAUAUUUUUCUAAGGGAUUCUUCAGGAUUUCACUGUUUUUCUAAUGGCCAGUGCUCGUGUAAAGAUCAUUGGUGAGAUGCUGGUAAAGUUGGUUGAUCUAACUGGUCAUCUUCAUUCAUAUCAAUGAUAUAACUGAAUUUUUUAAUUUUGUAUAUAAGAUUUUUCUUAGAUGUUUCUCUGAAUUUUAUAUCGCCAAUUAAGAGAAGACAGGUGCUCCUUUCUAAUGCUUUCCUAAAAGAUUUAGGAAUUAGUAGUUUGUUAUAAUCUUUAUCAUCUUUCUAUUGUAAAAUUAUAUCGAAUUUCGAUUUAUUUUGCAGCGAUGUAAUUGUAGUGUAUUUGUUUGCAUAGAUACAGGUAUGAAGCAGAUACUUUUUUUGAGGAAAUAUGAAGCAGAUACUUUUUUUGAGGAAAUAUGAAGCAGAUACUUACCGUAAGUUACUAUAUAUCAUAAUGAAGGAAUUCUGAAAUCGAAAUUCAACUAUACGUAAUACUUUUUUUCCUACGAGGAAUUGAUUUGUUAGGUAUAUGAAUAAGAAGCUUUUGAUUAUUUUUUCACGCACAGUAUACAAUUUUCCCCCUAGAAGUUAUUAUUGCAGAACUAUAACUUUUAUAAGAUUGUUUUAAAAAAAUUGGAAGACUAAUACACUUUUGGUCUUAGAUAAUUAACUUUUUCAUUCAUUUCAUAUCUCUUAGUUUUAUUUGUCGAUACAGGAAUAUUUAUGGUACGAUGUGAUCAUAAGUUCGUUACAGCUUCUAUUUCACGACUACACUAUUAGUUAUCAAGUAAUAGUAAUUACAGCUUCUUCAUGUGUUUCCCAAUUCUUAAUGAUUAAUCUCUCUAUGACUUGUUUUUCCCUUGAGAUAACUCAGCUCUCGAUGCCAAAUUGUUGGUGCACCUCUAUUUAUGAUUGUUAAGAUAAGAUGAUUAAGAAUUGAGAAGAAAUGAAUUGAAAUGAUCAAAAUUGUAUUGUUACUUGUUGCACAAACAACAUAGCCAACACUUAGCAUUUAUAUCAAACAGUUUGCAUAGUUAAAUUAAAACUAACUUCUUAACUUCCUUAAGAGCUUCUAACUUCCAGAACUGUUUUUCUAACUUCCUCUAACUAACAUUUAUGAAUUACACAUUUACCAAUAUUAUUGGUAAUCUUAUAUAUGCCUCAUCCUCAUUCCUUGAGCAAAUGAGUGAUGUCCAAGUUGUUUUAUCAAGUUUCGAAGACCCUUUAUCAUCUCUAAUACAAAUUUCAAUAUUGAUAAAUUCUACGUUACAUUGUAAUCCUAUUAUAGAUCAUUAUACUGAAUGUGAAUGUUGUAGUUGUAGUGUGGAAAACUUUAUAUAUAUAUAUAUAUAUAUACACUGUAGUUUUACAUUAUCAAAGGAUUAAGUUAGUAAUUGACAUAUGAGUCAAUUAAAUAUUCAUAGAUCCAUAUAUUGAUAAAAGUUGUCAUGAGAAGUUUAUCAGAGUGAGUUAUGUUUAAUUUUUCCCACACUUGUGAUUGUGAACACGAGAAAAUGGAGUGAUCAUUUUGCUUGUCUCUUCCCCACCUCUCCGUACCCCAAGAAAUAUUGUGAAUCUAACAUGCUGAGCGUUGACCACAUGAUCCAUUAAACAAUAAUUUGGACAAAAGAGGUCUAUGUGUUAAGAAUAAUUGUAUGUGAAAUACUACAAUUUACUCCAUCUUAAUAUAUUAAGUGUCACGUUAAAAGAAAAAUUAAUGUUGUAAAAGGAAACCUUGACCCAUACAUUUUCACGUGGAGUUUAAGUUUCAUGGGUGAAUAAACUCAUGUUUAGAUGAAUAAAUAUGAUUGUUAAGUUGUAUAUACUCCAUAAUCAAAUAAAUUAUGCACGAGUAUUUAGUAUUGUUGACAGGAACAAAUGGGCAGUUGAUUGAAAAUUUGUUGUAGCCACUAGGGAUAUGAAUAUGCUAGGCUGUCCGUCAGGGGCCUAUGACCUGACCUACUUAUGGUCUGGCCUGACCUGACCUAUUUAAUAAAAAGGCUAAGCUUAAACUAUUUUUAAAGCCUAUUAGGCCUGACAGGCCGGCCUAUAUAUUUUAUUAUUUAUUAAUAUUAUUUAUUAUUAUUAUAUUAAUAAUAUUAUUUCUUAUUUUAAAUUUUAUCAAUUAAGCAAUUACUGUAAGCAUUCCAUAUUCAGUAGUUGUUCCAUAUUCGGCAGCAUUCUAUAUUUGGUAGUCAUUUCAUAUUUGGUAGUUGUUCAAUUAGUCAAUCACUCAGUAGUCUUCCAUUUUUGUUUAAAAGGUAAUAAUGAGUGUGUUUGUUUUAGAAAAAAAAAUCUAUUAUUUGACACAAAAAAUUAUUUUUUUAGAGUUUAAAGGAUGUUUGUUUCAUAUUUUCUAAAAAUUAUUUUAAAUAGGCUUCUAGGCCAGACCAGACUUUUAAAAAGGUCAGACCAGGUCGAAAAAAAAGCAUAUGAUAGGCCGUAGGCCAGACUUAGGCCUAAAAAAUAAAUCGUAUGCUAGGCUCAAGCCUUUCAAAAUCUGGUCUGGCCUGACCUAUUCCCACCCCUAGUAGCCACUAAGUGUCUUUUUUAUUAUUGUUUGAGAAUUAAUUAUUUGUUAUUAUUGUUAGAGAUCUAAUUAUUCAAUUUUUACAAAAAUUUAAGUCAAGAUAAGUGGUUUUGAUUUAUUUUUAAAGACUAAAAUAUAUUUUUAUUUUUCUUGAUAUUAUAUUGAGUUUCAUAAAAAAAAAAAAUUAACGACUAAAAUGAGUUUUUACCAGUACUAUUAAUUUGUACCUUCAUUAUUUUUUCUAAAAACUAUGCAUAACUUUAAACAAGGAUCCACUUUUGUUUAUUUACAAUUUUCUUUAAUAAUGAACUUAUGUAUAAUAACUUUUAUAAAAAAUAAUUAAAAAAAAGUUAUUUAUAAUAUCAUUUAAGUGAACACCCUUGUGUCCGUAAAUUUUAUUGAGUUGGAUAUAAUACUGAAUAACUAACUUUUUUUUACUCACGUAAUUUUUUAUAUGUAUUUUGUUUUAUGAGCAUCGCAUCAAUUUUUUAUUUUUUUUUUACUUCAGUAGCUAUCUUUUUCUUAUAUCAGGUAGGUAUUAGGUACCAAAGAAUUUCCACAAAACAUAUAAUAUGAGAUACGAGUGAAAAUUACUCUACUUGAUGCAUCGCGGACCUCUUGCUGCCAUUUAAUUUGGAAACUAUCAAAUUCUUUUCAUUUAUGUAGAAUUUUAGAGCAACCUCUACGCCACGCAGAGCAUAUAUUUUUGGGCCCUAAAUACAUGCCUCCUAGUACUAGUGGGCUUACUAAUAAGUAUUCCAUUUUUAAACUUUGUAAAUAAAAGUAAUAUAAUUAAUUAUAUUUAAUGCAAGCAAUUUUGAUAAAACUUUAAAUUUAUUAUCUAAAUUAUCUUUCAUAAUCAAUAAAAUUAAUCAUUAAAAAUUGAAAAAGUUAAACUAAAUAAACGAUAGAUUAAUACAAAAUACCAAAAAAUAUUCGAAUAAAAUACUUAAUAUGAAACAUAUUAAUUAGUACAAAAUUAUCUCCUUGUUAGGACAAAACGGAAAUUAGUUUCUUGUUUUUAGCAAGGGUGACAAUCCCGUUUGAAAAUUUAUUGUAAAAAAUUAAUCCUUCACAUCUCAUAUGUAAGGGAAAAAAAUAAUUAAUCUCAUUUAAUAUGUUUAAAGUAAUAAAAAAAUUAAUUUUAUUUUUUAGAUUGCCUAAUUUGCUAUAUUAUAAAAAGUGUGUUAAUUAAAAAAUAAAAUCUAAAUUAAUGAAAAAGUAUUGAAUGAAUAAUAACUUCAAAUAUAGUAAAUUUGUUAAUUUUUACUUAUAUUUAAAACUACAAAAAUAAAUUUAUUAUUGUUGUUUACUACCUUCGUUUUUAAAUAUGAUAAUUUGGAUUAAUAAUAAAAAAAUAAGAAAGUUAAUUAUAAUUUAAUCAAAAAUAAAAUGAAACUAGUUAUAAUACUAAAUUUGUUGACUACUUUGAUUAAUGUUUUUAUUUAUUUAUUAAAUAAUGGAUGUUGUCAUUAUAGUAUUAACAAAAUGUAAUAUAAUUAUUGGUAUAUUAAUAAAACAAAAAUUUAUACAAUUAAAAAUUUUAAAAAUAUUUUUGAAAAAAGAAAGAAAGAAAUAUGAGUGUCUAUAUAUAUAUUUAUUAGAUAUUUAAAGGAAGUAGUAUAUCCGAUAUGGGAGUAACUGAUGAAUGAACGGUCGUUUAAGUGAGAGUUCUCGUAAACUCCGCUGCGGUGCCGUUGCGUUCAUGACUGAACAAGUAAAGUAAUGAAUGGCAUUACACUCUAUUUUGGGUUUGUCUUUUCCUGGAUUCUCUCAUCGACAAGUCAAAGGAGGAAACAAAAACGAAAAUAAUACUUUCAUUUGUUUGAAAAUAAUUCACUCAUAUUUACUAAAAUUAUUUUAAAAUAAAUUAUUUUUAAUUUUUAAUAUUUUUUAAUUAUAUAUUAUUUAUAAUAUUUUUCAGUAUACAUUUAUGAUAUUGAUUAUCUAUCAAUCAAUAUUUAAUAACGACAAUUUAAUAAAAAAUAAUAUUUUAUUAUUUAUAUAUUUUUUAUGAAAUGAUUAAAUUAUUCAAUCAAAGACAUUUAUAUUUUGUUAGAUGUGCGUCAAAUAACAAAACUAUUCAAUUAUUUUAAAAUAAAAAAUAUAAUAAAAUUAAGUUUUUAAAAUGUUUAUAAAUAAAAUAAGUUAACAAAAAAAUGAAUAUAUUUAAUAUUAAAUACGUUAAUUUUUAUUAAUUUAUUUUUGUUUAUAAAUAAAUCAGAAGGGAGUACAUGUAUUUUUACUCAAUCCAUGUUGCUUGUACUAGCCAUCUUUUAAUUAAGUCCAAUCCCAGCUUCUUAUUUGUUAAUAGGAAAAAAUAAACCCUCAGCUAUGACUAAAAUCUAAUUAGUUUAAAACAGUGUAAGAAACAAAUAAGCCAUCCAGCUUGGUUCUAUCUGGACCUUAAUUACAAAAUACACUUGAUAGAGAGCGAAUACGGAACAAAAAAAAUGCAUUCGGCAAUCGGCACAAAAGCGUGGGAUUAUUAUUAUUGGUGAAAAUUGUAAUAAAGAUUUAACAUUGAAAAUGGACGCGUGUUCUGUUCUGACUACCGCUGAUGAAGUAACUGCAUGUGUUUAUGGCGGACGGCAUGCCUAACAACACCACCCGACCCGAAUCCUAAGCUUCCAACAGAAUAUUUAACAUUAAAUUACCACUUUAUCCCUGCUUCGACUUUUUAUUUAAUUUAUCAUGUAUGUCCUCUACCUAAUAAUAUCAAUUCACUUAAAAUUUAUUUGAGAGAUAUAAUUGAAUAAAUAAUUUUUACGUGAUAAUAGUUAUUAAAUUAUUAAAGAUGUUUAAUUUUAUUAUAACUAUCUCAUAAAUUAUGUCUAUGAAAUAUUGAAAUAUGUUAAUAGUAUAAUUUUUUUUAUACAUUAAUAAUACAUCACAAUUAAUUUUUUUAUGCAAUCAGACUAUUUUAUAAAUACAAUUAAACUCAUAAUAUACCCUAUGAAUACAUUAUCUCAUAUCAAGAGUUAAACAUAACAAUAUUCAUUACUACGUGUAAAAUCUAACUUAACUGAUAAAUAUCGAUAUUGUUAAGUUGAAUACUAUUUUCUAGGUAGAUAUUGCAACAGAAUUGAUCGGAAACAAAAUUUUAACAUCUCUAUAUCUAUCUUCACUCCUAAAUUUUAAUUUCAGAGAAAACUUUAAUAUAUGCAUCCAAUCAAAACAUGAUUUCCGUGUUCGAAUUGAGAUAGAUUCGGAUGGAUAUCUGCAUAUUUGAGUUAUGUUGUCAUUCUUAAUUUCAGAUUAAAACUUGAAACAUCAAAGUUAUAUAUGAAUUUUAAAAAAAAUAUAUUAUUCAUAUUUUCUAAUAAAUAUUAAUUAUUAUAUAAAAAAAACAUGUAGAUCCAUUUGAGUGAUCUAAUAAUAAAUGACAUAAUCAAUUUUAAAUAGAUAUGGGUAUUAUUUUAAAAUUUUAUACUAAAGAUAUCUAAUUCCAACAAAUUAAUAUAAAGAAAAAAUAUUAAAACUAAUUCCAAUGAAUCUUAUUUGUAAAGUGAAUAGUAUAACCUCUUAUAAAUAAUUGAGUUGAAUAUAUUUUUAAUCAUUAUAAAAUUUUAAUUUUUUAUUUUAAUUUUUGUAUAAAAAAAUAUAAUUUUAUUAUAAAAUUAUUUAUCAAACAAUUUUAGUUUCUUUUAAAAUAAACUAUAUUUAAUUUUCCUUUAAUUUAAAUAAUAUUUAACAAACAUAUUAAAAACAUUAUAAUAUAAUAUUUAUAAAAAAAUUAAAAUCAAAAUUAAAAUUUUGAACUAAUAUUUUUGACAAAGUUUUAAUAAUAUUAUUUUCAUUAAAAAUAUAUAUUAAUUUAAGGGUGAGACUAAAAAUUAUAAUUAAUUUAACCUCCAAACAUAGAGAAGGAGUGAGAAAUCUGUGAAAACAAAAAAUAGAGAAGGGCAUUAAAUAAGUGAAAGUGUGAAACGGUGGGCUGUUGAUAAAAGCUGAAGGAAAGGGCAAAACCGGAAAGCCAAAAAGUUGCAUGCAAAAACUCAGAGUUUAAGGGCAGAAUAAGAAGACGCUUGUGAAUGAUAUCAUACCAAUUUAUUACCAAGAUUCUUAUUUCUUCAUACUCUAUAUAACACUAUCCCACCAAAAACCUCUCUGCUUUAAUCUCCUCUGUUUCUACCCUUUUUUUCUUUCUAAAAAACCAAAACACAAUCAUCAUGUUUUCUCCAACCAUAUACUAAUAUGUAACAUUAUUAUAGUCACAUUAAUAAGAAUAAUACUAUCGUUACAAUGGCUUCAGAAUCAUAUUCAUAUUCAUCUUCAUCCAUGAAACUCUUGUUGUUUAUGGUUCCUCUCAUAAUUGUUGCUGGACUUGUAUCUGUAUUAGGUCCUAAUCCUUCUAAUUGGGUUCUUAUUCCUAAUCAACCUCUCUUAUGGAGUUCUGUUACUACAUCUUCAUCAGAAAGUGGUUCUCUUAUGGAAAAAGUUCAAGCUGUUUCAUUUGAUUUUCAUAAUAAUAACAAGGAAGUGAAAGCUAUAUCUGAUGAUGACACUUUUUUCAAUCAAUCUUCUACUCCACCACUUUCUAUUCAAACACUUCAAAAAUUGGUAAGAGAUUAGUAUUAAUUUUCUUUUUAUCCAUUACUUAAACUUUGGAUUUUCCUUUUUAUUUUAUUUUAUUAAGAAGUAGUGUAGAAGGUUCUUAAUUUGUUGGAAAUUUUUCAUAAAUUAUUUGAUGAUGGUUACAUGCUAAAGAAGGAAAGAAUGUAAAAAAGGAAAGAAUUUAAGAUGUAAUAAAGCGAUUGACGUAUCUUUUUAAUUUCUCACUUUUUCUUAAAAAAUAUAUGCGAUUCUUUUCUUUGAUAAUAUCAUGAAUGACUAGAGAUAGAAUCUUUAAGAUUUUUGUGAAAAAAUUGUGAAAUUUUAAUAUAUUAUUUUUUAUUCUUACAAAAAAGAAACUUGGUGUAUUUAGUACACAAACUGUGGUUAUCCUUUUUUAUCUAAAUUAAAUUUUAAAGCGAAAGCAUAUUUGGAAGAUUUCCCUCGUGAGAACAAUUUAAAAUUUUGCACUAGUCUUUAGGAGACAAAUUUGCUUUGUGAUAUGGAAAGAUUUGAUCUUACCCCAAUUGCUGGAUCUAGUUGGAUACCAUAAUGUAACGAUCCUAGGAAUUAAUUACGGAUUUCAGAAAUAAAUUUCUUGAUUAUUCUCCCUAGUAAAUAUAAUCACAUGUCACAUAUUUCACUCUCAUGUAUUCUAAAAUACCUCUUGUAUUUGUUUGUAGACAAUUUUUAUUUAGUAAUUUGAUAAGAGACUGAAUGAUUAUAUAUUCAAGGACGAAAUGACUACUACCAUAUAUAGCACUAUAAUUUGACCCCAUUUACCUUGGAUUUUACUAGGUUUAAAAUUCUCAUGUUACCGUCAUAAGUUGAGCUUUUGGUAUGAGCGUGACAACUCUGAAUCUUGUUUGGAUUUUUUCCUCAAAUUAUUCUACACUUUUAAAUCUCGGUAAUCGAUUUUGAGUAUUACACAUACAUUAAAUUAAUUUUAUUUGAUCUCAACCAUUGAUCUAGAUUGGCCAGUUGCAUCAAUUAUUGCGUUAUUAUGCCAAAUAAUUAUCCUUGGGAUGAUUGCUAAUAUGCUAUUAGUUAUAAGUUUUGCACUAGUCUUAGACCAUGUUCAGUUUACAUUAUUCUUAAUACAUAUUAUGUACAUUCAGCCCUGCAGAAGAAUCAAUGACUAUGAACAAUUUGGUAUUGAAAAGGUAGGUGUCGUUUUCCCUUUGAAAGAGGGAAACAGACGAGAAACUUUACAUUAACUUCUCAUGUUUUAUUAUAGAAUUGGGUUAGAUUAGAUUUCCACAAACGACGUGUUAGGUAGUUCAUAGUAGUAUAAUCAGAGUUAACAUUAAUUAAUGAAUGAGUUUUUUGAGAGUUUUAAUAGUAAAUAUUAAUGAUCCAUCAAAUUUCCUUACCAGAACAAAGAUGAAGAAAGUGACAAUGCCUCUCAAAUCUGGACCAAUACAACUUCUAUGAAUGAAUCUUACUAUAUUCCUCUAGAGAAACCAAACCUUCCAAGAAAGUUCAGCAUCUUAGACAGAACAGAAGCCGGUCUACUACAAGCUCGAGCCGCAAUACGGAAAGCAAGAAAUGGGAAUCAAACACAAGACAUAGACUAUGUUCCAAUAGGACCAAUGUAUUACAAUCCUAAUGCAUUUCACAGGUAAAUAAUGCACAAUAUUUCUUUUGAUAUCUAAAUUAUUCAUUAUUUGCUAUAAUUCACUCGCCUUACUUUGUAAAAUUUAUAUUUGCUAUCUCACAGGAGUUAUUUAGAAAUGGAGAAACAGUUUAAAGUAUUUGUCUACGAAGAAGGGGAGCCUCCAGUUUUCCACAAUGGACCUUGCAAAAGUAUAUACUCCAUGGAAGGAAAUUUCAUCCACACAAUUGAGAUGAAUGACCAAUUCCGAACAAGAGACCCCGAUAAGGCGCACGUAUUUUUCCUUCCUUUUAGUGUAGCAAUGAUGGUCCAAUUUGUCUAUGUUCGUGACUCUCAUGAUUUUAGCCCCAUAAAGAAAACCGUCGCCGAUUAUAUCAAUGUCAUUUCCGAAAGAUACCCCUUUUGGAACCGAAGUCUCGGAGCUGAUCAUUUCAUGCUUUCUUGCCAUGAUUGGGUAAGUAUAUCACUAUAUCAAUUUAAAUUCUAAGUCCGCACAUUCUCAAUUUGAUCAUGGAUAAUUACUUGCUAACAAAAUUAUAUAUUGCGGUCGUGGUUCUCAAUAUUGAAAAUAUUGUUCAUACCACUUUAAUCACAGGCAUAUUACAAUAUAGACAACAAAAUUUUCGAUAGUGACAGUGUAAUUGAGAUUGUAGUCACAUAUCACAAUCUUUUUUUUUAAAAAAAAUACACAAGCCCGUAAGUAAUGUACUAAUGUUUAAAUUAUUAUGUUGCUUCGAUUUCAGGGGCCCGAGGUAUCAAAUUCAGUUCCAAACUUGUACAAGAAUUCGAUUCGUGCACUAUGCAAUGCCAACACCUCCGAGGGAUUCAAACCAGCAAAGGAUGUAUCUUUUCCAGAAAUCAAUCUUCAAACCGGUACAAUACAUGGUUUUGUAGGCGGGCCAUCUCCAUCCAAGCGAUCAGUUUUAGCUUUCUUUGCCGGCGGGCUUCACGGGCCCAUUAGGCCCAUUCUACUUGAUCAUUGGGAAAACAAAGAUGAAGACAUUCAAGUUCACAAGUACCUUCCAAAGGGUGUGUCUUACUAUGACAUGUUAAGAAAAAGCAAGUUUUGUCUUUGUCCUAGUGGAUACGAGGUAGCAAGUCCAAGAGUGGUGGAAGCAAUCUACACAGGUUGUGUUCCAGUGCUGAUUUCAGAUCAUUAUGUUCCUCCAUUCAGUGAUGUUUUGAAUUGGAAAUCGUUUUCUGUUGAGGUUUCAGUUGAUGAUAUACCUAACUUGAAGAAAAUUCUGUUGAGUAUUUCACCCAGACAGUAUAUAAGAAUGCAGAGAAGAGUAGGACAAGUUAGGAGACAUUUUGAGGUACAUUCUCCACCUAAGAGAUUUGACGUGUUUCAUAUGAUCCUUCAUUCUAUUUGGCUUAGAAGAUUAAACUUCAGAGUCCAUGAUGACCAAUAACAUAUAUAAGAUUAUUAAUUACGGUUGGGGAAUUAGUUUCUGGUAGGGUUUUUUUUUUGGGUUGGGGAAUUAAUUUCUGGUAGGGUUUUUUUUUGGGUAAGUUUUUGAAUAGUUUUUUAUUUGGUAAUGUAAGAUGAUUGUGUGAAUGUAAUUUUCUUUUUCGUUUCAUGUGAUGUAUAAAAUUAUUAAGUAAUAAAAGUGAUAUUUUAAUUUCUCAUAUUGGAUGCCUGUGCUAUAUCUAGUAGAGUAGUAGUAUUAUGUUUUUUGGUGAAUUGUCUCUAGUAGUAUCAUUGUAUUUCCUAAUACUGCAAAUAUUAGACUGAAAAUAUUUGCACAUUUUUUUUUUUACAGAUAUUUGCACAUCUAAUCUAAUUUUUUACAUAUGAUAUGAUAUUGGCAUAUCUUACAUAAUCUUGAUUGUCAAAAAAAAUCCUAGUACUUUCUUUUAAAAUAUUGGAAUAUCAAUAAAAAGGAUGAACAUUAGCUAGUAAAUAGUAAGGAGGUUCUCUUUGCUAGAGCAUGAGUUGACAGAUUGAAGUGUCUCCUAUCAAACUUAAUGUGAGAGUCAUAAAAAUGAGGAAACUCAUAGACAUCUUUUCAAUUGUAAAAAUUGUCAACAAUCCGUUUAGAACUCCCGCGCAAUGGACUGCUUGAUUUUCAUAGAGAUAAAGUUUGAAUCAAAUAAUUCAUUGGUGAUGUUUUGUAUUUCGGGAAGCAAUUUGAAUCCAAUUAUCGUCUUUGGUGGAAUAUCUACUAUCAUUCUAUCAAUCACAUUGUUUCUUUUUCUAUUUUUAAGAAUUAAAUUUGAAAUCUUAUUUAACAAACCUAACUUUAACUAUACUCAGUCAAUAUAUUUUUUUUUUUAACAAAAGUUUAGAUCAAUUUAAUGUUAGUUUGCGCUUUUAAUUUAAAUCAUAUAAAAUGAUAUCAAUAGUUUCUUUAAAAAAAAAUAUAGUUUACUACUCUUGUUUUUUGUAUUCAACAUCAUAGUUUUAAAUUUCAUUGUAAUAUAAAGAAUUUUGUGAACUCCAUAGCUGAUAUUAUAAUUACAAUUUCGUAUCUGAUAUUUUUUCAUAUUUUACAACAAUAUAAAUAAUACAACAUAAAUCCCUAUUGUUUUAAUAAUUUAAAAUCAUACUUUAACACAUAGGAUUCACUCAUUUCUCUUUUUUCAAACACAUUACAUCACUAGUUUAGAAGAUAGAUGUCAUCACCAAGGAGUUUCUUAGGCUACGUGCAACACUUACACACAUACAUGUCAACACAAUAUUCUCAAACACGGACACCCUUUUUCUCCACGUGUCACUCUGUUACUAUCUUUCCUCCACGUGUCACUCUCCCUUAAAAUAUGUUCCCUCAAAGUUUUGCUUCCUACACACACCACAUUCAAACACCGACUUUGCUUCCUUCACAUAAUAUAUACCCAUCACCACAAUCCAUAUACACAUGAAAUUCAAAGCAUUAUUAUAACUCACUGCAUUCUUCUUUUCUUUUUACAUAAAAAAGUUGGAUCAAAAUCUACAAAAAUUGAAUGGCGUCGAGGAAAGAUUUCAAGGAAGACAGAGCCGAAGCAGCUGCAAAACUAGCUGCAAAAGACAUCGGCGACGUAAACAGAGCAAACGAACGAGAAGAAGGAUACAAUCUUAAUUCCGAAAUACAGUUCAAACAAGCACGUGCUGAAGCAGCUUCAAAACUCGCUGCUAAAGAUCUGGAAGACGUUAACAGAGCAAAAGAAAGAACAUUGAAUGCUUCUUCUGAAACAGGGUAUUAUCAAGAAGAGAAACCCGGCGUUAUUGGAUCAAUGCUGAAAGCGGUGAACAACACUUUCGGACACGCGAAAGAUGCUGUUGUUGGUAAGAGUAACGAAGCUGGUGAAAAAGUAAAGGAAACUUCUGAUUAUGCUUAUCAGAAAGCGAAGGAAACAAAAGACAGCACUGCGAACAAAACAGGGGAAUAUGCUGAUUGUGCUGCGGAGAAAGCGAAGGAGACGAAAGAUGCGACGGUGAAUAAAGCUGGAGAGUAUAAGGAUUAUGCUGCAGAGAAGGCGAAGGAAGCGAAAGACGUGACGGUGGAGAAAGCGAAAGAGGUGAAAGAUGCGACAGUGAAUAAGGCGGGAGAGUAUAAAGAUUAUACGGCUGAGAAGGCUAAAGAAGGGAAGGAUGGUACUGUGGGGAAACUUGGUGAGUUGAAGGAUUCGGCUGCUGAUGCUGCUAAGAGAGCUAUGGGUUUCUUUUCUGCGAAGAAAGAGGAAACUAAGGUUAAUUUGCUUCUAACUUUCAUUGCUUUUUUGAAAUUGUGAGUUUAUUGAGAAUGUGUGAUUAAUUGUGUGGCUUGCAGGAAAUGGUGAGUGGAACAGAGGAAGAAUAUGCAAGGAGAAGAAUGGAUGAUUUAAGUGUGGAAGGAGGGAGGCGGGGUAGAGAGAAAUUGGUAGUGAAGGUGGAUGAGAGUCGUCCUGGAGUGGUGUCUGAUGGGCUCAGAGCAGCUGCCGGAGUAGAUCACAGUGGAGGACAUUUGGAGGAAGAAGGCACCAUACAUGUUGAGCGUCGUCGUGAGAAAAUGUGAUCAUCAUCAUCAUAUGCAAUCUUCUUGUUGCCAUGUCAGUACUAUAUAUAUGAUCACUACUUUUCUGUAAUCAUAAUGUGUUUUUUGUAAUAAUAAUAAUAUUUUGUUACUAUUUUUUUUUUUUUGCUUUUUUUUAAUCUUAAUUAAUCGAAUCCUUUUGUCUUUUUAGGGAGUGGAAUUAGUAGUUUUUUUUCAUUUUCAAGUGCAAGGUUAUGAAUGGGUGGAGGCAUGAUAAACCCAGGCCUGGAAAUAGCACAUAAUAAUCGAGUUGGGCUCUUUUUUAUUUCCACGGGCUAUUUUUCAUUGUUUGGAACUUGGGCUUAUAAAUGCAUGUCACUGAUUCUUAAUAGAAUAAACCCAACGCUUAUGAAUGCAUGUGGCUGAUUCUAAAGAGAAUAAACCCAGAUAAACUAUAACGAUGACUUUUUAAAAUACACCCUUUGAUUAGUCAAUUUAAGGUGUCUUUUGAAAAGAAAAUAAAUGUAUUUUAUAAAUGUUUGAAAUUAUGGACUUUAGGAAAAGAACGAAUUUAUUACUUAAAGAAUAUUUUUAAAGAGUUUAUUACUUAAAGAAUAUUUCUAAGUCGCUUUUAAUGCAUGGAAAAAAUAGUCAUGGGAUAGUUGCUUUAGGGUUAGUAAGUAAUCAUGAUGUUUGUUAAGUAAAGAUUGAUUUGAGGAUAAUCUCCAUCCCAUAAAAACAUCUAUUUCAUUCUCAUUUGUUCACUUUUACAAACAUAUAAUGAGACAUUAUAGACAUAAAGUAACGUGCCAAGCAUGAGAGAAGUUCAGCUUUCUCUUCUCCUUUCUUCGGGUCUUUGAGUUCUGUGUAUGUGUGUCAUGCGCUAAGAGUGAUAAUUUUAAAUAUCAUCCAAAAUUUAAUAAUUUUAAAUAUUUCUUUACUUUAUAUUAUAUAAAUUGUAAAAUGAUCUCUAUAGUUUUUGCGAGUUUAAAUGAUUUUAUAUUUUUUAAAAUUUUUAUAUUAGUUUCUAAAAAUUGCAAAAUAGUCUGUUUUUAACUUUUACAAAUUUUUAAUUUUGGUCCAAUUAUAAGAUUUAUUUUUUGUCUAAAAAUUUUAGAAAUUUAUAAAAAUAGUCUAAAUUUUUAAGAACAAUUCUUUUUUUCAAAAAAAAGUUAAAAAUAAAAGAAAUUUAACUGAAACAUUUAGAUUGUCUGUAAUUUUAAUUUUAUUUAAAUAAUAAUUUAAAUAAUAUUUACAAUGAAGAAACUUUAUAAGGUAUUUUGUCAUACAUAAAUUUAGAAAAAUUUAAAUACUUUUUAAAAUUAAUAAUUUCAAAUAUUUUUUUCUUCAUAAAAUAUGAAUUAUGAAAUUAUCUUUGUAAUUUUUUCAAAUUUCCAAAUUUGAUAUUAUGUGCUUUAAAAUUUGUACAUUAAUCCCUAUAUUUUUUACAAAUUAAUAUUAAAAAUUUAACAAAAAUAGUUUCUCUAAUUAUGAAAGAAUUUUGAAAACAAAUACUAUUUUAACAAGUUAAUUAUUGAUAUUUUUCUAUGUAAAAGAAAAUUGAAAUUCACCUUGAGUUAACUUCUCAAAUUAUCACUGUCAUCUCAUUGUCAUCUCAUAGUGAUUGACUUUAGGAGUAUUUAGUGACUAUUAGCAUGUGUAAUUUUAUACUCUAUCACUUUACUAAAUGACACAUCAAUUUUAUAAAAUUAUACAUUAUUUUACAAAAUUAUAUUUUAUUAAUAGUAUAUAAAUAAAAUGGAAACUAGAGUUUACAUAAAUUAGAAAAAGAGAUUAAUAAAUAAUAAUGGUUGUAAUAAAAAUAUAAUAUUAACUAUUUAAUUGGCAUAUGAUAUAUAAAAUCAGACAACAACAAAAUUAGACAAUUUUUGUGUGUUAAAAUUGUUUAUAGAAAAAUGUUAAUAAAUAUUUUUAAGGGUAUUUACUAAGAAAAAAAAAAAGACAAUUUAAAAUGUAUAAAAAUUUAACUCUUUUAAAAUUUAAAAUAUAUUAUUUUCAAUAUAAAAUAUUUUUAGUUCUUAACAAAUACUUUUAAGAUAUUUGUUAGUAAGUAAGUUGUGGGACACAAAUAAUAUUAUUAUUAGAAGAUACUAAUAAGUGGUUAACAUUGUAACAUGCUGCCAACAAUUAGUAUUUUUGUCUAAUUGGUAAAUGGAAAGCCUUUCUCAAAUGAUUAUUAUUUAUCUUCAAUUAACUAAUAUAAUAUAGUCACUUAGUUGUCAUCGAGGUAGUUUUCGAUUUUUUAUAAUACUUUUGCGGAUUAGCGUUUGAUUAACUUUUGUAAUAAAUUUAGUAAGUUAGAUUUUCGGUGGUCCCAUAUAUUUUAGAGAUUUUAAAAAAUUAGAUUUUUAAAUAUAUUUUUUUACAAGAAUAAUAUUUUAUUUAAAUUGUAAACAAUAUAUUUUUUUUAAACUAAUCUAAAAAAAAAACAAAAAUUCAAAUUAUUUAAUUUAAAUUGUAUCUAAAUAAUAUUAAAAAAAAUCAAAAAACUUAAAUCAUUUCAGAUACACUGAUUCAAAUAUUUUUGACCUCUAAUAGUCUUAAAAAAUUAAAAGAAAUAAAAUGCGUCCUAUUGAUGAUGUUGCACGGGCCAUGGCAUAUUCUGGUUAGAUAAUAGUAAUAUUUUUUAUGUUGUAAAAAAAAAAAAUAGUAUUUCUUUUCUGUGAUUGUGAUUAAUAUGCAAGCAAAGAUGAACGGAACCAGAAACAUGUUUGCAAUCGGUAGUUGUCAUCCGCAUUUUAGAUGUGAGUGUGUGAUAGUGCCUCUUGUGCUCACCUGUACCAUAAGGAUUGGCGAUGCCUGGAGGAAGACAAUUUGAAUUAGGACUCACUCAGCCAUGUUAUGUUUUGUUUUUUGUUUCUCUUUUUUGUUUUUCUUUUUUCUGUUUGAACUAUCGACCCCAGCUAUGAAUUUGACGACCAAGAUUAGUUUCCAUUUUGUGGUGUCCUGCUCUCACGUGAAAUCAACAGAAUGUCCAACCAUGCAUUGUCCAGGGACAAAACUUCGCAUCAAUUAUUUGUCUUGCUUAACUGGCAAAUCAGAGUGUAUCAAAAACAUUUAUUCCAUUUAUUAUAUGUCUCACAAUAUAAACAAAAAUAGAUUAAAUCAAUUAGAUACAUAAUUUAAAUUUUAAAUUAUAUAUUUAUUUUAAUCUAUUUUUAUUUAUAUUAUAAAAGAAAAUAGUAUUUUUUUUAAAGUAUCUAAAACAACUUAACAUACAGUAAAUUAUUUUAGUGACUACUCACAAUGAUUAUGUGGUUAAUAAGACAGAGAAAUUUAAACAUUCGAUAAAAAAUAUUAAUAAAAUUUUUUAGGAUAAAAAUAUUUAAUAAUGACUUAAAACACAAAAUUUUAUCUUAAAAUUUAUGUAUUCAACUCUUUAAAAUUAAAAAUUAUAUUUUGUAUCUUAAUAAUCUUAAAGAAUUUAUUAGCAUAAACACAUUUAAUUUAAAUAAGUGUUUAUUUAAGAUAUUCUCUGUAGAAGACAAUAUCUAUUUCCCUUAAAUUUUGAGGAACAAAAGAAGAAUGACUAUGAAAAAAGAAAAUAUACAACUUCAAAUAUAUCUAACUAUUUUUAGUAGAAAAAAAAUCACCAAAUACCUACCUGUUGAUGAAGGUUGACUACAUAGUAAGACUAUUACACUUGAGACUACAGGCACCCCUUUAUGAUUUUUUUUUGUGCAAAUACUCCAAUCCAUAAUAAAUUUUUUUGUUUUAUAAUUGUAAUAUUUUAAAAGAUGUGUCAAUUUUUGUUAACAAUUGUUUGUUAAAUAUUAAAUUAAAAUACAAUUUUUUAAACAACAAAUUUAGAUAAAAUAUUAUAUAUAAUUUUGUCAUUCACAUUAAUAUUGACGUAUCUUAUUUACAAGGAAGAUAGUUUUAGACAAAUAUUAAAAUUUAUAAAUAUAAUAUAUAUGAUAAUAAUUUUGAAUUCAGUAAUUAAUUUAAAAAUAAUUAUUUAAUAUGAUAUUAUUAAAUAAAUAUAACUAUUAACGUAAUUCAAAUAAAACAUACAAUUUAAUAAUAUUAGAUUUGUUAAUGAAGUGAGACGACCUAAAUAUUUUAUUAUUGUUGAAUGUUUUCUUGUUUGUAUAUAUUUAGUAGUACGAAUACGACAUACUUAAAAAAAAAAAAAACUCGAAUACGACUACGUAUUUAUUAUUAUUAAAUGUUAUAGAAAUAAUAAAAUUAGAAAAUAAUUUGUAGGUGGUGGUGGCACCCUGUGAUUUAAUAUUAUGAGUAUGAGUAGUAAGUAAGGACACAUGCCAUAACGUUACUCCUUCUGAGUCUGAGUGUUGUUCGAGAAAUGAAUUCACAAUUGUCCGCCAUGUCCUUUUCCACCAAAGCUUUCAUCCUCUACCUCAUAUCCGCUUUCUCCAUUGCCCUUCUCUCCGCACUUUUCCUCAAUUACAAACCUUCUUCCCUCAAUAAUUAUUCCCUUCCACUCCGUUACGGAUCCAUAACCGAUAAACUUUGGCCCGUACGUCACUUACACAUCAUUUUCCCUUCUCCAAUAUUCAGCUACUUCUUUUCUCAAAUAAACCGUUUCUUCCGUUUAAACAUUCACAUUUUCUUUGUUUUAUUGUGUAGGAAUUGAAGGUUAGUUGGAGACUUGGUUUGGCCACACUUAUUGGUUUUUUAGGAUCCGCUUUUGGAACCGUUGGUGGUGUUGGUGGUGGUGGCAUUUUCGUUCCUAUGCUUACUCUUAUUAUUGGUUUUGAUACUAAAUCUGCUGCUGCUCUUUCCAAAUGUAAUUAAUUCAAUUCAAUCAUUUCAUAUAUAUACUUUUAAAAUGUUUUCUUACAAGCAGGGGACGUUGUUUUGAUGAUGUUGAGUUUAUUUUAUUUUAGGUAUGAUAAUGGGAGCAUCAACAUCUUCUGUAUUUUAUAACCUAAGAGUGCGUCAUCCAACAAAAGAAGUUCCAAUAUUGGAUUAUGAUUUAGCUCUUCUUUUUCAACCUAUGCUCAUGCUUGGUAUUACUGUUGGUGUUGCUCUUAGUGUUGUUUUCCCUUACUGGCUCAUCACUGUUCUCAUCAUUAUUCUCUUCAUAGGUUACUUUUCUACUUACUUUUAUCCAUUCUUCCUUUCAUUUUAAUCACUUCUUAGUUGAAAUUCAAAAUGGAAAUUCUAUAAUUUUGGACAGGAACUUCAUCAAGGUCUUUCUUUAAGGGAACUGAGAUGUGGAAAGAAGAGACUCUUCUCAAAGUAAGACUUAAUUUCACAAUUUCAUAAUGUAAUAAAUAAUUGAACAUUCAAUUAUCAAUAUAAGUCAUUAAAUGAUACUCAAUAGCUUUGUAUCUCUAUGGUUUUUUAAUUACAGAAAGAAAUGGCCAUGGCACAAGCAACUUUUGUUAAUUCUCGCGGGGAACGUAAGAAAAUCUUAUAUAUCUAUUUCAACUUUAUCUGAGAUUCAUUAGCUGUAUUACUACUUUUUUCAAAUUAAUCAAUAAUGAAAAUUGUACUAAAUUACAAAUCUGGAUCCAUAUGGAGUAAUGAUAAUUAACUUAAUCUCCUGAAUUAUGCAGUUCUAAUCGACACAGAAUAUGAUCCAUUAGUACCUAGAGAAGAGAAGUCACCUAUGGUAUUUAAACUUCACAAACUUAUAAAAUUUUGAUUUACUUGUUUGUAGGUAGGUUUGUAGAAAAUUGACUAUUUGUUUUUUUUUUUUUUUUGUGUUUCUUAAAACAGCAAAUAUUUUGUUCCAACCUUAAGUGGAAAAGAAUUUUGGUGUUAAUGGUUGUUUGGGUUUCUUUCCUACUACUUCAAGUCAUUAAGGUAGGUUCCUAUUUAUUUCCUGUUCACAUCACAAAUCUGUUUAAUUUUUAUUUAUUUUUUUAAAUCUAUUUGAUUUUGGUUUUGUUUGCAGAAUGAUGUAAAAGUCUGCAGUGUAUGGUAUUGGGUCCUUUUCUCCUUACAGGUAUGAUAAUAAAAUAACAGCAAUUGCAUAACCACUAGCACAACUUGUUACCUAUGCUGGAAUUAAGUUAAUUUCGACUAAUGUGGCCUCAAUCAUUGCAACGUUGCGGUCAUAGAAGCAUUGAAAACUAUGAUGUUGCAAUCUAAAUUGUGGUCGUGGAUUUUUUUUUAAACCAGCUUAUCAUCGUCUAUGAAACAUGGACACUAGAUACGAAAUUGACACAUAAACACUUAAUAGUUAUUUUAAGAAUAAAAGUAAUUGAGUGCGACCAUAUUUGUCAGUGUGAGUCACUAACACAUACCAGAGACGCAUUCAAUUCAAGUUGUUGGUGUAACAUAGAUCAUCAUGAACCUUUCUCUUUCUGUUUCAGUUUCCUAUUGCACUAGUGGUGUUUGGCUAUGAAGCAAUGAAGUUGUACAAGGAUCACAAAAAGAGGAUGAGUACAGGAAAUCCAGAAUCUAUCUGUGAAGCUUCAAUUGAAUGGACUGCAUUGCACAUUAUCUUUUGUGCACUUUGUGGAAUCUUAGGUGGGACCGUUGGAGGGUUACUUGGUUCUGGAGGUGGAUUCAUUUUGGGCCCUCUUCUCAUUGAGAUUGGUGUCAUCCCUCAGGUACAGUACAUAUAUUGAUAGUGUGGAUGACACAAGUUUGAUUUAAAACUAUAAUAAAUUUAAGCAAUUUAAUUUCUAAGGAUUUAUUAAAUUUAACUUGCAGGUUGCUAGUGCAACAGCAACAUUUGUAAUGAUGUUUUCGUCAUCAUUGUCUGUGGUUGAAUUCUAUCUACUCAAGAGAUUCCCUAUUCCCUACGGUAGCUUUCAUCAACUAUUCAAGCUUAAUUCUCUUUUAAUUUAUCCAAUGUUUUUAAAUAGCGGCUAUAGUGACACUAUAAUGUAGUGGAGUUUGAUCAAAUUGUUAUGGUUCAAUGAUACGCUAUUUAAUAUAAAGUAUUGUAAAAUAUCAGUUUUUGCAGCACUAUAACAUUGUUGUAUAGCAAACAAACUGUUAUUUUUCACACAUGUCUUUUAAUUUUCACCAUGUGUCUUGUAUGUGUGAAAAUGAGAGGACUAUAGAAAUAGGUGCAAGAUUACCUCAUAUCAUGGUCUAUAGUAUAUUUCAUAUUUUCAUAUAUACCAUUUUCUUUUGUCAUAAUCAUGUUGUUGUGUUUGUAUUUCUUUUGCAGCAAUAUACCUUUUCACAGUGUCUGUUUUGGCUGGCUUUGUGGGACAAUUAUUUGUAAGAAAAUUGCUUAGAAUUCUUGGAAGAGCCUCAAUCAUUGUAUUCAUCCUCUCAGGGGUCAUUUUUGCUAGUGCUCUCACCAUGGGUAAGCCAAAUCAAAUUUAAUUACUCAACGCACACAUGCACAUUUGAUUUUGCACUUAAGUUCUAAUAUAACUAGUAAAAUACCGUGCAUGCCGUGUUAGCAAAUGUAACACUUUUUCUUUCAGGUAUUAUUGGCAUUGAGAAGAGCAUUCAUAUGAUCCAGAACCACGAGUUUAUGGGAUUUUUAGGCUUUUGUAGCAGUCAAUGAUUUAUAAGAUGUAGUGCACAAUGUGAAAAUAGCUUGUAUAAAUUUCAAGGUAGGACAAAAGCAGCUUGAUGAAUGUUGGUCAAUAUCUAGUUGACCGUCAAGAAGAUUCAUUUUCUUCAAGUAAUAAUAAAUAAGGCAAAGUUGUCCAAUCAUCUUUGAAGCAGCACCAUUUGUAGUUGAGUGUUAACUACUGGUUAACACUUUUCUUCUCAUAACAGUGCAGCAUUUGUGUGAUAAUUUUUUUUUUGAAAAAAAAAAAGAUUGUGUUGUGUAGUCAUUUAAUGAGUCUGUAAAAGAAGCUUGUGAAUUAAGGGUGUAGGACAAGAAGCUUGUGUAUUUAUUCAAAUCAAUGUUUAUAUGUGGUCAAUUUCUUGUUGGCCAUGUUGAAGGUCCUUUUCUUUCUUUAUUCAAUAAAUAAGGUGUAAUUGUCUUCCUUUGUAAGAAUUUGAGGUUUGAUUGUUAGCUACUUGCUAACACUCUUCUUCUCAUUACAGUGUAUCCUUUGUUUGUGUGUGGUAUUCAUUCACUUGGCAGAAUAUUUGAAAUUAUAUAUUGGGCCUACAUUGGUGAGGACAUAUAAAAGUUGCAAGAUAUUUUUUCUGCCAAAAUCAUCCCCUUGUGAGUCAAUAUUUAAUUUAUUAUUAAUUGAGUUAUUUGAAUAUCAAGGCAAGAGACACCGUAUUUGACAUAUGUAAAAUACACAAGGCAAAGGUAAAAGACACCAUACUUGAUAACAAAACUUUUAGGUCUAAGAAUUAUUUCUUAUUUGUCACUACCACAUAUAUAGCUUUCAAUGCAUCUAUUCACAUACAAAUUAAUGGUUAUAUUAUACCAGAAAAUUUAUCUAUUACAAAAAAGUCUUCAUCUAAUCACAAGUGAUGAAGCUUGCACACAAUUACAAUUUUUACCAUUUAAAACAUAUUUUCUUCCAUCUUAAAUAUAAAAAAAAUGUAAAUGAUGAAUUUUUGUGGUAGCGAUUAGUUAAGUUGAAUUUGGCUAUCAAAAUUCAAAAAGAAAUUCCCGAGUAUAAUACAAUCUUUUUUUUGCUAAGCAUGGUUAUGUUUGGAUUAUAAGAAUAAAUUAAAAAAAAAAAAAAAUAGUCAAUCACAUUUGUUAAGGUAUCAUGCUCUAACUAUGCGGUUGGAAUUUUCUUUUGUUAAAACCUUCACCGCAAAAGAAAUCAUAUGGCUGAUGACAAACAUAAUUCACUAUUAUUUCUUGAGAGCCAACAAAUUUGACACGGCAAUGGCGACGGUACUCUUUCUUUCUCCUGCUUAUAUUAUUUUUAAUUAUUUGUAUUUUUAUAAAUUAGAUUAGAGGGAUAUCUAUUUGUCAGAAAGAUAAGCUCGAUCUAAGCUUAAACAAAUCCCUAAUAAUUGAGGAUGUCAUACUAUUUAUUAACGAAGUAAUCAAUCAUGGAAAAACAAUUUUAGAUUAAACCACUUUUAUAAAUCGAAUAUAAAAUUUUAUCAUCCGUUUCAAGUACAACGAUGAAGAAUAGUAAUUAAUUGUUUAAUUGUAGCAAAUACGUAUAUAUAGUAUUAUAAUGGAUGUUCUCUGAAUUGGAUCAUCUUUAACAUGCAUAUGUUGCCAAAGUACCACAAUAUGUGGCCCAAUGGGUGGCCUAAAAGUGUGUUUUGUUCUCAAGAUUCUGAUCCAUAUAUAGCAUUAUAAUGCCAACUAUUUGGGUUGGCCAAUUACGUAACUUCAAAUGUAGUAUGGAACAUUUUAUAUCAAUAAGUUCAACUCAAUCAUCAAUCAUUUCGUUUUAUAUUACUAGGUUUUCUAAUAUAUAUAAACUUAUAUUAUCUCAUCGGUCCAAAAAAAAAAAAAGUUCCAUGAUCUCAGUGACUUUUCAUAGAAAGAAAGGACGACAGAUGAUAGAAGAAUCCAAUGAACUUCAAACUAUAAAAAUUAGCAUAUAAUAAAAAAAUUGUAAUUUUAAUAAUUAAAAAAUGAUAAAAUAAAUUUUAGUUCCGUAAAGUUUUAUUCUUAAUUUCUAUACAAAAAAUUUCAAAUUUCUAAUCAUAAAAUUUUUCCGUCACUUUUAGUCUUUAUUUUCAAAAAGUAUUGUAAAAAGUUAAUAGUUUUAGUCCUUCAAAAACUUCUAUAAAAUCAAAAUAGAAACUAAAAUUAAAUAAUUUUUUUUAGUGGUAUUUUUAGAGAUCGUACUGUCGCAUCUCUUGGGUGCUUCGUUAUGCCUAUGAAAACUCACAAUGCUAUGUUUGUGGAACUUAUUGGUGCAAUAUUGACGAUUGAGAUAUCUUUUGAGAAAUGGUGGCAUGUAAAGUCUUUGGUCAGAAUGUGACUCAAAUUUAGUUGUUGCUGCUUUCAGUAACUCUCAGAUUGUCCCUUGAAGACUUCAAAAUAUAUGAAACAAUUGUAUUUAUAUUACCAUUUAACUGAGAUUUCAAUGCUCACAUAUUUACAGGGAGGGAAACUUGUGCGUUGACUUGUUGGCUAAUUUUGGUAUUUCCAGACAGAGUUUUGUCUGAUGGAAUGUUGUUCCUUCUUUUAUACGAGGAGUUUUUUAGGAAUAGGAAUCAUCCUUUUAGUUUUAGAUUCUCUUAAUAUACUUGGGUAUGGUGGUUGUCAUGUGCUUAUUUGUGUAUAUUUUAUUUAUUUAUUAUUUUCUACUAAUAAUAUUUUGUGUUGCUGAAGAUUGUGAGAGUUGGCGAUGUCAACUUAGUUACAAUUGUUGGGGAUAAUAAUGUGCUCUGCACCAUUUAUUUGGAAGAAAAAAAAAUUUGUCUUUCUAUUUUACAUUUGCAUAAAAUUGAAAACAAUAUUAUUUUUUACUCAUAAGACAAUGUUGAAAUGUGAUUGUUUAAAUUUUGGAAAAUGUUUUUAAAAACAAACAUUUGAUAACGUUUUAUAAUCUAUAUUCAAAACCUACUCUUUUUAAUAUAUGUUCGAAAUGGUUGUAUUUCGUGAAAGAGUGGAAUGAAAUGAAAGAUGUUAGUUUCAAGGUUGAGCCUUAAAUUUCUGUUGAUAUCAAUGUAUUCUUGCGGUCUUAGAUCAAUAUUAGGUCUGAGAUCUAUCAAGAUUAUGAUAGAAACCCUUAAAUAUUACUUUAUAAAUGCUGCUUUCAUUUAACAAGAGUGUCAUGUCAUCGGAUGAAUCAUAUUGAGUUAAAACACACAACUACAACAAGGUUUUUUUUGCGAGACCUGACUGCCGUUAGGAAAAACAAAACAAUAAGAAAUUACAGGUUUGCUUAGGGUCCGUUCAAAGUUAUUUUUGGUUUUCUGUUCUAAAUUUUUAAAAACUAAAACCAAUUAUCAAUUUUAGUUAUGAAUUUGAAUUCUUAGUUAAAAAAUAAAAAUUAAUUUUAAUUAUUUUAAAAUAAUUAAAAAUAUUGUAAAAUUAUAAUAUAUUUAAUUAUAAUAAUUUUAGUAGCAGUGGUUAAGAGUAAUAGUUGUGGAAGACGACUAUCACAAUAGUUAUUGAUUGUCGAAAGCGGCUACAACGAUCAAAAGAGACGGAUGAUAGUUGGAGGUGGUGUUUGGAGCGUAACCGGUGAUAAUUAUAUUGGUGGAUGGUGGUCAUUGGAGAUGGGUGAUUGAUAGUGAGGGUGGCAUGUGUCAGAAAUGGUCGUAAUGUUGGUUAGAGGUAGGUAUUCGAUGAAUAUGGUGGGUUUCAGAUAUGGCGGAGGUCGAUGUGAUGGCGGUAGCAGUUGUCAAAUGUGGGUGGUCGGCAAUACUAACUAUGGUUGGAGGUGGGUGAGUGGUGAUGAUAUAAGUGAUUGAAUAUGAUGGUCGGUUGUAAGGGCGAUGGUCAGAGGUGAGUGAUCGAUGAUAGAAGAUGGUUGUUGGAGGAAUGUGAGAGAUGGAUGUUGAUGGUCAUAAGUGAGUGGUUAGUGAUGAUGGUGGUGGUGACAAUUGCUAGAGGUGGGUGGCUGAUGGUGAUCUGAGGUGAAUGGUCAAUGAUAAUGGAUGUGAUUAGUGGCGGAUGAUCAUUGAUGGUGGCAAUGAUUGGAGAUUGGAUAUAGGUGUAGAAGAUAAUGGUUGUUACGGUGAUGUUUAUGUAUAAUGAUUGUGACAUGUUAAUUUAAAAACAAAAAUUGUAAAAAUUAAUUAUUCAGUUUAAAAUUUUUAGAAAAGCUGUUUUAAAAUUAAGUAUAAAAUCACUUCAACCCUAUUUUACGAUAUUUUCUUAGUGAUAUUAUCAUUGUUUAAGUGUGUGUGAAGGUUAGAGACAUAAUACGUAAGAUAUAUUUUGAAUAUCAAUAUUUUUCUCAAGAAAAAAAUAAGAGAAAUUUAUUAUUCGAAGAAAAAAAUUAAUGUUUCAAAGAUUUUAAAGUUUCAAAAAAUAUACAUUUUGAAGUUUUUUUAAAUCAGAAAUGUUUGAAAAUAUUUAACAAAUUAAAUGAAUUCUAUUUCAAAAUUUUAAAAUUAUAUAAAACUUUCAAAGAUUUUAAAAAUCUAAACUGAGUUUGUUUUUCAAAUAUUGAAUAAUCAAUUAAAUUUUGAAAAUUUUCUAUAAGCGACGAGUUGAAUGUAAAUGUUGAAAUUAAGUAGCAUAUUUUCAAUUAAAAAAAAAAAGUAUAUAUUUUUAUGUGUAUUAAGAGGUGAGAGGUAUAGGUAGAGUGGGUAAUAGAUUUUCCAAAAAAUCAAUUAAACCACAUCCUUAUAGACUGGGCUAUUUCAGAUAGGCCCAAUAUGAAAACGGACCGAACAAUGGUCCUUAUGUGGUUUUUACAAUAAGGAAAGGAUAUUUGUGGCAUUUUCGAGGUAUAGAUAUAAAUUCGCGGAACAAUCAACUUUCAGAUUUUAGGGUUUACAUCGCGCAUUCUCCCCUAACGCAGCAGCCAUGGUUCUCAAGUACGUAUUCUUCUCAUCUCCAUUUUCUUCCAUCAUUUUCUUUCUUACCAUCUCAUCUCUUCUUUUUCUAACGGUUUCAGCCUCUUCAAUUCAAUAUCUCAUACGUUCAAAAAAAUUAAUCUCGUGAUUUAUGUUUCAACAAUCCUUUUUUUUUUGUUACUGUAGGAUUUAGUUUAUUAAUCGAGAAUUAGUCUUCUGUUACAAUCAGUAUUGAGAAUUUGAUUGAAUGCAAAAUUUUGCCAUCUAGAGUGUAGUAUUCUAUGAUGGUAUUGUAGAUUAAAGAUAGAUAAUAUUUUAUUUUAUGAUUGUAGUUGGCUUCUUGAGUGUGAAAAUUUGUCUAGUAUUCAGUAUUUAGGAUCUGAUAGAUAGUUCUAAAUUGACAUUAUGUGUAACAUUUUCUAGUUCAAAAUAAUUGUGUUUUUUAUUUUUAUUAUUUGGGUUACUUUAAAUGAGUACACGCUUGCAAUUUUGUGAAGCACUCUUUAAAAUUCGACGUGGUUUAGAACUGCUUGUUAAUGCAUUUUCAAAUUUUAAACCAUUUAAGAGAAUGUUAUUCAUUUAAAUUAGUUUUUUAGAAAUAUAUCAAGACAUAAUAUGCUGUGUAACUUGACAGAUUGUUGGAAAUAGUAAACCAUGGACUUGUAGUUUCAAUUCAUUUUGAUUGAAUUAGUCUUGGCGUUCUCAAUAUAUUGCUUCCCUAAGUGUUAUAAUUAGAGAUUGAUAUUGCUAUUUCAGGACUGAACUUUGCCGAUUCAGUGGUGCAAAGAUCUACCCAGGAAGAGGAAUCAGAUUUAUUCGUGGUGAUUCUCAGGUGAUGUAAAAUGUUUUUCUUUGCUUCAAUAUCAGUGUUCUGUUUGCUAUGACAUGUUCAAUCUUAGUUUUACUGAUAUAAGGCUUGUUGUCAAUUUUACAGGUUUUCCUGUUUGUUAACUCAAAAUGCAAAAGGUAUUUCCACAACCGUUUGAAGCCUUCGAAGCUUACCUGGACUGCCAUGUUCAGGAAGCAACAUAAAAAGGUGAUUAUUUAACUUAUAUGUUUGUUAUAAGAUAGCACAAAGAUUAUAUAAUUUAAAACUAAGCUCUUGUACUUGUUAAAAUAAGAAUUCAAGGCAAUGAACCUAUUUACGAUGUGAAGAUGUUUUUGCCUGCUUUUACCAUGUACUAAGUCAUUACACAUGUAAACAGAUAACCUUUAGUAGUUCCUCUAUUGAUUACAUGCAUGUGAUGUGUAGGACGCUGCUCAAGAAGCUGUGAAGAAGAGGCGUCGUGCUACCAAAAAGCCAUACUCUAGGUCCAUUGUUGGUGCUACUUUGGAAGUCAUUCAGAAGAAAAGAACUGAGAAGCCUGAAGUUCGUGAUGCCGCUAGGGAAGCUGCUCUUCGGUUCGUUUCUUGUUUCUGCUUACUGUUUAAGAGCUCAUUUUUAGUGGUUUUCCUGUUUUAUCACACGAUCAUGUCAUUUGUAACAUUAAUCAUAUCAUCCCUUUUUUGGAAUAGUCUUAUUUUUAUUUUGUCUUGUUUUUUCUCUUACAAAUAUAGAUGAUUUAUCUAAUUAAUGGUGACCAUCCUGCAGUGAAAUUAAGGAGAGAAUCAAGAAAACUAAGGAUGAGAAGAAAGCCAAGAAAGCAGAAGUAGCAUCUAAGGCACAAAAAUCUCAAGGCAAAGGAAAUGUUCAGAAGGGUGCUUUGCCCAAAGGUCCUAAAAUGGGUGGCGGCGGUGGGAAACGCUGAGCGUUCCAUUUUUGGUUACAUUUAAAUAUAUUUCUUUUGAAACUUCUGUAUCCGUAUAUUUGAUUUGCUUGAUUAGUCUUUUUUUGUUACGUUUUAUCAAACUUGUUUUUGGAGCUUCCAAGAGAAACCAGUGAUCGAUUUUGCUAGUUAUGUUAUUUUUUGGUGCUAUUGAUCUUACAAUGCUUGUUAUUAUUUGCAUGUUUUAGGAGAUUUUUUACUUAAUGAAUAUCAAGAAUUCUAUCAUUCUUUUUGUCCUAUUUGUCAAUUGUUGGUUUUGGCAUUGUAUCCUUGGGUCGGAUUUGAUAUUGUUUGAUGCAAGCUGAAAGUACAUCAGCAAUAAAUGUGUAAUGAUUUCGAUUUCUUAUGUAUUUUUUCUACAAAUCCUCGACCUCAAGAAAAAUAGUUGUGAGAAAUUUGGAAGUAAGAAAUGAUAAGAAACUGGAUGGAUAAUUUUUAAUAUUCUGUUUUGGCUUAUGUAUCCAGGUAAUGUAUAGAAUGAUAAAAAAAAAUUAUAUAAGUAAUAAAUUAAUUAUUUUUAAGACACUUGCCUUUCCUUGAAAAGCACAAAUACCCCCUUUUGUUUUUCUAAGACCCUAAUUCAGCCUCUCAAUUUGACAGCGUUAAAUUUAUGUUACAGAAGAAAACCGAAAAAUUUCAAUGUCAUUUUUGCAUUUACAUUUUUUUCAUAAACAGAUCGUCUGUCCAACAGGUCUUCGUCAUCAGUUCUCAUUACACGCAAAACUUAUGUUACACAAGAACCCGUCUUCAUAUAAAAUAAAUUGAUGUCUGUAUAAAGAAAUUGAUGUCUUUAGUGGUUUCGGUUUCUUUAGUUUAUGCUCUUUCCUGUUUUUUAGUCCUUUAUGUUUUGAUAAAUUUUGGUUGAAUAUAUUAUAUCUUAUGCAAAGUAAAAGUAGAGAAUUAAACAAAAUGAAAAAUAAAGUGUUAAAGGUGGAAGAGAGGUGUUUAGCCAUUUGAUGAAACAAAUAAGGAAUGUUAGUGUAAAAAUUAGUGGGGAUUGUUUUUGCUUUUUCAAUAAUUAAGGAGAGGUGAAUGUAAAUUUUCCAAACUUUUAUAUUGUUAAAUCGUCUCUUUCCACUUUUUCUUGGGCCUUUCCUUGAAGGGGCUCAUUGCUACUGAUGUGCCCGAUUGAUGUGGGUCACUUUGAAGAAUAUCAUAAAGUAGACGGGUUGAUUAGUAAAUUUUUGAAUCCUCAAAUUCCUAAUUUAUAUUUUAUUAGAUUUAGCAAAUCCCAUGUUUCAUAUCCGACUGGCUGUUGUUGUCGAAAAAGUUACAUUUUCCGACUCCAAAUUAUCACUUCCGUCUCAUCGUGUGUAAAUAAAUAAUAGGUGAUUCGAUCUAAUAGACUCUAAUAUCAUUUAAAUAUUUUGAUUGGACCAUUCACAAUAAUAAAUUUGAUAUUGAGCCUAACUUUAUUAGUCUCUUCAAGUGUAUUGAGGGUUCAGAGGUAUAGGUAGAGCCAGUGAGGUGGCAAGUAGAAAAAUCUUUAACAAAAUUAAAACUCACCCAAUACUUUAUCUAAUUCAAUUAAAAUUUAACUCAAAUUAUAAACUAAUAAGAAUAUAAGUUUUAUAUACAAGAUAAAAAAUUAAACUAUAUAACUUUAGUUCGCCAAUACAUUAUAGAGGUAAAUAUAUAUAUCCUUUUAUUUUUACAUAAGAUUCAAAUUUAGGUCCACUUUUUACACUUAUAUAUUACUAGUAUUAUAUCAAUUUUUAUUUUGGUACUUUUCAGAUCUUAUAAUUUUUUUUUUAAGAAACUGCCUUUACUAUUCUAGAACAAUUAGGCAAUUCAAAGUUAAAGGUGUAGAAGAAAAAAAAAUCAAAGUAUUUGAUGUUACUAUUAAAAAAAUAGGAAAAUUCUAUAUUAUAUUUAACACAUUUCAAUAAAAAAGUUAAUAGAAACUAACAAUCAAAUCCUAUUUUAUUGAUAGUAACAAAACUUAGACGACUCUAAUUAGCUCAAUGACAAUUCAUUUAGAUAAUGACACAAAACUUUAUUAUUAGUAGAUAUCUAUACUUACACAUCCCUAAAUAUAAAAAAGUUUAACUGCAAAAUUUUGUAGGCACUUUAAAUUAAGGGUAUCUUCAAUCAUCAUCAUUUAAUAGUAUCAAAAGGAAAAUUCAGAAUAUAGGUCAUUGAUAUCAAAAUCACAAAAUGGAUAUAGGUCAUCAAAAAACCCAAAUCAAAGUAAUUAUUCUUCAAACCUUUAAAAUUUAAUCAAUCCAAUUUCAAUUCAGACGGAUCGGAAGCCGUCUCAACAACAUCGGAUUGUUCCACCACAUCCAAAGAAUUUAACUCUAGCAUAUUUUGUUCCACAAAUUCAUCCUUCAAAUAAUUAGUCUCAUCAAUUGCUUCAUUGCUUGAAAUUUUAUCAUUCUCAAUCAAAUUAGUCUCAUCAAGUCGAAUAUUUCAAAAACUUAUAAUUUUAUUCAAAUUUUCGAAAUGUAAAUUUUGUUUUAAAAUAAUUAAUUUUUUUUUUUGAAAUUUUCUAUUUCGAAAGUUUCCUAUUUUAUUUCAAAAAUAUCUAAAUUUGUGAAAUUUCAUUUUUCGAAAAUUUCCUAUUUUUAUAUAUAGUAAAAUGAGUAAAAUAGUAUUUUUUAAGUGUAUUGAGAGAGUGUAAGGUAUAGGUGGGGGUGUCAAGUAGAAAACUCUCUUAGAUUUUAUCUUGUAUCCAACUUUUUCUUACAAAAUCGACUUUUAGGGUGACAACUAUUCUCCACUUACAUCAAUUUUGAUCAUUCACUCAUAUUUUUUAACUAAAAAAAUAGUUAUUUGAUAUGUUUUAAAUGACUCGCCAUACAAUCUUAUGAUGUCGAACUAUCUAGAUGUAUUAAUUAUUUAAAUGAUAUUAGUUAAAUUCCAAAAAUAAAUUAUUUUAUAAAUUGAAAUUUUUAAAUGAUUUCUUGCAAUUAUAUAUAUUAUAAAAAUAAAAAUAUAAAAAUAAAAUUACAAUUAAGUUUUUAUGUUACCUCAAAAAAAAAAUCCUACUUUUUUUAAAGAGCUCAUAUAAAAACAACAAAUAAAAUUGGUCACUUCCACUUAAAAGAGUCAAAAAUAUAUAUAUAUUUUUUAAUUUCAUUCAAACCAAGCAUUGCAACGUAACAUUAAAAAACUUCGCUAAAAAUUCAUUACUAUGGGGAAUACUUUGUUUAUAAUAUUAUUUGACUUUUUCGAGUGACAAUAGGUCAGACGAGGUUAGACUUUAAAUCCUGAGUCUGGUUUAUGAUUAAUUUUUUAGGUCUACGACCUAUCAUAUACUUUUUAUCGGUCUUACUUAGUUUUUUUUAAAAGUCUAACCUGACUUGAAAGUCUAUUUAAAAACUUUAUUCACAUUAAAACAUUUAAAUGUUUUACUCAUACCACACGUUACUCUCGAGAUACCAAUAUCAAUGUACAUAUCUAUAUAUUAAAUAAAAAAUAAUUUAAAUUUUUUUUGAAAUAAACAUUCUUUAAACCCUGAAAAAUAAUUUUUAGUUUCAAAGAAUAGAUUUUUUUUUUUUUCUUUUUAUGAAACAAAUACACCAAUUAUUACCUCUCAAACAAAUAUGGAACGACUACUGAAUGAUUGACUAAUUGAACGACUACCGAAUAUGGAACAACUAUCAAAUAUAAAUCGCUACCGAAUAUGGAAUGAUUGUCUAAUUGAUUGAAUUUAAAAUAGAAAAUAAUAUUAUUAAUAUAAUAAUAAAAAAUAACAUUAAUAAAUAGGCUAAAUAUCACAUGUGGUCACUUAACUUAAUUUCAGUUAACGUUUUAAUCAUUUAUCUUUUUUUUUUCUUCCCGAUUUAGUCCUUUAUUCCUAACAAUAUCAAAUAAAGUAUAAAAAUAUGAGUUUAUUUGAAAAUUUGCGUUACGAAUUUGAUGAAAUUUGUAUUAUAUUGAAGAAUAUAAUUAAUUUUAUGAGUUUUGUUUGAAUUUUUUUUUUGAAAUUUUGUAUAAAAAAGUAUAACAUUGUUGAAAUUUUAAAACUUAAAAUUAAAAUAAAGGACCAAGUCGGAAAAAAAAAGAUAAAUGACUAAAACGUUACCUGAAAUUAAGUUUAUGGACUACAAAUGUAAUUUAGCCUAAUAAAUGAUAAAAUAUAUAUACGUAUGUCAGACCUAAUAGAUUUUCUUAUAAAUUUAAAUAAAUAAAUUUUAAAAAUAACUUAAACCUAACCUUUUUAUUAAAUAAAUCAUAUCAGACCACAUCAUAAAUAUGUCAGACCAUAAACCCUUAACGAACGGACGAAUUAGUCUAUCCACAUCUCUAUACACAAUCGUGAACGAAGAAGCAAAUUUGUGGCCGUAUAUGGGAUAAAACAUUGUCCAUUAAUGUAGGUAAUUAAUCACCAUUGUGGUAACUUGCACCCAGUAAUUUAAAGAUUCACUUAAACCGUCUCAGACAUUUACCCAUUUGUCUGAGGCUAUAUGACUCAAACACAGUAAAAGGUUCAAACUCCGCCCUAUGUUUCUAUACUCGAAACCUUUUAUCUUUACAUCUUCUACUACCUUUUGAAAGUUUAGAACUUCUCCUUCAAAGACUAUUUUAUUCCUUUGCUUUCCAGACUCUCCACACACAACCAAAUCAUAAUUUCAUCAUGAGAGGUUGAGAAAAAAAAUCCUUCCUUUACACGAAAAUCUUGACCAUUCUCAUCCUUUUAGGUGCCAUUUUCAUUCUCUAAAAAUUAUUCUCUUUUUUAAUGCAUAAAAAUAAUUUUUUUGUAAAUACUAUUUAUUGUACUUAUGCAAAUUACAUUCUAAGUAUUUUAAAAGAGAUCCAUCGUUGAUCAUAUUUGUAUCCAAUAUAUAUAUAUACAUUGGUAAGAAUAAUUCAACCCUAGAAUAUAGUGUAAUGUACUCGUAACACAAGUUAUAUUCACCAAGAUAUUCGUCAUAUAUACGUACNNNNNNNNNNNNNNNNNNAUAUUUAUACAAUCGUUAAAAAUAAAUAUUUUUAAAUAAUAAUUAUGGAUUUGCACCAAUAAAAUGAGUAAAAAUAUAUUAAAAAAUCAAUAAUUAUUAUUUUAAUAAAAUAUUGACCAAGUCAAUUACUUAAAUGGUCCAAUACACUAUUAACCAGUCCGAAACAAUCGAUUUGGUCCAGUUUUUAAAACUAUGGUUAAAACUUAAAACAAUUAAGAUUUAUUUUCUACCCUAUUUGUAUUUAAAACAUAGUUUUGACAGUGUUCCUUUUGAGUAAAACAAAAAAGCUAAACAUUUGAGGUCACACUGUCCUGUUCUGAGUGAGUCAGUGUCCUGAAUCCUCUGUCUCAAAACAAAGUAAUGAAAUGAAAAGUGUAAGAAAAAACAGUGUGCAACUAUCCUUUUCAUCCAACAAAAAAGCAGUACAUAAGACUUUAAUUUAAAAGGAUUGAAAACAACUAGUAGUUAAGUUUUACCCUACCCAAGAUCACUGCAUUAUGACUCAUAACUUCUACCAUCCCUAUAGUUCUGGAUAGAUCCUAAUGUCAGUCCUCAAACCAUUAAUAUCUAUUAACUACUAGUACACUAAAAUUAAGUUAAGCUCAGAGUUAAAUCACACUACUCAUAGACUACUUCAUUUCUAACAUUAAAAAUCCUAUUAAUACAUAGUAUUAAGGAUAGUAAGGUAACACUGGCCAUUGAGGAGGCAUUGAAACUGAGUUAAAAUCUUCAACAGUGAAAGAACUGUUGUAUCCUUCUGCUGCAGCAACUUGUUGAAUAUUGCUACUUGUAAUUCCUUGUGGUCUGUUUGAACAUUUCAUCCCUUCUGAUGUACUUUCAACUGUUUCUUCAUUUGACAUUUCUUUAUACCCACCAAAUGUUUGUGUUUGUGUCCUAAAAUUACAUUGCUCUUUUAGCUUUCCUUUCAACUUUAAAACCUGUUCAGGGAAAAUCAGAAGUAAUCAACCAAUUUGUGGGUAAAACUAGUAGAAUUCUGAAUUCAUGCUGUCACGAUCACGUGGAUCAUUCCAUUAAGAUUUGAUCUUUUAAAAAAUGCAUGUUAUAAUUUUAUAAUUUAAAAUAUUUAAUUUAAAUUUGAAUCGUAAAAUCUCACCACAUAUUGAUAUCUAGACGACUAAAUAUCCAAACUGCGAGGGAAUUCAAAUAGGUUGAAGAUAUCAUGUUAAUGAUCAAUAACUAAUGUUGGGUUUAAAUAUGCAUGUGUUUCAUAUAAAUAGAUUCCAUGCGAAAUGUUAUAUAAAAUAAUAGUAUUUAAAAAAGUUAAUGCAUUUAAUUUAAAAUUUAGUCGUUAAAAAAAUAAAUUAUUUUGUGUUUGUCCAUUACUUCCUCUAUUUCAUAAUAAAUUUGUUAUUUAUUAUUUUAUUUUAUAAAUAUAUUUGUCAUUUUACAAUAAUAAUAUAAUAUUAAUUACUUUACUUAUUAAUAUAUUUUUAUUUAUUAUAUCUCAACUAAUCAAACUUUUUUUUUAAACUGAAAUUAAUAAUAACAUUUGAGUAAAUAAAAUUUAUUUUAUCAUUAAAAUCAACAAAACUAGUUUUUUUUUUUUAAGAAUUACACACAAUUCAUCAUUUAAAAUGAGAUUGAAAGAGUAUAAUGAAUAUAUUUUUUAUGAAAAGUUAAUCAAAACAAUUUCUCAUCUGAAUCAAUUUUUAAAUUAUUUUAUAAAAUUGUAACAAACAAAUAAAACCUCAUAAAAAUAAUUAAUUUAUUGAAAAAGAAGUUUUAACAAACAAUGUAUUUGAUUGACAAAUAUACAUGUACCAGCACACCUAGUUAAUUAUUACCUCUUCUUGAAGAAUCUGCUUUUCCUUAGAGAUGACGUCAAAUUCAUGUUUAAGCUCAUCAUACAAAUGCUCAAGUUGCUUAGCCUUCCACCUAGUACGCCUAUUUUGAAACCAAACAGCAAUUUGGCGAGGUUGAAGCCCUAACUCUCUUGAUAGCUUCAUCUUUCUUUCAGGGUCUAACUUUAUUUCCUCUUGGAAACUCCUUUCUAGUAACUCAAUCUGGUUAUUUGUUAAUCUCUUCUUCUUCUCUCGGUUAUUAUUUCCAUUAAUGUUCAUUUCAUCCAUUGCUGGAAACAUUUGUUGUGUUUGAUCACCCAAUGAUGCUUGACUCACUUCCAUUCCUAAACAUACAUAAUAUUUUUAUAUUCAAUACUUAUUUAUUUUAUCUAUUUCUUUACACUUUUGUACUACUAUUCUUUGAAUGAAAUAUAAACAAAAAAAAUAUUUAAAUAAUUGAUACAUUUGAUUUUAUUUAAUUUUUAAUCAAUAUAUCGAUUUUUUUAAUAUAAUUUAUAUUUAUAUUUUAUUCUGAAAUAGUAUCACACAAUUUUAUUUAUUUAUUUUUAUCACAUUACCGUUUUAUAAAUUAUUUAAAAAAAAAUAGUUACACAAAAUGUUAUUUUUGUAUAUAUACAUAUGUGUGUGUUUAAGGUUGCCAUAAGUGUAGUUUUCAUUUUUUUGAUAAAAAGAAAAAUGCAUGUAUAAAAUGGGGAAUAACUUGGGAUUCGAGUCUGUGUACAAUAUUCCAAAAAGAGAAAAGGUGAAUGUUUUGAGGAAAAAGGAUUAAAAUAAAAUAAAAAUAGCUAUAUAAUGUUUUUACCUGAAUAAGAAGGGUUGUUGUUAUAGUUGUAGAAGAAGCUUAAGGAAGAUUCCGGAAGAGGAAUGAAGGGUCUUGAGCUCUCAUUCCAAUCCAUUUUUAGGUUUCACUAUUUUCUUCACUUCAAUUCCAUCCCUAAAGAUCAUUUGUGUGUCUUUUAUGGGCUUCAUACUUGGUUGGGAUGGACCACGUAGUCAGAGUGUGAAAGAAGAUAGAUAGAGUGGUGCAUGUCAGUAUAUAGCAUAAUUAUUAUAAUUAAUGAGAGCUGAAAUCAAAUUUCUCUAUUUUGGGGUGCAACCCAUUUAAAAACAUUCAUUACCUGUAUCUAAUUUUUUUAAGGACACUUAAUUAUUUCACAAAAUAAUAUAAAUAUAAUUUAUAGUUUCCUUAUCCUUUAAUUUCAUUAACAUCUCUCUUAUACAAUUAGGAUAAGAGAAUUUUUACGCUAUAUAAUCGAUAUGUAUCAAUAUAUUUAAUCUUUAAAUUAAUAAUUAAAUAACUUUUUAUUGAAAAAAGUUAUUUUUUAUUAUUUAUAUAAUUAUAAUAACUAAAUAUUUUUUUUUUAAGUGUUGGCAUAAUAAAAUUUAUUUGUUUUUGAAUUUUUAUUACUUACAAUAGUGAAUAUUUUUACAAUAAAAUAUAACAAAAAUUAAUAUAUUUUAUAAAUAAUUAAUCGAUGAUUUUUUCUUAUGAAACAAAUUUCCUUAAAAUAUAAAAGUAAAAAAAUAAUAAUAAUUAUUAAUUUUAAAAAAUAAAUAUAUCAAAUAAUUAAUUGAUGAUUUUUUCUUAUGAAACAAAUUUCCUUAAAAUAUAUACGUUGGAUAUGGAACGUAUAUAUAGGCGUCUCUAAUAUGAAUCUUCCAGAAAAUGGUUUAAAGACCCCUACCUUUUCUAGUAAAAAAUAUUUAAUUUAAUAAUAAUAAAAAUGGGAACAGAUAUAAUAUUUUAUUCAAAUUUAUUCAAAAUAGUAAAGUUUAUAUUAGUAUCAUAUAAAUCACUUUUUUUAUAAAUUAAAAAUUAUUUGGUGUAUAACUAAGAGACACGUCAAGAUUAGUAUUGUUUAGUAAAAUCUUGACACACAUAAUUAAUAUAUCAAAUAUUAAAAAAUGUUAAAUAAAAUUUUAGUCUUUAUAAAAUUUUGAUAUUUUAAUUUUAGUUCUUAUUAAAGUUUCUUAGCUUUUUAGUCUACACGUUUGUUUUUAUAGUCUCUAGUUUUAGAUUAAUUAAUGUGUAUUUUAUUAAUUUUUUGAAUGAUUUUUUACAACUAUAUUUGUUUCCUUUUCAAAAUUUAAAAAUAUUCAAAAUAAACUGAAUUAAAUAUAAUUUUUUUUUAAUUUUUGGUGUUUAAAAAUUUAUAUUAAAUUAAUCUUUUGUGAAAAAAUUAUAAAUUUUUGUGUGAGAUUUUAUAAUGUUAUAAACAUAUCUUAUAAAUACAAUAUAAAAAAAUUUAUAUAGACUGAAAACAAAAAUUAAAUAUUUUUAAAGACUAAAAUUUAAAAAAAAAAUUAUAUAUAAUUAUAAAUAAAAUGUUAAAAUUUCGUAAGAAUAAAAAAUUUGUCUCAACAAAUAUGAAAUAAUUCAUGGAAGAAAAGAUACCUCUACAACAUGUACCAAAUAGAGAUACCCAGGAGAUUAAUUUUAACAAGAGACAAGAGUGGUGAAUAAAUACUCCUCUAAAUAGGUGUCCAUGCUAAGUAUCACACCUACUAUAGUCUAUAGAUACUAAUUUAUGUAGCUAGGUGUAUACGUACUUUAUAUAUAUAAUAUAAGUAUAUACAGUAUGUACUUUUUUAACAUCUACGUCGAUGAGUACGAGCUUCUUCCUCCUCCCCCCUUCCUUUCAGGAAGCAAGAAGACAUAAGUUAGAUUAAAUUACUGUAGAGAACAAAUUAAAGGACCGUGCUGGCUACCUCAUGCAAAUUUAACAUACACUUUUUUAUAAUUUAUAUUAAUUAAACUAAUAAAAGUUAACUUUCUUUUUAAUAGAUAAUAUGGUAAAUAAAUUCGCUUUUUAGAAUUAUGGAUUCAAAUCCGUAAUCUCCAACAUAACAAUAUAAUUAUUUGUUACUUGAAUUAAAUUUCAUAAAUAAAAAAGGUUAACUUUUCAUUAAGCCAAUGAAUUUACUAAGAGAUGACUCAUUUUAACUUUGGAACUUGUUAAGUGAAAUAAUUUGAUCAAUAACAAUAAAUAGGUGAUUAUUUUUACGAUUUUACUCACGUCUUUUCUUCUCAAGCCUCUGCCAAAUCAUGCCCAGAGACAUUCUACACCUAUUUGAUUAAAAAACUUGUCAUCCUUGCAACAUUUAAAUCAUUUGAUUUGGUUAUUAGUCAUAUCGUUGUUUUGUUAGCAUUUCAUAUUGUUGUUCUUAAAUUUGCAUAGGGCCUGGGCUGCUUACGGUGCCCGCCGUCACAUAGUUCCCGUUUCACCUCUUGUUCGGACAGCGCGGUCCUUUGUUGAUAUUUUCAUGUACAAUUUGAUAGUGUUCUACAAAGUAAAAUACUAUUUUAAUUAUCAAUAUUACAAAGAGACUCGUCAUCAAUGCCAAUGACUUUUAGUAAAAGCUACUUAUGAAAUGAUGAAUUUGGUGAAUAUUUUACAAAAUAAAAAAUCACAUUAGAAUAUUCAUAUUUUGAACUAUUAAAUUAAAAGUGCUCAACAAACUAGAAAACAAUUCUGAUGUACUUAAUAUUGAUUAAAGACUCUCUUCAAGGAUAAAGUCAAAAACUCGCUAUAAACUUAAAAAAUAAAUAAAUUUUCACUUAACAAAUAAAUUCUUAAUUUUAUUUUGUAUUUAAUAAAAAAUAUUUAUAUUUUAAAUUUUAUUUAAAAUUAAUAUUGUUUUAAUAAAUAUUAAAAUAAUAAAUUUAGUUAUCAAUUGAAAAAAUAUAAUAUAAAAUUAAUUAUAUUAAUUUAAUUAAUAAUUUUUUAUUUUAAAUUUUCAAACAAUAAUUUUUAAUAAAAAAUAAUAAUUUUAAUAAAAUAUUAUUAUAAAUUUUAAAAGAAUGUCAUAUUUUAAUUUGUUUUAAAUGUUGAAUUGCUUUUUAAUUAUGAAGUCACCAAAAUUGAUGAGCACAUGUACAAAAUAUUUUCAAAACUAAAAUAUGACGUGUGUAUAUUCACUUGUACAAGAUAUUAAGCGGACAAAUAUUAACUAAAAUAUUAUAAUUGAAAUUUAUAAAAUAAUGUCAGUUUUUUAGAAUUUCACACAAUUUACAUAUAGUCGACAAAUUAAAAAAUUUAGAGUUUUAAUUCACACAAAUAUUCUAAUUUAUAUAAAUUUUUAGAACUUCAUACGAUUAAAUAAAUAAAACAUAUCUACCUUUCAAUUUUUAUCUUUAUCAAAAAAAAUUUUCUUAAAAAAUGUAUCAAUUUUAUUAUGUAUAAACAUUAUAUUACGUCUAAAAAAAAUAUACAAAUUAACUACAUAAAUAAAAAAUUUACAAUUAUUAAGAUUACAACUCACAUUCAUAAAAUAAAACAGUUUACAAUCUCACAUUAACAAUACAUUAGUUAGACAAAAUAAUAAACAUAAAUUUUUUUUAAUAAAUUAUCACUAUUAUUUUAGUAAUUUGUGAAUCUCCUUUAUAUAAAUAAAGUAAAAUGAAAAAUAAAAUAGAAGGGAAAAGUUGGGGACACUUGUGUAUAAUAUUUUUUCCACUGGUGGCAUAAAUUGCAAGUAUAUCUUAAAAUGAGUAGUUCGAUUCCACUGUCUACUUUUUCAGAGGGGGACCAAACUCCUUCUAUUACCUAUCUAUCUUAGGUAUACCGUACACAUAUACAGUCACACUCACAGGAGUUUAUUGAUUUGCAGCUUCCUUGUACAUCAGGUCUAGCUUUUAUCUUUCGAUUUUUUUCUAUGACACCAAAACUACCAUGGAAAUCAAAUUUUGCUUGAUUAUAAAUUCCAGUGUUACAAGCGCAGUGUUAUAUAUCUCAAUCCCAUUAGUAUUAGCAUCAAAUUAAAAUUUUAUGAAACAUAACUGAAUAAAAUAUAAUCCAAAUUUUGGGGGAGAGACGUCAUAAUUAUUGUGAAGAAAGAGAGCAUGAAAACAACAUAUGCAUGUCCUUAAUUUCUCAUUUAUUUUUACAGCUCUUUGUCUUUAGUCUUGAAUAUAUAAAAAUGGUAACUCACUUGUUUACUACAGUUAGUAUCACAUCCAUCAAAAAAUUUUAACAAAUAUUUUAUAUAUAAAAGUAGUGAUUUAUAUUAUGUGGAAUAAAUCUUAUUUCUUCUAUCCGUCAUUCAAAAUUACGAUAGAAUGUAAAUUUUAUUAAAUAAGUUGUUAAAACUAAAUUAAUGAAAUUUCAAAUAUCAUAUAAAACAAAUCAUUUGAAAUUCACUCUCCACCUCUUAAUAUAUAAAUCACAAAAGAGUCUAUAUCAUAUUUUUAUAAAUUUAUAAUUGUGUUCUUAUGUGUUUGAAAAUUUGCAUAUUAAUUCUUAUAAUUUUUCAUUUUUUGUAAAUUGGUUCCUACUUUUUCUUCUUCAAAUUUUGCAAAAUAAUUCUUCAAUUUUUCUAAAUUUCAGUUUUAAUUCAAAUUUAAUUUUUGUUUUUGCCUCACCUUUUAAAAUUUAUAAAAAUAGUUAAACACUAAAUAACAACUGUUGAAUUUAAACAAUAAAGUUUAUGAAUGAAAAAAAUGUAAUUAAAAUAUUAGAAUUCUAAUAUUUCUAAAAUUUUCAAUAAUUCCGUUUAAAUACACUUUUAAAAUUUCUAAAAAGUCUCUUACUAAAAAUUGUCUUAAGCGUCAAUAUUUGUUGCAGGCAAUUUAAUAUGCUCUCAAUUGUAAACUUAUAUUUAUAUUUACAUUUCAAAGUGGAGAGAAAUGUCGAGGACAUAUAUAUCUGGUUAGAAUUUCAAAAUUGUGCUUGAGUAUAUAAUCAAGCCAAAUUUGAUUUUGUUGUGUUGUAGCUUUCGUGUCAUAUAAAAAAUAGAAGGAUAAAACCUGAUGUACAAAGAAGCUGCAAAACAAUAAAACCUGUCACUGUAUAUGUGUACGGUAUGCCUAAUAUAGAUAGCUAGUAGAAGGAGGUUGGUCCCGCCUGAAAAAGUAAAUAGUGGAAUGGAACCACCCAUACAUACUAUGCUUAUUAUAUAUGCCACACCUCAAAAAACAAAUUGAUUAGGUAAAUUAAUUCUUGAAAUGGUAAUCCUCUAUCAAAUUAAUUUUUAAAUUAUAUAAAUUGAUAAGUAUAUUUAUAAAAUUAUAAAAUAUUAAUUAAAAUAAUAUUUUUUAAUGAAUUAAUUAUAGAUAAAUUAUUUUAUGAAAUAUUUAAAUUUUGUAGAUGACAUUAAAAUUAGUCACGGUUGAGAUGACAUUAAAAUUAGUCAAUGUGAAAAUUUAAUAUAUAAAUACUAAUAUAUAUAUAAUAUCAUAAUUUCUAACGAUAAAAAUUGAAAUAUCAGCUAUUUUGAUUACUAAUUUAUAAUUUUAGAGAUUUAUUAGUCAAUUUCCAAAGUCCAAAAACUAAUUUGACUAAAGUUUAUAAUUUCAACGAUAUGUAACUAUCAACAUAUCUAUUUUUUUAGAAAAAAAUUAUACAAAUGUCAAAUUUUAAUUUUUUGUUUGUUUUAGAAGAUAUAGUAAAUUUCACUUUAACUUUGACCUUUAAGAUUUAGUACAUGUGGAUAUGACGAUUGGUGGUGUCAUAAUUAAAAGGGUAGACAAAAUCAUAGAGAUUUAAGAUGAAUUUAAAUACGAGAUCUUUUAGAAUUUAGAAUAAUAUCUAAGUAAAAUUACUAAAUUGGUUAUGAAAAUUAUUUUUUGGACAUUUUAGAAUUAAAACUAAUUUAUUAAAUUAAUAUUAUCCAUUUUGUGUUAUUUUUUUUUUUGUUUUCAAUUGAUAGUUUAAUUGACUACUUUAAAAUUUAUUGAAACAAUUUUAGUUUUAGAUAAAAUUUUAUUAUUUUUAUAUUUGAAAGUAUUAGAAUAUGAGAUUUUUUUAUUAAGUACAAAAUUUUUGUGGAUGUUUAUUUUGGUAAAUAAAAAAUUUAUUUACUUUUUGUGGUCUCAUUCUUGUGUUGACCUUGAUAAUUAAUAUUGAAUAAAUCAUCAAAAUUGUUGUUUAGUUUAUAGAACGCUUUCAAAUAUAGUAGUUCCAAAUAUCAAUAUUUAAAUUUGAUAUUUGAUUUUGUAAAAUAUUUUUCAAAUUCGUCUUUUCGUGAGUAGCGUUUACUAAAAGUCGUUGGCAUUGAUAAAAAAUCAAUUAAGUAGAAUAUUAACAAUUAAAUUUGUCUUUAACUUCGUAUGAUGCUAUCAAAUAGUUAUAUGAAAAUAUGAAUAUUCUUAUUUAGUCUUCAAUUCUAUAAAAUAUUUCUGAAAUUCAUCCUCAAGUGAAUGUUGAUUACUAAAUAUUGUGGACGGUGGUGACAGGUGUGUUAAGUGUACAAUUAGAAAUUUUAGUCAUUAUACAGAGAAAAUCAGAAAUAUUUGAAAUUGUAAACUAUAGGUAUCACCUCAGACACUCCAAUACUUAAUUGAUGUUUUAAGAUGUUUAUAAAAAUAUAUGUUUGUUCAGUGUUCUAAUAUCGAUUGAUCCCUCUCUGCAGGAAAGUCUCAAAUUUUUAUGAAGUCCUGUGCACUGAUUUUUGUUGACAAAGAACAAUUACUUUUUUCAUAGGACACAUCAUAGAAAAAACGUAAAGUGUUAGAAAUUAAAGUGCAUAAGUUACAAUAAAAUAAAUAGUAUACAAUGACUAAAGAAAAUAUAUAAACAUAACAUAUUUUUGAACAUAACACUGUUGAUACAGUAUAAUGUAAUAUAAAAUAAUAGUUUGACGUGGGUUGGAGUCUCAUGUGAACAAUUUUGAAUGACAUCAAAUUGAUACUGAAGUUAAUAGAUGUCGAAUUUAAUUAAUUUAAUUCAGUUUAUAUCAAAACAUGAAAUAAAUUGAUCCAAUUUAAUUGAUAUGCGCAAAACCUUUUAAUUCAUAAUAUUAUAGGUUUGAUUUUUUCACCCUAUAAAAAACACAUAACUUUUUUAAAUUUAUUUUUACAAAUUCAUGUAAUUUAUAUUAUCCUUUCUAUUUCUAUGACUAAAAUUGUAAUAAGACACUUAAGGACCACAACAUCAUCAUCCACUACAUUGAGUAAAAAAAAAUUCAUAAAAGAAUGAAUUUGAAAAAUGAUUUCUAGAAUUACACAAAAUUUAUGAUAAUCAUAUUUUAUGAAUUAAUUUGAAGAAGUCUUUUAACGUCAAGGACUACUUGAAUUUCCAACAUCUUAUUCAUCAAAUACAUCAUUAAUGUUAACAAUAAUUUAAUACUAAUAUUAGUCUUCAAGCAAAAAAGGACGUCAUUAUAAAUAUUUUAAGAUAAUUAAAUUAAAAUAUUUAUAUUUUUAGAAAUACAGUUGAAUUUAAUAUAAAAUUUUAAUUAAAUACAGAUUUAUUAAAAAAUAUUACGCUAAAUUCAAAAUUCGAUCAAAAUAUAAAUAAAGUUGACUCAAUAAUUGUUUGAGGUAGAAUCUAAAAUCACUUUCUUUCAACUAUUUAUUAUUAACCACUUGAUUGUUUUAAUCAAUUAAUAUUGAAAUAAUGUGAACUUAUAUAUAUAGAAUAAAAAUGUUUCAGCACGUGGAUAGAAAAAAAAUGAAAAUUGUUUGACUACGUGGCUGAGUGUGAUGUUACCACAUAUAAGUAUAACUCACCUAACCGGUCUAAGAAAGUGAAAACAAAAGUGUAAAAUAUAGGGUAACACUAACACAACAACUAGAUGUGAUUCCACGCAAACGGCGCCGAACAUGCUCAUGGACCCCUGUCUCUCUGCUUGGUUACUUGCUUCCAACUUGGUUGGUACUUGCUAGUUCUUCAUUAGCCUCAUCCAAAUACCACUAGUACACACCAUACUGAUUAAUUCACUAUACACAACAAUUCAUCCUCUAUGUCCUAAAUACUGUACUUUUUUGCAUUUCUAUUUUUAUUAUACACAACACUGAGGAUCCUAUACUACACAUUAAAUAAAUAUAUAGGCAGAGCCUAAAGUUUAGGUCCAAAACCACAACAACCAAUUACUACUAUGAAAACAAAAGGCCCACCUUACGAGGAUCCUUUUUAGCUUUUGAUAGCACAGUAUGUCAGGAAUUAAUUUUGAAAAUGUUGAUUUGUUCUCGUCAAAAUGUAUUUUGCAAACUUUAGUUUGAUUUUAUUAAUUUUUGUAAUAGGAGAAAGGAUUUGGGAAUAAGACAAAUUUUAAGCGGACAAAUUUGUUAAGGAAUUCACUGUAUACUAGUAUUUAAAAAUAAUUUAAAUAAUGAUUUAAUCAUGACUAUUCGAUAAAAAUCAAGAAAAAUAAUUAUAUAUAUUUUAAAAUUAAAUUUGUGAAAUUCACCUCAAUUAAGUUAUAUUUUAAUCGUAAAAUAAAAAAAUAAUUUAAAUGAUACUAGAUUAGCAAUAAAGCUUAGAAAUUCUAGUGUUAAAUAAAGUUUAGUUUAGUAAUAAAUAAUUAUGAACGUCACUUAAUAAUUAAUAGUAACUGAUAAUGGUUAAUAAUAGUAGUUAUUAUUACACGUUAAAAUGUUGACCUGAGUUAAGAAUACUUAAGUUAAUGAUUAAUUGAUUAGGACUUUAAGUUAAUCGAUUAGAACAUAGUCUAAAGUUAUUUUAUUCUAAGCCAAAAAGAAAAAACAUAGUCUAAAGUUUUAAAAACAUUUAGUUUUCUGAGACGGGGGACAUUUUAGUUAUUAAGAGAUGAUUAGUAAUUAAGAGUUAAACUAUUUAUUAAUGAAUAUUUAAUUAUUAGGAUAACAUUGAUAAUGCUUAUUUGAUAUACUUGUUGAUGAUAUUUGUGCGUGUUAAAUGUUAACCGUUGAUGAUGAUACUUGUUAAUCUAUUAUUACAUCCUUAGUCAUAGAUAAGAACUAAGUAAUGUUAAAUGGUUAUGAGUCGCAUAUAUAGAUUUAGAGACAUAUAACAAUAAUGAUUAUUUGUUUAUGUCAUACUUGUCUUUACUCAUAUAUGUAAUAUAUGUUUGAGGGUUGUGUCAUGAUAAAAUUAGAGUUCGAAGAUCAAAGAGACAUUUGAGGUAUCUUCAGUGAAAGAAAAAUUGAGUUCCGUUGCAUAAAUUGAGUUAUCAUAAUUAGAUGUCCUUGUUUGUGGGGUAGUAGGAUGCUUCUUUGCCCUUAUCAACUCUCGAGAUAGUCUAAUUUAUGUGUCGAAGUUAGUUGUUGAUUAAGUUGUAUUGCAUCCUAAGUGAUAUAUGCAUUGUAAUUAGGUCAUGAAUACAUGAGUCAAAUAUGCUGAUUGUUGAUGAGAUGUUUUUAUGUUUAUAUGAUGAUGAAUAAGUGCUAAGUAAAUGUUAGGUUAAUAAAGUGGUCAUUGUUGCUAAUUGAUUGUUUGAGUGCAUCUUAUGGUUACUUCUACUUUUAUGAUUCUCACUAAACAAACAACAUUUUAGAUGUUAACGGUGAAUGGGGUAUUGCUAAUUUUAUGAUUCUCACUAAACAAACAACAUUUUAGAUGUUAACGGUAAAUGGAGUAUUGCUAAGAAUUUUCACAAUACAACGACAAAUAUUAAAGACUUGAAAUUCUUAACUAUAGUUAAAUCAUGAUACUCUGACUAACUGAUAUAGAGUUUUAGGAUAUUUUUAUAAUUAGAAAGUUGUAAUAUUUUUUAUUAACACUAUUUGUAAAAUGAUAGUAAAUAUUUUACUUUUUAAAGUUAGUAAAUAAGUUUAUAUAUUACAAAGUCUUCCACAAUUUAAAGUUAUUUUUAUAGUUACAAUACAAAAUAUCACACUUGAUAUUAUAAAGGUCGUAGCCACACGAAGAAUAUUCAUACAUAAAACAGAAAAGAAGAAAAAAAGAUACAAAUAUAAUACGAAUUAUAAAAUAUUAAGUUAUUCUCGUAAAAUAUAUCUUUAAUCUAAACGAAGACGAAAACUUAGAUUCAGAUUACACAUUACACAUGUUAAUAAUUAAGAAAAAAAGCAUUAAAAAGGUAUAAAGGUCAUAUAUAUAGUGUGUGUUUGGAAAAUUGCACAAAACAAUAUUGUCAUGCACUAUAUAAAAUGGUAAAAGAGUUCUGUUUUGCUUUUAUUUUAUUUUUUACAUAUAUGAAAUGGCAAAAAAAUUCUCACACAAUUUUGAGAUUAAGUUUGAAUUUAGAACAUAGUAAUCAACUUAAUAAUUUUUCCAUUUUACCGGUCGACUUAGGUUUUACAGAUGAAAUUUCCAUUUUUUGACAUAAUUAUUACACAAUUAAAAUUUCUAUUUAUAUGCAAUUUCAACAUUAUACCGGUUACGAAUUCCCAUUUUUUUAACAUAGUUAUUACAUAAUGAAAAUUCCCAUUUAAAUAUUAAAAUAGGUCCAUUUAAAUAAUUAACGGACAUAAAGUAAACAAUAAUAUGAUUAUUAACAUAAAUACUCCUAUCUAUCAACAAAAUUAAAUAUAUUCAUUUUAUUUCUCUUAUAAAUAACAAAAUAAAUCAAAUAUCAAAUAAAAAAUAAAUGUGUAAUGAAGUAAGCUCUUAAAUCCAUUUUAGGAAUUAUACAUCAAAAACAAUUUUAAUUCAAAUUGUCCUAACACACACUUAAAUGAAAAAGAAAGAAACGGAGAUGAUCUCAACUCCUAAAGAGGAGGAUUUUUUUUUAUUUUUUAUUUUUAUAUUUUUUUUUAUUGAGAAAAAGGGAGAUAGGCCCCAACAAACUAAAAAAACAAAAGAGAGAAAAGGAGACCUUAACGUACGUAGCUGAUGGUUGAUGCCACUUGAAAAAAAUUACUAGGAAAUACAGUGUAGCGGGUUGAAACUAAAGACAAGGACAAGAGUAGGAAUUUAUCAUUUUAGGGUUAUAUUUUAUUGGAUUGAUGGGCUUAUUUCGGAAACUACUCUACAAGUGUUGAUAUCUUUAGGUAACUUCAUCUCCCAUCUUUCAAUGUUCUCUUAGCCAAUCCAAAGAUAUAAAAUACACAUCUAGAUUAAUUAUACUUAGUGGCUUUUAAAAGAAGAAACCACUUAUCUUUACCUCAUCAAACAAUACCUUAAAAAGCCCAUUCAAAAAAAGUAGUUUCAGAAGAAAUGGAGCAUCCAAAUGAAGUUUCGGCGAAGCUUGUUUUCUUCAUUCUUUAUCAAUCUCAUCUGACAAAACUAUAUAACAUGGAAAUGACUUAUAAAUACAUAGAGAUUGGGAUUACAUAAAACUAGAGAUACACAUGCGGGCUAACUGUAGAAAAAAAAAAAGAUAAAAAUAAAAUAAAACCCAACAAAAGAUUAUAUUCUCCACAUUCUAAACUUUCUUCACAAGUGUAGCUGUGUUCUGGGAUAUUUGACAUCACCAAGGUAAAAAAAAAAUCCCUAUUCUGUGUAAUCAUUUAAAAAAACCGCCUCCAUUGCGGUCUCUCAAAUCGCUAGGUAUGAUAAAUACAGAAUCUACACAAAGUCCACCUUUUGAGUGUGUACAAUCAAUCUGUUUCAUGGAGAAUCUAACUUUAGUUGUAGGUUCUGAUCCACUCACAGUAAACUCACCUACCUUGUAAUCUACCCAACAUCCUCGCUUAUGAUUGCUGUAUGUCCCAUCAUGCUCAGUUUCAUCCAAGCAGCACUCGGAUGAUGCUUGUUGACCAUCGGAAGUUGACAACUCAAAUAUCACUGGCUUUAUAUCCCAACCAUGGGUCUGUUCAUAAUUGCAUAUGCGCCGACCGAGCCUUUUGGAAAAUUUGCCAAGAUGAAGCCUAAAGGAGAGAGUAUAAUUAUCAGCAGGAAAUGGAAAGUCGUCCUCCCCAUCCACUUCAAACCACCAUAUUUGCUGGAGAUAUGCUACAACAGUGAACCUGAAAUGAAUAAUAGAAAUGUAAUUCAAUACUCAAAACAGAAUGAAGACAAAUUAAGCAAAGCAGUUUAAGUAUCAACUUAAUAAAGUUCCAACUAGUGAAAAUAAGCACAAAUAGCAUAUAAGCAGUAAGUUAGCAUGAAAUUAAGAAUGGAAGCUAGCAAAAAUUGAUGAUUAUUAGUGUACAACUGUCCAUAAAUUAAGUUAGCAAAACAACCCAAACUACCUUUUAUUGUUUGAUUCAUAGAAUGAACAUUUCCUUUUUCUGAGGAUUCACCUGUGUUGCACUAUAGUAAGCAUAUCGAUGUGAACAAGCCUAUUACAAUAGUUUUUCUAUCUCUGCAACUCAAAGCAUCAUUGGCAACUAGUGAUGAUUCUUCUGAAUGACUGAAUCCUUUCAAUGAUAAACCUCGGGACCUCAGAAGAUGAACUGAAGAUUUUGGGUGAAAUUUCAAGAUGAAAGCAUGUGCAUUUAAGAUUAAAACUUCAUUUAAUCUUCUAAAUUUCCACCAUUGAUAACAAACGUUCAAAAUUAAGUUCCUAUGACAGCAAAAGUCGCUAAUAGAAGCACCUUUAGGAGGCUCAAUCAUGAUUGCCAGUCCUCAAUAGAACUCGUGAGACGGCAGUGUAGUUUUUAAAAUUAGAGACGAAUGUAGUAUAAUUUAAAGCAAAUUUCAGGAGAUGUGAAUGCAGUACACGUAUACAGAGAAGUUUAAUGUGCAAAUACCAAAAUGAUUUUUCAUACACAGCCCAGAAAAAAUCACAAAAGUUGGACAGUGAUAAUUUUCAAUGCCUUUACUCGCAAAAUAACCUACAGAAAUAGGGCUGCCAAGCAGUCCAUACCAUAAUGGACUUUACAUUAGAUUUGGUCCAAAUAAAAGUCCAAACCAAGGAGCUGAUCCAAGCUCACUAGGUCAUUUUGUUUGGCUUUCUGGUUGGCCCAAUUAGUAGUUUCAUUAAACUCAAAUUGAAUUAAGCUCCAAGCAGCACCCAACAAUUAAACAUUCUCAUUACAAAUUAAGUUUAUAAUUUUUAAAAGCAGUUAAAAGCCCAAAACAAGACACGUAGGAUCAAGACAGUUAAACAAAUGACAUAACUUACGAAAAAGACUUACAGCUUAUACAAAAACAGUUCAAACUUAUCUCAUCUCCGAUCUUAUAAAUAACUUAUACAUAAAUGUGCAUAUAAGAAUAAACGCUUAUUCAAUAAGACUUAAACUUAGCAGUUUAUCCAUACACACUCUUUAGAAUAGAAUUUAUGGCAUACUUUUAUAGCAUAAAUCACAUUCAGUACUUAAUCUAGACAAUUUUUUUUAGGAUUUCACCAGGAAAAACUCAGAUGAACAAAUAACUUGAGAUGUAUAGAGUGACAUCACUCCAACACAGAUGCAGACUUAAAUGUUCAUAUCAGAUAAUCAGACAAGAUUUUAUCAAAACAAUAUAGAACUGAGUUAAACAAUUGAUAGACCAAACAGCAGCAGUAACUUUUAUAUGUGAAAUAAACUGCAAUUUCAGUAAGCCAACACAAGCAACCAAAAAAAUGACAUUUUUAGAAUAGCAAUAGCAUCAUAGUAACUCUCAGGCAAUGCUCCCUCUGGAAUUAAAACCAUAUACAUCAAUUUUUCAAUUACUAUUUUUGCUCAUAAUUCAUUUCGGAGCGAGUAUAAUACUCAAGCACCAACAAGUUUCAAGAGAAAAGGAAAACUGUAUUAUUAAUGUAAAAAUAAAACUAUUACUCCCAAAAUCUCACAAUAAGUGUUACUUUAACAAAAAAAAAAAUUGCCUCAAAAUGAAUGUCAUUCACAAAUUUCAAUGCAUCUUUAAUCAUUGUUUUCCUAUACUACCAUUCAAUGAUUACUAUAUACACAACUUACAAAAUAUUAUUAUAGUUUGCAUUGAUAAUAGUGAAAGCUCCACCAAUAGUUAAAAUGGAUAAUAUGGUAAAAUGAAUUCUCUUUUUCUUCUAAUUAUUAUAUUUCUUAAUAUGUGCACAAAAAUAUUAAAUGACACUCAUUGUGAGACAGAGGGAGUACAUAGGACAACUCCUGUAAUCCCAGAGCAAAGCUCCUCAGAGAAGAAAUAAUUCUUCCUUUGCCCAAACCUCUAACGGUUCUAAAUGAAAGAUGAUCAAUGGUCACCUCCCUCUCUCUCCAUCACCCCUUAUAACUAACUCUUCCCCUUUCUCUAAUUUGCCUCUUUGGAUAACUCUAAGUGGGCCUCGAUCAAUUGGGCCUAUAACUGCAAUUAUAUAUAAGAUACCUAUCAAGUGACAUCUCUCCAACACAAAUGCAGACUUAAAAGUUCAUACAUCAGACAAGAUUUUAUCAAAACAAUAUAAAAUCCUAACUAUUUUUUAGUUAAAACCAAAUACAUCAAUUUUUUAGUUACUAUUUUUGCAUAUAUUUCAUUACAGAGCAAGUAGAAUACUUAGCACCAACAAAUUCCAACCCAAAUACAUAAAGCAUAAAUUUAACUUCAAUUUCAACUUCAAAUGUGAGGAGAAUCAUAUUUUCUCUACACUUUUCAAUUUUCAGGCUCCAAGUUCUAACAAAGCAUAAUCAAAAGUAAAUUAAAAAGUAUAUAACGGUUUUGAGAAUGUAACCUAGAUUCUUCAGUUGGAAUCCAAGUCCAGUAUCUACGAUCAUCAAUUCCAGUAAUCGACAAAGCUUUGGCCGAAAUCGACAUGCAAACCCUACCAGUAACCCUAUCCAACCACACUUGCUGCAAAACCCUAACACCGUCAAUAAAUCUAACAGAACAAAACACAAAACAGAAUUGUAAAGUGUAAACCUAAACCCUACCUUAUUUCCGUCAUCAAACGGUAACGGCCUCGAUAGAAUAGCGAAAAUGUCUUUCUUAGAUAGAUUCUGGCAACGUUCCGUAGGCAUUAAACGGAGAAGGUGUUGGUAGUUAGAAGGUAACUUAGAUUGCCAAACGUAAUCAGCAGAAGCGGCGCCGCGAAAAGCGCGAUUAAGACGAGCUAAGUUACAAAUCUCGGGCGGAGUAAGGUGAAGAAAAACGCGAGCGACGCAAUUCUCCGGGAUGUCGCCGAGGCUUGGAACGAUGGUCGAACCGUUGGAUCCAAGGUUCGACAGCGAGGCACCCAUCGCGAGGGUUUGAGUCUCUCAGACCAUACUAUAGUGAUGGUGAUGAUGAUGAUGAUGAUGAUGAUGAUGAUGAUGGGAACAGAGAGAGAAUGUUGUUAGGGAUUGAAAAGGAGUAUAGGGUGACAGUGUGUUGGCGUCGUAUUCGAUUAUUCCUUUGUCGUUGAAUAUUAUUGGAAAGAUAUAAAUAGUUGAUGAGUUGGAACGUAAGGGAAUUCAUUUGGUGUGGGAGGAUGCACUGUCGUCAACGUUACUGCGUUCCACCUACAUUCACCCAUGAGGCCAUAUCAUUUUAAUUAUAAGACUUUAUUUCAUUUUUUUUCUUCUAUUUUAUAAAAAAUUGAACUCUUAAUCUUUGUAUUUCUAAAAUUAGUUUUCUUUUUCUUCUAUAAUAAAUUCUUAAGAUUUUAUUAGUUUUCAACUAUUUUUUAUUAUGUGAUACUUGAAAUUUCACUAGUAUUUAUGAUUUUGAUAAAAUAAUUUAUAUAUUAUUAUAAUUAUAAAAAUUAAUUUAUUAUUUUAGUUUAAUUAUUAUACAUUGUCAAUGUAAAAUGUUUAUAUUGUCAGUACAUCACAAUCAUUAUAUAAAUGACUUUAGAGAUAGUUUUGAUAAAAGUCAAAUAUUUUUAACGAUCUAACGGUUGUAAUUGACAAAUAAUCUAAAAACUCUUUAUACAUAUAAUAUAUAUAAAUUAAAUUUUAAUUAUUUAUUAAAAUAUUUAAAAUACUUUAAUUUAUAAAUAAAAUAAAUUGAUUUUUAAUAUGUUAAUAUAUAAAUAAAAUGUAUAUUAAAAAUUUUAAAUAUGGAAAUUAAUAUAAAAUAAAAUUGUAAAUAUUUUAAAAUUUUAAAUUAUUACAAAAAUUUAAAUUAAAUAAAUAAAAUUGAAGUGUUUUUUUUAAUUUAAUUUUAAUUUUUAUAUUUUAAUAUAUAAAUAAAAUAAAAUAAAAUAAUUUAUUUUUAAUAUUUAAUAUAUAAAUAAAAUAAUAUAAUUUGAUUUUUAAUAUUUUAAUAUAUAAAUAAAAUUAAUAAAAAAUAAUUACAUGAAAAUUAUUUCAUCUAAGUCACAAAUAUCAUCUAAAUGUCAUAUUAUCAAAAAUAGCGAGAAUAAAAAAUCUCAAUAACUAAUUAAUAGAUAUCAAAAGAUCAAUUUUAGAAAUGAGAUGAUUACAAAUUUAUUUUAGACAAAAUAAGAGAACAAAAAGUGCAUUUAAAUUUAAUUAAUAAUAAAAUAAUUUUUAUUUGAUAUAUUUUUUAGGAAUCUCUAAUGUAAAUCCUUUUUUAUAGCUGAUUAUCACUAAAUAAACGACAAUAAUAAAUAGACAUACCUUCUUUCUAGUUUGAGUGAAUAUAAAUAGACAUAUUUUCUUGAUAAUGACUUGAUAUUGACGUAAAAUCUCUUUGAUUGCUAAUUAAUUUGUCUAAUAACUCAUUACAUACUCAAACGUAGUGGUGUAUACAAUUGUGUGUUUCAAAAUUUGCUUGCACUGAAAAAGGAAAAUUAUUUGUUUAAAACCAAAAUUUUCAAUUAGGUAUCUUAGAUGACAAACCAAUAUAGUUGAGUAUUUUUUACUAUAGACGGCCAUAUUGUUGUCUAUUUAUUUUUUUAUUGUAAAUGUUCUUGUCUAAAGUACAACCUUACAUAUUUGAUGCGGUGAAAGUUAGUAAAAUUUAGUAUUUUGAGAUGUAUUUGAAUAUGUUUUUUCAUUUUUUUAUUAUUUAAACAACACAACUCGUAUUUGCAUAUAUCUAUUCGAACUCGUCGUGAUUUGAACGGAGAAAAUUCUCUUUCAUUAGAUGCAUGUAUAGGUGCAAAUUUUCCUCAAUAUUAAAACUCGAGAGUGGGAGUAGGUUUAAGGUGUUGAUAUUCAUCCUACACCUACAUCCAAACUCGUUCGUUAAUAAUAUUAUUAUUAUUUUUAAAUUAUGUAUAUACAUAUAUAUAUAUAUAUAUAUAUAUAUAUUUAAUAGUUUUUCAAUAUUAAAAAUUAUAAUUAUUUAUCUAUAAAAAAUGAUUUUAAUAUUUAUUUUAUUUUAUUAUUUUAUAUAUAUAUGAAUAGGUGCGGGUGUGAGCGGAGAAACUUGAACCCCAUCACGGAUAGCGAUGAAGACUUAAAUUUUACACCCGAUAAAAAUAGAUGUAGAUUUUUUGCAACUUCUCGAAUGCGGAUGUGGAGGAGGCAAAAUUCGAUCGCAUUACUUAACUUUUUUUAUCGACCUUUAUGUAUUGGGUUAAGCCUCUUCUUUAUCUCAGACCCAGUCGUAAUUUGAAAGGUUGUGGUUCCAAAAUGAAUACUACUUAUACUUGCCAAUAAGGCGAUAGAGAUGGAAGACACGUGAUCUGCCUCAUAUGUAUGCCCAUUUCACAUCAAGUCAAUCAUGCUAACUCUCGGUCAACUUCAGUUGAAUUUAGUGAUCACCAAAGACACGACAAAUUAGGACCAACCACAACUCAUAAGCAUCAAAGCUUAAGAGUGUAGGUGCUCAAAAUGGUCGAGUUGGUCAUACAUCUUUGUAUCGAACAAAAGCCUUUGCAAAUGAUAUGAAGUAUUUUCCAAUAAAAAGAGUUUAACUUUCAUGGACUUUCAAUUUAAUUUUUUUGAAGUGUCAUCAAAUGAUAAUUAAUCAUGUGCAUAAUUUUAAAAAUAAUUAUGACAAAAAUUAUUAAUGACAUUACAAUUGUAAUUGUUUUACAAUAUAAAAAUUAUUUACAUUAUAUACAAAUUAAAUUUCAAUAAAAAGGUGAAUAUUCAUUUACUUUUGUAUGCGUUAAAAAUAGAUCCAAUGCAAUUAUUUUAUUUUAAAUUAAAUGUAAAAAAGCAAAGACAAAACCAGGAGCCAAAGACUUCUCAUGGUUGACGACUGCCGCUUUAUUCCACCAAAAGAAAGUUAAACAAAUUGGAUAGAACAAUAAAUCGUAUGCGUGUGAGUUGGGGAUCGAGAUAUUCUAUAUGGUUUGGUUUUUUGGAAAAAUAAAUCGAAUUAAUUAAGGAUUAUUGGGUUUGAUUUAGAUUGACUUUUAUAACCUAUUAGGUAAAAUCCGACCCAAAUCAUAUUCAUGAAAAAUAAGUUGUUUUUCGUUCGGUUAAAUUGAGUUCAAAAAUUUAUGAAGCUUAUUUUUUAAGAAUUUAAGUGUAAUACAUAAAUUUCACAUUAUCAACCCAUCGCAACCAUUAUUAAAAUAAUUUUAAAGAUAGUAAAAAAAAUUACCCUGAAAAAAAUGUAUAUGAAUUAAAUAUUUUGUUGAAAAACAUGAACUCUCUUUUAUAAUAUGAUAAAUAAUAUAAUGAUUACAAAAUAUAUGAAUAGAACAUAGUUUUUAAGAUAAUGCUAUUAAUCAAAUAAAAAUAAAAUAAUUUGAUUUGGAUGUCGAGUAAUUAAUUUUAAACAAAGUAAAAUUGAUAUCUGAAUGAACGAAUGUUGGUCUUGAGAAGAAAAAACAAUUAAUUGAAUUAGUUUGAAUUGAAUCUUCAAAUUCAUUAAAUUAUUAAUUUGUUUUUACACUUUUGGAGUAUAUUUGGUUCAAUAAAAAUGAGAGAGAAAAAAAGAAUAAACAUAUAUUUGGUUGGAAAAAAAAAACCAAAAUGAUAAAAAAAAAUUAAAUCUUUUUUAUUUGAUUUAAAAGGAGGAGAGAAAAUUAAAAUAACAUAAAAGUUAUUUAAAAUAUAUCUUCCCUCGACUUUUUCAAAUUUCUUCAAAAUGAAAGGUAAAAAAAUAGAUUUUACAGAUAUUUUGAUUUUAUUUCCAAUCAAAGAGAACCUUUUGUGUGAGAGGAGGAUUUGCAUAUAUUUUGAAAACAUAAGGUAAAAAGGUUCUGUAAAAAAAAGGAAAAACGGUUAUGUGAAGUAUUAAUAAGUAAAUUAGGAAAAAUAGAUCUCUAGCAUAACACCUUAUCUUAAAUCACGGAAACUUCUAUGGCAACCCAAUAAAUUAAAUGGCUUCGGUGCAAUUGUCUUUAAAAUAACAUUAUAAUUUAACUAUUUUUUUUCCGUAUAAUUCAACUAUUUACAAAUUCUUGUUAUGCUAAUUUGGAGUAAUCUAUCAUCUAGUAAAAAGAAAUGUUAUUUCAUUUUCAAUGAGAACUAUGUUAAUCAAUUUUCUGUACGAUUUUUAAAACUAUUUGACAUUCACUAAUAUUAUUAGUUGUAAUAAAUUUUAGAAUUAUUUGAUGAGACUUUAUGUAAACUAAAUAAUUAAAUUUUGUCCUGCAAGUAUAUUUUAAAUGAAAGUUGUAGUAUGUAAGAUAUUUAAUAUGUUAAAAUGUAGAUUUAAAUCCAACAUAUUAUUUUUUUUAUAUUUAAUGUGCAUGGAUUUUACUGUUCGACUUUUAGAAAAAAAAUUAAGUUAAAAGUUUUUCAUUUUGAAAUUAUGAAUUUUGAGGAUGAAUUUGGUGCAAGCACAUGAACCUUUUUUUUACAUGUCCCUUGCCCCAUAUGGGAAAUUUAAUGAUCAACUUAGCAAUUUUUUUUUUUUUAAUUUUCUUUUUAUAUAUAGAACUUAGCUCAUAUUUAAUAGAGCUUAUUAAAAGGAUAUAAAUUUGUAAUUUUAUUUUACCCAAGUAUAUAGAAAAUUAAAAUAAAUUUUGAAUAAAGGAUAAAAGAUCACUAUGAUUUAGGUCAUAUAUUUAUGAAAUUAAUUUUUACAUUAAAAGUCAUCAAUCAAUUUGGUCAUUUUGUCGAUUAAAUGAUGAACAACAAUAAAUUUAUUAAUUUAGAUCUCAAUUUGAUAUGAGGAUUGAUUGAUAUAAAAACUAAAUUAAUCUCCAGCAACUACAGCUCAUAUAAAGUAAAAAAUGAUCUAGAAUUCAUACUACCUCACUUUAUAUUUAAUAUAUGUAAGUUUCCAUAUUAGAUCAUUUUAAAUAAAUAAAAAAGAGUAAAUUAAUUAAUGAGUAAUUUGAAUUUAUGAACUCAUGAGUCAUUUUUGGCUUUAACGUUGAUUUUGAAAUCAACAAGUAUACAGAAUCAUCCAUCGUUCGCAGUUUGAAACGGUGCUAGAGUUGUAGCUCAACCAGUUUCACACAAAACUUGUGGCUUAUUAUUAUUAUUAUUAUUAUUAUUCUAAAACACACACAAACCAAAACUAUGGGCUGUUUCGUAUGUCACCAAUAACAAAACCAGUUGCUUCACUAAUCCUUUAUAUAUACUUUUAAUACAUACUAUACAUAUUCCUAAUCUCCCUCCACAUUUUACCCUCAAAACCCUUCUCUUCCUUUUUGCUUUUUUCCUUUGACUUUACUUCCACAACUUCAUUCUUUCAAAAAGCUGAAGAAUAACAAUAAUUAAUCAUUGUGAUGUUACAUUAUUAUCAUUACACCUUGAUUUUAGUCUUUCUUUUUCUUCACCACUAUGUGUUUGGUUGACUCCAUAAAUUUAUAAUUCGCUCACUCUAAUAUUUAGAAACUUUAAUGAGUAGAUUAUUUUCUGACUAUAAUUUUUUAUGUUUUUCAAACAAGUGUUUUUAAGUCAAUUUUUUCCACCCUUUCAAGUAUUUCUAAUUCCAUUUCCCUAAUCUUGUUUGUUUAAUUAGGUAAAAUCUUAUUAUUACACACAUAAACCAAUAUUGUUGAACUAGUUUUGAUGGAAACCAAUGGACCAAGCAGUGGAAUAUUUCCCACCAUCAAUAAUGGAUUUCUAGGACUAGAAAACCCUUUAAAACAACAACAACAACAACAACAAAACCUUCAAAAUCAACACACUUUACAUCAUCACCAAAUGGUUUCAUACACCAACCAUCAUGACAAUGAUCAACCAAUCAAACAGAACUACCCUUAUUCAUCCAAAACCAACAAGCCACAACAAAUCACACUAAGUGAUGAAGAUGAACCAUGUUUUGGAGCAGAAGAAACAACAUCAAGUGACCCAAAAAGAAAAGGGUCACCAUGGCAUAGAAUGAAAUGGACAGAUAGCAUGGUAAGACUCUUAAUCAUGGCAGUUUAUUACAUUGGUGAUGAAGCAGGUGGUUCAGAAGGAAUCAUCAUCAAUGACAAAAAGAAAUCUACAACUGGUUUGUUACAAAAGAAAGGUAAAUGGAAAUCAGUUUCUAAAGGGAUGAUGGAAAAAGGUUACUAUGUUUCACCUCAACAAUGUGAAGACAAGUUCAAUGAUUUGAACAAAAGGUUCAAAAGGGUCAAUGAUAUACUUGGAAAAGGAACAGCUUGUAGAGUUGUUGAGAAUCAAAGUUUGUUGGAUACCAUGGAUUUGACACCAAAGAUGAAAGAAGAAGCUAGAAAACUUUUGAACUCAAAGCACCUUUUUUUUAGAGAAAUGUGUGCUUAUCAUAAUAGUUGUGGUCAUGGAAGUAACAAUUUGCAACAACAAUCCUCAAUUGAAGCUCAACCACAACCUCAACAACAUCAUCAACAACAACAAAAGUGUUUGCAUUCAUCAAAUGGAAUGUUGAAAUUAAAACGGAGAAGUGGAGAAGAAGAAGAAGAAGAAGACGAAGAUGAUGAAUGGGAAGAGGAGAAUGAUUCUGAAGAAGAAGAAGAAGAAGAAGAUGAAUUAUCAUUUGAAGGUGGUUCUGGCUCAAAGGGUCAUCAUGAUCAAGAAGAUGAGAAUAAUAAUAAUAUAGAUCAUAUAAGAAAGAAAACAAGAAAAGUUUCAUCACAUUUGAUGCAACAAUUGAGUAGUGAAGUGAUGAAUGUGUUGCAAGAUGGAGUGAAGAGUAACUGGGAGAAAAAGCAAUGGAUGAAGAAAAGGGAGGUGCAAUUAGCAGAACAACAAAUAAACUAUCAUGUGGAAGCAUUUGAGAUUGAAAAACAAAGGUUGAAAUGGGCAAAGUUUAGUGGUAACAAAGAAAGGGAAAUAGAGAGACAUAAACUUGAAAAUGAAGGGAAGAGGUUGGAAAUUGAUAGAAUGGUUUUGGUUCUUAGACAAAAGGAGAUUGAAUUGCAAAACACUCAACAGCAACAGCAACAACAUUCUUCUACUUAGAUUAGAAGAAAUUUAGUUUGUGUAAAUUUUGUGCUGCAUGAAAUUAUUAAGGGAUGUGUGUUAGUGAAAAUGGUUGUAAAUUUUCUGGUGUUAUGUUAUGCUCCUAAGUAAAAAAGGUUGUAAUAAAUUAGAGUUUUUAUUUAUUUUGUGUUUUGAUAAAUAUCUAUAUGCAACCUACAUUGUUCAAAAUUUAAUUUUGUGAAACUAAUUUUAGCCGGAAUAAAACAUUAAUGUUAGUGAUGAUAGAAUGGCAGAACAAGUGAGAAAUUCAAUGGUCUCUUGAAACCACUUAAAAUUUUUUUCCUUCAUAAAACUACUUUACUUUGAAUAUUGUAAUUCGAUAUUUAGGCAUUAUACUGAAAUAAACUCGUCAAUUUAUUACUCCAUAAUAUAUAUCAAAUUAGUAACUGAAAGAACAAUAUAAUUUAAUAAUAAUAAAGUGAAAAAUAGAACUUAUUUAAAACUUGAAAAAGAAUUGAGAAAAAAAAAAUAGAAGAGACAAAAAUAAAAAUUUUUAAAAUCUUUUUUCACACCCGGUGGGACUCGAACCCACAAUCGCUUGAUUAGAAGUCAAACGCCUUAUCCAUUAGGCCACGGGUGCUGCUUGUUAUAUGUUUCCCACAUUAUUAUCUUUGUAUAGACUAUUUGAAAUUCGUUUUUUGCAAUUACAGAAAAGUUGAUCAAAAAACAUGUUAAUUAACUCAUAUAAUAUUGUAUUCAAUAUUCAAUUGAACGGAAGCAUCGUCGUGUCUAAAGCCAAAAGCUCUUUUGCAUAUUUAUUUAUUCAUAGAAACUCCUAUACAACUACAAAUCGACUAUUAUGAGUUGAUUUAUAAUUUUAUAGAAUCAGAUCAAAUUAGGUUAAAUUGCAGUAGCUGAUUGAACCAAUUUAUUUUCUUAAAAAUAUUUUUUGUUUAUUCAUUAGUCAUUUGAUUUAAACAUGGUUGAAUCAAUUGGUUUGACCCGAUUCUUGAAUUAGUUACUAAUUUGACCUUAGUUAAAGGUGAUAAUUAUUUGAAGCCAAUUUGUGCAUGCACAUGUCUGGGUCACAAAAACACUUAGUAGAAUGUGAUACUAUUUUCACGUUACCAAAGUCCAAAAUUUUGAUAUUGUGAUCCCCAACGGUAAAAUUACGGCUAAUCAUCAAUCAUUUGGGAUGUAUGUUUCCGAUUGCAUACUAUACUAGAGUUGUUUACAAUUAAUUAGACGUAUAACGCUGAUACAGUGUAAAGUCUUGCAAUGGCUUCCAAGAAAACGAGCUAUAAGCACCGGUAGCUUGACAAUAAAUAUCGAAUAAACUUUAUUUCAAUUGACACGAAUAUAAAAUCCAAAUAAAUAGAUUAGACUGAAUAAAAGGAAUCAAGAUCCUAGUUUUCAAAGAAAAUGACUUUUAAUUCAAGGUAACUUUCAAAUAGUGCUGUCUCUAUUUGGAUUGCAACCCAAUCCAGUUCCAAAAAAUUGACAUCAAGGGCAUACUCCCUUUGAUUUUAAGUAAGAUGACAACCACUACUAAUAACUAGAGCCUAAUGUUAAUUUUCAUUACAUAAUAACAAAGUAUGAUUAGCCACCAAAACCCAGUGGAGAUAACUUCAAAUCAUGAAAGCAGAAUGAUCUGCUCCUGCCAAAACUUAGUGAUGACCAAAAGAGACAAACAUAAAGAAAAAGCUUUAAGUAUGUGAGUCGCUUAAUCUUCGAGCUCGAUAAUCUUAACCACAGAAGCAUCACCAACUUUCUGACAAAUAACAACUCUAUCAUGGGGCUUUAUAACUCCUGAUGCUUUUCCAUGAUCAAGUGCUACCUUGAGAAUAGACUCGUUACUCGCACUUGUUGAUUCAGCCUGCACGAAAUAUAUGAGAUCAGUAAGUAGUUAGUCUCAGGUCAUCGAAUGUGUCGUGCAAAAUAAGUUUAAUGGGAAAAAGAACUUACAGGAUGUCGAGGAUCAGCAAGCAUGGGAAAAAGACCUCUUACAAUAAGUGAUUGCCUUGCCUGUGUCAUGAAUUGUAGGUUGGUAAACAAGACGAUCAAAUAUAAAUAACAUAACAUUCAUCCAGGUAAAUAAAAGUUUCUAAUCACGGAGAUGGAACUAUGUAUCCAUAUCAGGCCAGUAGAGCAUUGUCUUCCAAAGCUGAAUACAAUUAUUUAGGGUCGUAUUUGCAUUACUCAGGAUACAAUUAAUAACAGAUGGGUAAACUUGCAGUAUAAAUAGAAUAGAAUGUGUAUGUAAAAAUAUCUAAUAGAUAGAAAAAAUACAGUAGAAAAUAUCUGGCAGUAAAAUAUGAUUGUAGCAUAAUUAAUAAAAGUUUAUAAAUAUGUAUAGAUAGUAGUAUACUAAUUACGUUAGUAGUAAAUAAGCUUUCCCACAAAAGAGUUGGUGAUUGGUCCUGGAACCAAGAAACAACGUUCGAUAUAAACUUUCUGUGCCACAACGGUUUUUUCUGAAAAAAAUAUUUCACAGGAAGUUAUUCAUUAGUCAUCCUACAAAAUGUUACUCAUUAAUCAUUGGCGUCAAACUCAUUUUAUGUAUAUAUUACAAAACCCUCUGGUUUCAUGGGGAAAUAGGGCCUAAUAAUUUGGAUUUCUGCUGAGUGGUAUGUAAAUUGUGGCCAAAUAUUAAUCACUUGGCUAAAUUUAUUUUAUAUUUACAAAAUGAAUAAUAACUCAAUUGUCAUAUGCCAUAAAUACUUCCAGAAUUUAACCAAUUAAAGUGGAGAGAAUAUAAUGACAAUCAGAAACAGUGUUGUCAAAUUGCGGCCAUGGCGGAUAUUGGUGGUGGAAAUUAAGCAUACCGCCAUACAAAGUUCAUGGCGUGGCUGGUUUCACAUGGCGAGGCCAUGGCGGAAAAAGUGGCUGAAUUGAAGAAAAAAAACCUAAAAAAAUCUGGACUUUGGUCAUGCAACCCCACCCGAGCCCAAAUGGAUUAAAAAUUGGAUACCCGAACAACACGGUUCGUUUACUUUUCCUUUUCUCUCAGUUUUCACUUCUCCUCUACGACCUCCUCUUCUCUUUUCUCAUCUGUGACUGCGCUGUUCUUCUUCUCCUCUGCUUGUGAGACCUAUUGCGACUCGUUUCUUCCCUGCUCUUUUUUUUCUUCCUGAAAGUGCUGCUCUGUUUUUUCUUUCUAAAAGUUCUGCUGCAUUUUACUUCCUAUUUUCUUUUUUCUUUUUUUAUUUUUCAUCUCUUUCUUUUUUUGUUUAUUUGUAUAUACCUCUUUUAUUUAUUUUCAUGUUCUGCUCUAUUUUACUUUGUACGGCUCUUUUUUUUUUCCAUAUUACUCAUUAUUUUUCCAUUUUUGUAUUUUUUUUCUCUAUGAUCUAUUUUAUUCACUGUUUUCCAACUUCAUCUGUAUUUUAUGCAUUGUAUUUUUUUCUUCAAACAUUUUUAUAUCUUUUAUUCACAUUUUUUAUUUGUAUUCAUCUAGAGAUUUUUACUAUUUGUUUGCAUUGUUGUUUUAUAAUUUUGUUGUUAUUUUGAAGUCUUGAAUUUGAUGAGAAGUAUAUUAUAGGCUUUUUAAUUGCCCGCCAUAACUUCCGCCAUUUGCCGUUACACCAUAUGUUUAUGGCGGAUUUUUGGCUCGCCUCCGUCAACACUGAUCAGAAACUCCUUAAUCACAUUAUUAAUCCUUAAAAUCAUGCAAUUUAGUUUUUACAAUGGCUACAUGCCUAUAUUUCAAAAUUGCAUCAAUAAUAGAAUCCAAUUUGUCAAAAAAGACAGGCGAUAGUGACAUCCAUGGAUACCUAACAGAAUAAUUAAAUGAGACGAAAGUUAAAAUCUAACCUCAAAAGCUCCACUAAAGCUCCAUUUUAGCUGAUUUGUCUUGAGUCUGGGUAUCACAACAGAGAGAACCGGCAUCGUUGGCCUAUACUUUGCUAUCAAUCUGAAAAGUGCAUGUGGCAUGUUUAGAAAAGUCUCGAGAUUUGUGAAAAUAGAUGGAAAGAAAAAUUAAUAUGAAUAUUAAUUGAUCCAUAGCACUCUUUUCCCCGACUUGGUCCAUUUGAAAGAAGUUAUCUAGUUCAAUUCUCCUUGAUAUUAACUAUGAAUAAUUCUUAUCAAAUUAUUCAAAGAAAGUACCUUGCAGCCCGUCCAGAUGAAGUGAAGCAAAUGAUAACUGAGGCCUUCACCUUAAUAGCUGCUCUUACCUAAAUAAAUAGGAUUUGCAUUAUAGAAAAUUGCUACCAUAGAUGAACUUAAAACAAACACCAUGAGAGAAAAAAAAAGCAAAAACAAUAGACAAAAAUUACUCCUUUUUAAAAAAUAAUAGACAGGCAUGCACUCGAAAUUAAAGUGCUUCGCCAAAGCAUGCGGGCCCAUCAAAGGCUUAAAUGCAUGCUGCCUUACCCCGACAAGUAGAGGAUGAUAUUGAAAUUAUAACCUGUGAAUGUGACCACCACAUCACCAGACCACAGCUUUACCACUUUCACCUCACCAUCACAUACACUAAACUACCAUAAAAAAAAUUAAGGGCAAGGUUAAAAUGUAAUUACCGCAGAGGAUGCAAUGGAUUCUAAAUGGGUCAUGGGUUCUCCCACAAAUUUGACUGUCUUCUUAAAAUAAAGGUCUUGAUUGAAAACUUUCUCAGCCUGAAAUAGAAAGCAGAGAUAUCACUAUAUCAGCAAGCAUUCUUAGUGAAAUUUCAAAUAGGAUGCCAUGCUAAGCUAUUAUGCAAAAGUAUCCUUUUAAAGUUUAAACCACCAUAAGAAUGAAAGAAGCGCACGUGAUAGGAACAACACAGUUUCCUGCUUUUUUAGAUUUUAAACAAUGAAACCAGAAAUAAACAAAUUUUAAUACAAUAUGCAAUUAAUGUGCUCAUCAAACAACUUCCACCAUAGACUUUUUAGCCUCAUUUUGCUUGGAUACCAUGACUAAUGAAUUAAGUUAGAUAAAGAAAAAGAAAAAAAUCAUCUGGCUAAUGAACUCAGGUCAUUCAGACCAUAGUAUCUUAUUCAGGUUACAAGAAACUCCAUAAAAUGAAAUUUAUCUUAUUAAUAAUAACAUCUUCAGCCACAAAACAUGUGCUUAUUAUAUUGGAAAAUGGACGGUAAUAGAUUAUAUGUUAAACAAAAAACAGAUACUCAGUAAUACCAAUGAUUGGUCAAAAUACAGAAUUCAAGUAAAAUCUGUCUUGACAAAAAAAUAGAUGGAGCCAUUAUGGAGCACACAAACUCAGGAAUUUCUCCAAUCAAGCAAUUGGAAAAUUAGAAAUGUUUACAAGACUGAAGUUAUCAGCUACAAAACCAUAAGAUAGCAAUUCAAAUAAUUUAGGACAAGAGCUCAUAAUUCACAGAAUAUUUUCAUCGGAAAUGUUCCUUAAAAUCUAAAAUAAAGUAACCUAACAAUUCUUAAGUACCAAAUAAAAUUAAAAGAGCUAUGAAAUGCACUUACUUCUGAACAAAUCUUGCCAACUGUAGAAAUAGUCUCAACAGGGUAUAACCCACGUAAAGUCUCCGCACCCAGAAGUAUUGCAUCACUUCCUGUAUAUCAAUAACAGUUCAAUAAAUAUCAAUUGAGCCUUUCUAACAAACAACAUAAAACAAGCACUAUUAGAAGAAAACAACAUAAUCGAUAAGGGCCAAAACCACGGUAAGAAAAGACAUUAUUUUCUGUUUUUGAUUUACCUAUAAGUUACCCAUUUAACAUGCAAACCAACAUCAGCAACUCAACAGACAACUUGAGCACAUAGAUAGGCACUAAUGAAAGAAACGACAUAAUUGAAAUGUAGAAAUAAAAAAAUAACAAAAAACAUCAGCAACUAAACAGACAACUUGAAGCACAGAGACAGGCAAAUAAUGAAAGUUAUGGCAUAGUAGAAGUAGAACUGCAGAAAACUCCUCCUGUAUUACUCAUUUAUACACCAAUUUUGCCAAGAAUCCUACAAUACUUACAUUCAUAAGUAAAACACUUCAAAUUUUCUCAUGCAAAAUUAUUUCACUUCAUUACUUUUACCCUUCUUAAACUUUCUCACUUUCACAUACUCUCCUGGAGUGCCCCCCAUCACACUUUUCUAUGAGCUGCACACCAUGUACAUGGCACUUUCAAUUUCUCAACUCACCUACAUUCACUUCUCACACAUACACACAACACUGUAUAGGAGCGAAGUCCCUCUUUCUUGAUUCUUUAGUCGGUUUUUUUAUUUUUUACACUAUGUGCAAUAUUACAGUGCAUAAGUCAGAUCAAUUGCCGUGAUCAAAGUUUACAAUACUCUAUCCUAUGAUACCUUCAAUAUCUACUAAAUUUUUUUAUAAAAAAAUCCAUAAUUUAAUAUAGUUGGUUAUGCUAAUAUGAAAUUUUAAGGUGCCUUAGUCUGAACUUCAAGAGAAGAGAAGUGAGUGUCUUUGAUGAAUGUCAAUCAACUUUUCUGGAGAAUAUGCAAACCAAUAUCAACAGAACAGCCUAAUACUAUAGACACCAACCUAGCUAGUGGUAUCAUAUGACCAGUGACUCACCAUCUAAAACAGCAUUGGCGACAUCCGUAGCUUCCGCACGAGUUGGCCUUAAGUUGUCGGUCAUGCUAUCAACAACACGUGUGAGCACAGCAGGCUUCCCAGCCAUAUUACACUUGUAAAGGGCAGACUUUUGAAAAUAAAAUACCUACAAAAGCAAAUGGCAGUUGAUUAACAUCUCUGCAACAGUCGGGGUAGAACUAUUACGUAUUUGCUUAAUAAUGAUAAUUAUGAUGGUAUGAGCACUUUUGGACAUUAAGUUUAGGUAACAAUUCAAUAAGCUUUUUCAAAUCAAACAAGUAAGCAACUCAUUCCAUUCCAAAAAGCAAGUAGCACCGCUCAACAAAAGCUUAUUAUCUUUUGUUGUAAAUUUGUAAUAGGUUUAACAUUAAUCAUUAAAUUAAACUCCCACUUGAUAGAUGACUAUUGAUGCAUUGAGGAGUGCUAGCAAUACACUCUCUAAGUAACACACAAUCUUCAAUUGGUUGAAAUUCAUAUGGGGUCCCACCAUAUUAUGUCGGUCCUAUAUAAAUUUGAUGGGACCUACAUGAAUUUCAACCCAUAAAAGAGGACGGGUUGCUAGCAUUGUACUUAACUACAGAAUCUACAGAUAUAAAAAACGGACACUAAUGAUUUAAGAAUUGUCACAGUAUCUUAUAUCAUACAUAGGAUUUUCCAGUUCAAACAGACAUUUGAUACAAUUUUGAAAAUUUGGUGAAUUCUGGUGUUUCCAAAAUAAACUUAUUCAAGUUAUUAGAAACUGGGUGCUGCAGAAACUAUACAUUGGAUGCACAAAUAUCAUAUAAAAUAUCCCUCGGCAGGUACUUAAUAGAAAUUACCCAUAUAUUUGAUGAAACAUUGUUUGACCUAGAACCCCAUACUUAAAGAAGUGGCGAAAGAUCUAGGCAAACAAAAGUUGCAUUGAAGCAUGUUCAAUAAUAUUACUCUUCCAUAAAUGCAUGAAGCGUGAACUUUUAUUUAUUCAAUGAACAAAUCUUUACAAUUAGUGAAGUAUUAAGUACAUUAUCAACAUGCCUAAAGCCACACACAACAACACAGGAUAAGUACAAGCACUUCAAAUUACACUUUGAGACUAAUUACAACAAAAAAUCUAACCUUCUCUGGUGGAAGAUCAAUACCCAAAUUCCCACGGGAAAGAAUAAUGCCAUCUGCUUCUUGUAGAAUCUCAUCAAAAUGGGUCAAUCCCUAAAAAGCAUAUAUAAAUGCAAUUCAAUCAGCAUAGCUGAUAAGGAUCUAAUCUAAUAUACAAAGAAUUUAAGCUUGUCCAAUAACUUAUGAAGCAAUGCAAUUCACCUCAACAUUUUCAAUCUUUGCAAAAAUUUGAGUCUGACUGAGAUCACCUAAUUUCGAAAGGAAUUCACGUGCCUGCAUUUAAACACAUAAGGUCUGUUAGUAGAAAACCUGAAACAGCAAUAGGGGAAAAAUUAAAUGACCAAUUGUGAGCUUCAGAUGAUGAAACUAACAUAAAGGAUGUGAAACACAAAUUACCUCGCGAACAUCUUCAGCAUGCCUAGUAUAUGACAAUGAUAGAAAGUCAAUUUUGUUUUUUACUCCCCAGGUGCUAAUAACCUGCAAGGAAAAAAACGAUACCCCAGAACUUUAAAGAAACCUACAAUCCAGGCACACACAAUCCGUGUUGUUAAAUAACUGCUAUAGCGCUAUAGCAUAGCGGAAUUUGAACAAAUCGCUAUUGCUUCGCGAUACACUAUUUAGUACAAAGUGUUGUCAAAUAGCCGCUACUUUGGUGCUAUAGCAAUAUAGCAUAGUGUAAUUUGAACAAACCACUAUUUUCCGCAAUCCACAAUUGACAACACUGACACAAGCCUACAUGUCUGAUGGUAGGUGACUCACUAAAAGAUGCAAGUGAAAAGUAGAAAUUACCUCUUUGUCUUUCUCAGUGAGGGUAGGCAAAUCAAUAUGAAUUUGAGAGGCAUGCAAGGUAAACAAUGCCCCAGCCAACGUUGCCGAAUUUUUUAUAGUACAAACAACAUCCUGCCCUGAAAUUUCAGCUACCUGCAUAGUUUCAGGUACAAUUCAUCAAUCAUGUAGGACUUCAUUUCAACUAUUUCUAUUCAUGCCAGUCUAGGCAACUAGACCCCUAAUAUAGAUUUGCAAGUUUAAAUUUAGAAAAUUUAACUUCAAUUACACAAUAUAAAGUUAUAAAUAAAUGGCUGAUGCAUAUUAAGAAUAAACAUAAUAAAACCACAAUAACAAAAUAGAAAGGGACCUAUUGGAAUAAAUUUUUCCUUUCAACCCCACUUAUCUUACCUCUAGCCAUACAGAAGUAGUUUCACUUCCUGUGAACAAGUAUUGACCAACGAAAAUGGUGUCUCCCUUCUUCACUGACUGUAAACAGUAUGAAUAAGAUUAAGGUUCAAAUUAACACAAAUGUUGCAUUGAAAUAAACACACACAAAAGUUGCAUUGAAAUAAACACACACAAAAGUUGAUGUAAUAUAGAAGAAUUGUAUUAAUUAUAUGAGAAACUGAGUAACAAAUUACAGUUCAAGCAAAAGGCAUCUAAGGAAUAAUGAAAUUUACAACUUCGAAGUUUUAACUUCUAACACCAUAAGCCAGAGCAAAAUCACACAGAAAGCUUAAGUUUUCAGCUAAUUUGCACUAAGCUAAGCAUCGGUAGUAGCUUAAUUGAUGGAGAUAAACAAUUGAAUCCAAUCCAAGGACCCACACAUCAUAGACAAGUAAGAAAUUGAGUAAAAGACGUGAUUCAGGUAAAUUUAUAGAAGGAUGAGAGAUAUAAAUGAACCUUGGCCAAUCCAUCAAAAUUGAUAGGCAAUAUCUCUGAAGAAGCUUCUUGUCCCUGAUCAGGAGUUAAAACAACCUGACUAUCAGCCUGAAGCGAAAUUGAUGUCUCGUUUUUGUUAACAACCUGCAUCUCAGCACCCACUGUGUCCAACAUAACCUGGCAAAGGCAAUAGAGAGUAACAAACACAACACUCAACCCCUUUCCCAUUAUCCACAAAAAAGUAAAAACAGCAAGAAAAUCACGGUAGGCUGUUGUGAUUAUGACAAAAGCUACACUUCGGAGCUUAAGAAAAUAAUGGAGCCACUAUGAUUUUGUCAAACUCAUCUGUAGAGAGUAAAGAGAGAGUAAAGGAACAACACUCACAGCACAGAGCUUCUUAGUACUCUUAAUAGACUCCUUCAAAUUCUCCAAAGUCUGUUGGUGAUAUUCAGAGUCACCCCAAGAGAAAUCAAAACGAGCCACUUCAAUAAACAUUAAAAAAACACAUCAAAUAACCGUUUACCAAAAAACAAACUAUGGAAAAAUCGAAAGAGAAAAACAACAAAUACAAUAAUAAUAUAUAUACCAGACAUUCCAGCUUUGAGACAAGAAGAAAUAACAUCGACUGAGCGAGAUUUAGGUCCAAGAGUACCAACGAUCUUUGUCAAAGCAGGAAAGAAGCUCUGAAAAUCCCAAAUAUAACAGUAAUUUAAUAAUUAAAAAAAAAGGAGAGAAACAUGAAAGGGGAAUAGAGAGAAAGAGNNNNNNNNNNNNNNNNNNNNNNNNNNNNNNNNNNNNNNNNNNNNNNNNNNNNNNNNNNNNNNNNNNNNNNNNNNNNNNNNNNNNNNNNNNNNNNNNNNNNNNNNNNNNNNNNNNNNNNNNNNNNNNNNNNAGAAGAAGAAGAAGAAGAAGAAGAAGAAGAAGAAGAAGAAGAAGAAGAAGAAGAAGAAGAAGAAGAAGAAGAAGAAGAAGAAGAAGAAGAAGAAGAAGAAGAAGAAGAAGAAGAAGAAGAAGAAGAAGAAGAAGAAGAAGAAGAAGAAGAAGAAGAAGAAGAAGAAGAAGAAGAAGAAGAAGAAGAAGAAGAAGAAGAAGAAGAAGAAGAACGUUGGAUGAGUGAAUGGGGGCUGCGACUGCGUGAAGAGACCGAAGGAACGAACAAAUACCGUUUUUAAAUAAGAAGGUUUCUUUGAGAAUAUGCUUCCGCUUCUUUAUUUGUGUUUCAUUUCCUUUACCGCUCCCUCUUUCUCUAUUCGCUUUUUUCAACUUCCUUACUUUCGUUAAUUUUUAUUUUAUUUUUGUUAGCUUUAAUUCAUACACAAUAUUAGUUAGUGUCAAAAAUUUAUAUUAUCUAUACUGAUUUUUUAUAUUUACAGUGAAUGUCAAUUAAAAGUUUUUUGUUAAUGCUAUUUUAGUCAUAUCAAGUUUUGCAUAUAUUUACAUCAGUCAAAUGAAAAAAUAACAAGUUGUAAUUUAUUGAGUCUAACAAAAAUUUAGUGCCUGCUUUAAUCUCUAAUUAUAAAUCAAUUAUGUGCCGGACUGUUUCUCAAAUUAAUUCAAGCUUCUAAGUUUUAACAUUCUCGUUCCUAGACGUUGUUCCCAAAAAGAUUUGGGUAGUGUUGGAGGAGUAGACAAUGCUCCCAAUAAGAUUUGGGAGGUAUUGAAGAAAGCUAUGGGAGAAGCACACUGUUUUUAAGAAAGCAGCCUGUUGUAAUUACGUGAUUCAAGGAUUUCUUUUUUGCUGACAAAACAAAAUAAUUUCUUUUUUGUUUUAAUCCUAUGAUUAAUGUCUAUGAGUUGAGUUUUUGAGGAGAAAAGUGUUGAACAUUUUUAAUCGGUUAAUAUUUAUAUAGGUUAUAUUAAAUUAUGUUGUUAUUAUAUAAAAUGGACAAGUUUUAUUUAAUUUUAAUUAAUUAAAGAGAAUGUGUAUAAAGAGUAUAUUAUUAACAUUAUUUUUGUAAAAAAUUAAAAGUAAAUUUUUUUAGAGAGUUGAAUCUAUAUUUUAUUACAUAUUUGAGAUUUUGAAAAUAAUUAAAGUAAUAACAUAAUAAAACCCCGUAUAACAUCUCAAAUAAUAUUUUAUAAUUUUUUUUAUUUUGAAAAAUAAGUUUCCGCUGUUUUAUCCUCCAUUCCAAAUUAUAAUAAAGAUAAUUUAAAAAAAAAUUAUAAUAAAGAUAAAUUUUAAUGUUAACAUAAAUUUGAGAACAACUUUGAAUUUUAUAAAAUAUAAUAUUCUGUCCUCCAAAUCUUUGCAAUUUAGAAAGAAAAAAAACAAUAAAUGGUACAAUAAAUAUUUUACUUUACUCAUAUCUCUAAAAUUCAAACAAAAAAAAACAAUAAUUUAAAGUAUUUUCUCGUCCCUUUUUCUCCACCUCCUUCAACCAAACAAACCGAAACUCAAAUUAAUUUGAAUCUUGAUUGUUUUUUGACAUGUCACAAAUGCCAAGGUAAUGAUCACCUCAACUUACUUUUAUCAUAAUAAUGAAUUCGAUUAACGUUGCAAAAUAAAUGAUCAACAAGUCAAUUUAAAAAAUUAAAAUUAAAUUUGAGUAAAAGAUAAAUAAUUAAAAAUAUAUUUUAACUCAAGAUUUAAAGUUUUUUAAUUAAAUGUUUAAACGGCUUCAUUUUUAACUUAAAAUUCACAUUUGAAGGCUUUAUAUCUCAAUUCUAUUUAGAGAUGUGUGUAAUGUUUAUUUAACUCUAUUACCCAUGGACGGAGUAUACAAUUAGGCAUAUGUGAAUUUUACAAAUUCACUAUUUAUUAUAUGUUAGAUAUUGACAUAUAUAUAUAACACACCAUGCUAUUGUUUGUCAAAUUUACUAUUCAAUUGUCGAUCAAAUUUAUGUAUUUUCAAUCUUCUUGAAUGUGGUAUAUAAAUAAAUUCAGAAUUUAUAAAUUUGAUCAACAAUAUGUACAACACACCAUGCCAUUUGAUAUUAUUGUUUGUUAUGAGCAUGGUUGAAUAAAUGAAAAAAGAUGGAAUCAACAAUCUAGGAUUUAAUUUUUUUUAACAACAAUAAUAUUACACCUAUAUUAAAAAUAAUGUAAAUAAUAUUGACUAAAGAGUACAAUUAGAAAAAAAUACAUUAUUUUUGUUAACAACAAUAACAUUACACCUAUGUUAAAAAUAAUGUAAAUAAUAUUGAUUAAAGAAUACUAUCAAAAAAAGAAAAUGCAUUGAAUAUCGAAAAUAUCAAUUAUUUUUUGGAUAUUUUAUUUAUUUAUAAAUAUGUCAAUUAUUUUGAGAAUAAAGGAGUAUUAUUUUGUUCAAUUUUCAGCAAUAACUAAGUCCCAAUUAUCCAAAGACAGUAAAUUAGCCCUUUUCCCCCUUCCUUUCACCAUACAGUACCACGACAUUUCCAAAUAUUGAUUGUGCUAUUUGAAUAGUAGAACUAUUGAUAAUAUGAUUAAAGAGAUAUUAAAUCAGUUGUGUCUCAAGACAAGUGCAACAACAACAUCAUUUCACAAAUAUAAAACAAUAAUUAACAACUCAUGCAAUUUAAAGAGCUAGCUAAAUCAACACCAAUAAGUAAAUGCAACUAGAAGAGGGUAUGAAGGAGUAAAUUUCAUGACAGCAACUAGAUUAAUGCCAUCGAGUCGAGGAAAUGAAAUAACACUUGGGGUUAUUAAGCUAUGCAAUCUUCAGUAGUGGCAAGUGAAGGUGAAAGUGAAUUACGCGAUUCAUCAUAAUCCUCUCUUAAAGGAGAUUGUUCCACCCUAAUAUCCUCAAUCAUCUUAACAACUUCCAACAUAGUUGGCCUCUUCUCAGGUUGUAAAACAACACAAGCCAACCCAACAUUCAACAUUGAAACAAGCUCCUCCUCAAUGUUCUUGUACCUCAAUAGUUCUUGAUCAAACACCUCUGAUGUCCACUCUUCCUUCACAACCGACCGAACCCAUUUAGGAAGAUCGGUUUCUUGUUCCUCAAAUUCCACAUAAGGACGAACUCCUACGGGAGAAGAGUAUUGAGAGGAAGGAACUUUUCCUGUCAAAACUUCCAACACCAACACGCCGAAACCAUACACGUCUGCCUCUUGUGAUAACUUCUUUGCCUCUGCCUGUUCGGGAGCUCUGUACCCACCCAACCUCGCAACCGCAUGAGAAGGAUUCAACAAAAGUGACAAACCAAAGUCACCUAUGCAAGCAACACCAUUCUUGUCAAGUAGUACAUUGGAAGAUUUCACAUUCCCAUGAGGUAUUUUGGCUGCACUAUACUCUCCAUGAAUCCUUGCAAGACCUCUUGCUGCCCCCAACACCAAGCUUAUUCUUGUUGUCCAAUCUAACGGAAUCCUUCCCGGACCACGGUUCCCUAAUACAAUUCCAAAGCCACAAUAAUUAAACAAAAAAUAUAAUGAUUAAGCCUUAUUAUCAUUACCAAAAUCAAGAUUUUUUGUCUCCAAAAUCAUAAUUGCGAUUGCAUCAAUGGCAUUUUACUGCAACUCUUCUAAUAUCAAGAACAAACAUAUAUUUAGCAAUCACAAUUGAACUUAAAUUCAAAUCUUGACCGAAAUUUUUCUUAAUUAGACUUUAACUAUUUUCCUUUAAUAUAGGAGGGUAAGACAAAAAAAUUCAGCCAUUUACUACGAUGUGCUUUAAAACAUUGUUAUUAUCUAUAGCUUCUAUACCAUACAGUUAAUUAGUAUUAUUAAUUAUAUGACUAAAUUUAGAACACAAAGGUAAAAAGGGAAUUAGAUUAGACAAACCAUGAAGAAGAGAAUGCAAGCUUCCAUUGGAAAGAUAAUCAUAGACAAGAAGUUUUUCUUCCUUAGCAUAAUAAUAAGCUUUGAGUCUAACAACAUUAGGGUGUCUAAGCUUUCCAACAACAUCCAUAUACUGUUCAAACUGAUUCCUAUCACAUGGAUUAGCAUCCUUAAGUCUCUUAACAGCAACAGUACAUCCAUCAUCAAGAACAGCCCUAUAGACAGUUCCCAAACUACCCUUCCCAAGCAUCUCCGCCGAUGCUCGUAGCAAAUCCUCCAACUCAAACUCACUCCUUCUAUCGAAAAACACUAAUUUACUUCUCUCUGUUUCAGUGUUUCCAUCACUAUUACUAUCCACACCCCCAUAACCUUUCUUCUCACUUCCACUGCUACUCUCGCUUUUCCUCUUCCCAAUCUCACUAUCCAUCCCCACCGUUGAAUUAGACCUUUUUCCUCUUCCGCAACAAUGAGCCACCGCGAAUGAAGCCGCCACUACUGCCACCACACAAACCGCCACCACAACCGCCACAAUUCCUCCCGGACUCAGCGAUUUCCGUUUUCUCGAAUGAGUUUCAGAUGCAAUUGUUCCGUUACUACUUGUUUGUGGUAACGAGCUAGGGUUUGAAGGAACAAUUUCAUCAUCCGAAGGAGGAGAUGUUUCGGUGACAGAACAAUUCGGUAAAGGCGCCGAUCCACAAAGACCGUCGUUGCCGGAGAAGCUUUUGUUUCCGAAUUUAUUGAGCAUUGCAUCGGGUAAGUUUCCUUGGAGUUCGUUGUUGGUGAUAUUUAGUUCUCUGAGAUUGACGAGUGAAGAAGAAAGAUCGGGAACUUCGCCGGAGAGUUCGUUGUUCUGUAAACGGAGAGUGAGGAGAUGAUUCAACUUCGUUAUUUCUUUUGGAAUUUCUCCGUGGAUGUUGUUGUCGGAGAUAUCGAGUCUGAUAAGAAGACGUAAAGAGGAUAUCGCCGGCGGUAUCUCGCCGGAGAAGUCAUUGCCAGAGAGGUAAAGUAGUUCAAGGUCAGUGCAGUUUAAAAGAGGAACAAUGGUUCCGUUCAAGCGGUUAUCGUGAAGAUCAAGGAAACGCAAGUAGAUUAGCGUUGAGAGAGAAUCAACGGGACCUCGGAGAUUGAAGGAAGGAACAGAGAGAGCAACAACUCUGCCGUUUGGGGAGCAUUCGACGCCGCGCCACGCAGCGUUGCAGGCGUCUUCUCCGGUCCAAUUACUGACGAGGUAGCCGUGUGAGUCUGUUUGGAGACGGAAUUCGGUGAGGGCUUGCGUAUCAUUCUGCGGUGCAGUUGCACUCUGUGUUGUGAAGAGAAAUAACAAGGUUAAGGGUAAUGCUAGUGAUGUGUUCAUGUUAUGGUGUGAGAAGGGAGGGAAUGAUGGUGUGUUUUAUGUUUUGAAUUUAAAAGGUGGAGACAGAAGGGUGUUUUUGAGAAUUUGAGUGAGGAAUGAGGAAGAAAAAUGUUGCAUGAUUAUGAGAGAGAGUAAUGUGUGAUGAUUGAGAUAAAGCACAUGUUAUUUAUUAUUACUAUAUGGUAUGGUAAUUAGAAUUGGGGGAAUAUAUAUGAUGAUUAAAGGUGGGAGGUGAUUAUGGGAUUUAGAAGGUGAUGGUCGAGUGUAUGAUUGUUGUUGUCUACUCCAUUAGAGGAAAUAGAAUGAGUGACAGUAUUUAAUUUACUUUAUCUUUUGUUUGGCUUGUUAUGCUAGAGAGGAGAAAAUUAAUGUUAUGUUGGAGGAAUUUAGGUAUAACAGUAACACAAUUAUACAUAAGAGCAAUAGAGUCAGAGAUUACUAUACUACGAAUAACAUGAAAAAAAAUAUAUAUUAUAGUUUUCAAAAUAAUGAAACUGAAAAUUUGAAUUGGGUUCAUGCAAUAAUACAUAGUGCAUGUCUUUUAUUAUAUUUAUCCGUGCAUUCCCUUUUCUGAUGAUAUGGUUGUGGGGUAUAAAAAAGCAAUUGAAGCAGAAUGGUCCAAAGUUAAACCCUUGCAUGCUUUUCAAAUAAAACUAUUUGGAUUUUGGAUUUCAACUCAAACCUUGAGUUUGAGUUUGAGUUUGGUCAUGGGUUAUAAACAAUUAAACAUUAACCGUAGACAUCGUAUGACCUAGCGAUUUGUCCUUCUAUCAAUGAGAAAUGUUUUUUAAACACAAUUUUAAACACAAAUACAAAUACAUAUACCGUAUACUAUACAUACUCAAUUCUUUCUUCUCUCUAUUCUUUUUGGAUCAAUCAGCUAACUCUUGUGUUGACCUAAAUUUUGUUUUUCACAUGUAUUUCUUACACAUUACUCUCCAAAUCUACACUUCUUAGAUUUUUAUUUUAUUUUUUUAAAUAGAUUUUUAUUUUAUUUUAGUUUUUUUGUUAUUUUCUUAGUUGUUUACUCUUGUUGUUCUUGGCUCAUACAAUGGUUUUCUUGGCUCAUACACGGUUUUCUGGGUUUUUUUGUAUUUUUUUUUCUGGUUAAUUGUGUAUACAUUAUUGAUUAAUAAAGUACAAUAUGUGGUUAAUGCAUUAUUUUUGUAUAAAAAUUAAGGUUGUGAAUUGUUAAUCCAUGUUAACUAUUUAUGUUUAAACAUUAAGUUUCAUCACUGUUAUUGUUAUUGAUAGGUCUAACACAUUUCAUAUUUUGUUAUUAAUGGUGUGCUAAUUAUGGGUCUUUUUGAGUUUGUUUCUGGUUAAUAGUGUAAGUAUUAUUGGUUAAUGAUGUACAAAUAGUGGUUAAUGAAUUAUUUUUGUCUAAAGAAAGAAGGAGAAAUUAUGGAAGAAAGGAAGAAUGAGAAAUUAUGGAAGAAAGAAAAGAUGAAUAUGUGAGGUUUAUUUUUGUAGAGGAAAACAACAACAAAAAGUGAAAAAAGAUAAAUAAAGAAGGGGAAUAUAAAAAAGGGAGGAAAUUAAAUGAAAAAAAAGACUAUUUGGAUUUUGGAUUUCAACUCAAACCUUGAGUUUGAGUUUGAGUUUGGUCAUGGGUUAUAAACAAUUAAACAUUAACCGUAGACAUCGUAUGACCUAGCGAUUUGUCCUUCUAUCAAUGAGAAAUGUUUUUUAAACACAAUUUUAAACACAAAUACAAAUACAUAUACCGUAUACUAUACAUACUCAAUUCUUUCUUCUCUCUAUUCUUUUUGGAUCAAUCAGCUAACUCUUGUGUUGACCUAAAUUUUGUUUUUCACAUGUAUUUCUUACACAUUACUCUCCAAAUCUACACUUCUUAGAUUUUUAUUUUAUUUUUUUAAAUAGAUUUUUAUUUUAUUUUAGUUUUUUUGUUAUUUUCUUAGUUGUUUACUCUUGUUGUUCUUGGCUCAUACAAUGGUUUUCUUGGCUCAUACACGGUUUUCUGGGUUUUUUUGUAUUUUUUUUUCUGGUUAAUUGUGUAUACAUUAUUGAUUAAUAAAGUACAAUAUGUGGUUAAUGCAUUAUUUUUGUAUAAAAAUUAAGGUUGUGAAUUGUUAAUCCAUGUUAACUAUUUAUGUUUAAACAUUAAGUUUCAUCACUGUUAUUGUUAUUGAUAGGUCUAACACAUUUCAUAUUUUGUUAUUAAUGGUGUGCUAAUUAUGGGUCUUUUUGAGUUUGUUUCUGGUUAAUAGUGUAAGUAUUAUUGGUUAAUGAUGUACAAAUAGUGGUUAAUGAAUUAUUUUUGUCUAAAGAAAGAAGGAGAAAUUAUGGAAGAAAGGAAGAAUGAGAAAUUAUGGAAGAAAGAAAAGAUGAAUAUGUGAGGUUUAUUUUUGUAGAGGAAAACAACAACAAAAAGUGAAAAAAGAUAAAUAAAGAAGGGGAAUAUAAAAAAGGGAGGAAAUUAAAUGAAAAGAAAGAUUAUGUGGAGGGUCACAUGUAUUUGUGUUUAAAAUUGUGUUCAAAUAUCACCGCUCUUUAUCAAUAUAUAUUAUAAUUAUUUAAAAAAAAAGAUUUCACCAAUCAUCGAUAUAGAUAACCAUAUAUAGUCCUUUUAUGUCUCUGUUUUAUAUUUGGAUCAUGUUAAAAUUAAAUUUCAAAGCACAUAAAAUUUUGCUCAAUUUAAUCUCUCUUCAAUCUUCAUUAUACACCUCCACUUACACUCCUUGUAAUAAAGAAAGAUGAUGGCUAGACAUAUAUAAUGGAAAAGAAAUACAGUGAUAGAAAUAAAUAUAAAGUGAGUGUAAAAAAAUCACAAUAAACUUAGACUGGAUGGGCUUUGAUUUAUCAAUCCCAUGGACAAACUUUAUAAGCUUUCGUUUUCACCAAACACGUUAAAGUGAUUCAUUAUUUGGUUUGUCUACUGCGUAUUCUCUUUUUCAUUUGGUGGAAAGAGAAAAGAGGUCUUCAACUUUAAGUCAACAGCAAGCAAAGUCUUUUUCAAAUCAUACCAUAACGAUAAAUAAUCGAAUCCAAUAAUUAACAUGUAAAUGCAAGGAACAUUAAUGGUAUUCAAACUUAAAUAUCAUGACAAAAGUAGCAUCCAAUUGACAUAUAUUAAUCAAAACGCACCAUACAUUGUACGAUACAGUCGUUCCAAAACAUAAAUAUUACUUGAAUUUUCCCUUAAUAAGCUGGCAUGAUUGUGCUUUUAUUUUGUUUUCAAUUUUUUAUAAUUAUAUUUGCAUUUUAGUGUGUAUUUAGUUUUGUGGUGACGAAUUUAUAAUUUUUUUUAUAAUAAUAUGAUUUGUAAAAGUAACGUUACUUAAAAUAAGUUAAAUGUCCAAUGAGACUAAAAAUAAAAUUGAGGUAAAAAAAUUAAUUUUGAAAGCAAAAACUACAAAUUUCAAUUUGAAGUUAAAAUUAAUUCUAGAUAUAAAAUUAUUUUUAUUCAUAAAAUUAAUUCUAGUUUUACAUUCUUUUUUCUCCCUCAUGUGUGAGAAGAGAAAUAAACACACAAAUAUUUUUUACUCAUUUUUAAUUAUGUAGAUAAAAUUUAUUAAAAUUAUUAUUGAUAUCUAUCUUUCUUAAAAAAUAAGAGAGAAAAGGAGAUUGUCAAAACUAUAAUAAACUAAACUGUGGUGAUGAUUUUCACAAAAAUAUAAUAACUCAUUCUAAUUUUCUGAAUCCCACUCAGAAAAUUGGCACAUUUGAUAAUCCCCCACUGGAAUUGGAUAGAUGGUGGCAUGAUGGGUAAUGCCACAUGGGUAGGGGCAAAUAUCAAUGGAUGGUACACUGGUGGUAUGGUACUGCUUCACAUCUCUUCCAUUGUGAUUGUGAUGGGCUCAAAAAAGUGAAGGAAGCUUUUUUUUCCUCUCUCAUUGUGAAGAGUUGUCGUUGCAUUACUAAUUUGUAUAUUGGCACUAAAGUAAAAGGGGUCAUAAAGUAAGAGGAGAGGGUUUGGAGGCGAGAUUGGCGUUCUCAAUUUAAAAAGCACUUGAUAUUUUGCUUUCACUAAUAAAAUUUACAAUUUGGUUGGUUUCUGCUGUUAAGUUUAUGGUAACUUAUUUCAACGUAACUAAAAAAAUACAGGAGUUUUAUUAGCAAAAAUUUGCCUCUACCCCUAAGAUAAUUAAUCUAGAUUUUUUAUUUUGUUCUUAAUUAUAAACAAUAAAAUCAAUUUUACUUGUUAGAAAAUUUGGUUUAAAUUUUUUAAAACACAAUUAUCAUAAAAAAUUUGAUGGUUCAAAUUUUUGUGAACACACAUUCAUUCUGAAAAAUUUUAACUACAAUUUUUAGAAUGAGUAUGUGUUUUGAAAAAUUUGAAACACAAGUCUUUCAAAAGAAAAAAUUGAAAAGAGUAAUUUAUAAUUUUUGAAGGAUUGCACAGUAGCAGUAUAAUUGAGUUAAAGAGUAAAAUUUAUCUUUUAAAUGUCUAAUAUUUGUACUUUUUUUAAUGAACUUUUGGACGUAAAUUUUAUUACAAACAAUAUGAGUAGAAUUUAAACUUAUGUUAAGAGUUAAGAUUUUGCUAUAUUUUCGGGUACAGAGCAUGCAUAUAUGUGAUUAAUUAACUAAGUGUUUUCCUACCAAGCGAUAAAACAAAAGCAUUGUAAAUUUGUAAGUGCCAAUAUAAACAAUUUAAGUUGUCUUACUAUUUUUUUAAAUAAAUUUUGUGUUAAAAAUAGUUUUAUUCGAGACAUGACAAACAUUAAUUAUGAGAAUAUCACUUCUAUCAAAAAUUUGAACUCAAAUUCAUCACGUUAGAGAGUCUUUUAACUUUUUUUUGUUAGAAGGAAUCUUGUUGGUCGUUGUAUAGUUAUAAUUUAUUGGGCAUGUAAUAUGCUUGUAGUAGCACUAGUAUAUGCUUGUACUACAACAUGUCUUAGAACACAAUUCACAUAUAUUUUUUGGCCAACCCUAACGCUCAACUUCGGAAAGUUCGUUAAUCUAUUAACACAACUUAAAAGUUAAAAACAGAAAUCAGUCAAUGGGAGAACACGAACAAACAUAAAUCAAUUGGAUGAGACGAACCAAAUAUUUGGAACGGUUACGGGCGGCGAGAACAAUCCCCUUUCUCAAUGGUUCUUCGUCGUUCCAUUACUUAAGAACACUAGACUGAAGAGUAAAGAUAUAUGUACUAUUUCAUUUACAAAGUAUCACCUAAAACAAUCAACUAGGCAUCGAAGUGACUACAGAUCCCCCACUUAAGAACAUUGCUUAAAGGAGCUAGUCACGCGAAUCAUUUACUAAGACACGGUGUUAGCCUUUUGACAAAAAAAAAAGGCAUAGGGUAAGCUUGUCCUUGUUCUUUUCUUUUAAAAGAAAAUAUUAUAAUAUAAAAUCACAAUUUAUCAAAUAUAUUAUUAGAUUUAUUAGAUUGAGUCACAGACUAAGUCGCUCUAGCAGACUAUCAACGGUACUAUGACCACUCAUAACAACCGCUCUCAAAAUACCCCAAUAUGACUACAACAUAACAACCCAGAAAGAAAAGGGAGAAGUGACUCAAAGAGCACAUAAUAUAAAAGGAAGAAAAAAGAAAGUUGAGAAAUGCAUUCAAUUUUGGUUUACUUUUCACUUGAAACUCAUUAUAUAGUGAUGAAAGCAAACCCACAUAUAUUUUGUAUCCAAUGUGAGACUUUAGUAUGUAUAGAGUUGAAACUAUUCAAAAUAUGGGAGUAUUUCAAUGUGUGAUUUUAAAAAAAAUUAUUUCCAAUGUGAUACUUGAAUUUAUUAAGUGAGUUUGAUGCAACCAUUAGAGAGUGAGAAAAGAAAGUAUAUUUUUUUUUACUAAGACGUGGUGUUAGCCUUUUAAAAAAAUAAAAAUAAAAAAAAAUAAACAGAGUUAGCCUUGUCCUUGUUCUUUUCUUUUAAAAGAAAAUAUUAUAAUAAAGGAUGGAACACAAUUCGAUUCACCAAUUUUAAAUAAUUAAGAAGUUUGUUUUCUAAUUGAUAGGUUGAUUUGCAUUGUUUUCAGUAUUCCGUUGUCAACAAGUUGAACUACUGAGCGAGCCUGUUCUGCUAUGAAAUUCAUUAAAACAAAACUUUAAAAAAAUCAUGUUUUAGUAAAAUGCAACAAAUAACGAAGAAGUUAGCAGCUAGGGGAUUAAUUUACAGCGGAUAAGCUACAUAUCUUUGACCGAAUUGUCUCUUGACUACUUAUCUAUCUUAUGAAUCUAGAGAAUUGAAUGCAUCGGAUCUUUUUGAAAAAUGUAAGCAAUAUCUUUUUGAUAGUUAUCACACAUAUAUAUCAGCUUACAAAUUCAAUUUGAAGUGUUUGGUACAAUUUGCCAUUGAACAAAAUGAGAAAAAUAAAAUGACAUAAAUAAAUAAUUUUAAUUUAUAUUUUAUUUUUAAAAAAUAAGAGAUGAAUACAAUAUGUAAUUAUAAACUUAAGUGCUACUUGUAGAAAUAUCUAAAAAAAGUAAAAAACAUGUGAAAAAACGUUGUGAUAAAUUCAUGAGAAAAUAGUAUUACUAAAAAGGUAUACUUUAAUCAUAUAAGGUUAUGUGUUAUAAACUAUCGGCCAUAAGUUAGCUGUUUAACCUUAUCAAAUAAAAUACAUUUGAUAUUUUUGAGGCUGUUUGAAUUAUUUACAAAGACUUUUAAAAUUUUCUUCUAAGAUAAGUGAAGAGAAGAAGAGAUAGUGAUUUGGUGUCUCGUCUCCAUUACCUUAAUUACUCCUCAACUUAAGUAGUGGAAUAUUGAGAUUUUUUGUAAUAUUUUCAAAGGAAAGAAAGAGUUAUUGUAAGACUUAAUUGUAUUCAAAAAAGUUUUCAAUAUGGGAUUAGUGAUUUUCUUGAUGUGCUUGAGAAGGAUUUUCUCGAUUAGCUAUUACUUUGUACCAUCUGGAAUGCUUACGGUUCCAAAAAUCAAUAGGUCAAUGAAUUGCUAAUGAUGAUCGUAACACUAAGUAUUAUCACUCCAAAAUCAUUUCUUAGAGUAAUGAUUCAAAAAAUUUACAUUAACUUAUUAAAAAAAUAGCAUCAUAUAUGUGACCUAAUGCUUUCUUGAGCUACUAAGUAGAGUAGAAUGAGUGCACUCAUUCUUUUUGCUGAAUGUAAACAAGCCCUCUUUCAUAUGGAUCCACACCAGGCCCAAUACGAGUAUGAUUACCCUACUUUGUUAUUUAAGCAAUGUUGGGACACUGAUGCGAAUUCUCUUUAUACUAGAAUGCCAAUUAAGCGUAGUAUAAUCUUUCUCUUAUUUCUUGCAUUUGUAAUAAUAUCCUUGUGUUGAUACCAAAAGCUGACAAGCCUGACUUUGUUUCUCAAUUCUUUUUUAUUGCUUUGUGUUGUGUAACUUACAAAAUUAUUAUGGAAGUUGUUAAUAAAAUCAAGUAAUUAUUGAAUGAUAUUAUUUCUCGUUAUCAAUCGAUUUUUAUUCUAAACCGUAACACCCACUAAUAUUAUUGUGGCAGGAAAUUGUGCAUCAUUCAUUCAUUUUUCUCCAUUGAUGUCGUCUUGAUAUGAAGAUAUGUGUUUGAUAAUUCACAUAUGUCCUGAAUUGUUUAGUCCAUAAUUAAAAAUGACUUGAUCGAUAAUUAACAAAUCUAUCUAAAUGAUAAUAUAUAUAUAUAUAUAUAUUCUUCACAUCAAUGUCGACAUUAACCUCUUUAUUUGGACUUUCGUGACUAAUAUGACAUAACUAUUUUAUAUAUUUUAUUUAUAUAAUUAUGCAUACAAUAUUUUAUAUAUUUUUAUUUAUAUCAAAUUCGAUCUAAAUAAAACUUCAAAAAUAAAAAUGUCAAUCCUAAUGGCAAAAAUAACAAUUAAUAAAAAAAACUAUGUUAUACAUUUUUAUUUAUAUUAUUCGGACAACUUUUUGAAAUAAUAAUUUGCAAAAAAUGUGAAGAGAUUAUCAUUGCCAUGCAAGGGUUACUACGCUAGUUGCACUAAAAUAGCAAAAGCACGUCAACAUACAAAUAAAAGCUAAAAUACUAAGCUAGCUUAAAAUUUUCAUAAGAAAAGCUAAAGAUAAAUAAUAACUAAAUUUUGACAACAUAACCUAGAUUUUCGUUUUGACAGAAUACAAAAUAAUCCCGAUCAUUAUCACAAACAAACAAAUUGAGGAUCUUUUGGGAUGGAGAGGAGAGAUACCCCUCACAGCUGCCCCUAUUAUAGUCAUUUGUUGCUUAUGAUGUACUAAUUCCUCGCUUAAUAUAUCAAAAUAAAUAAAUAUACAUCAAUUUUUUCAACUCAUUUUCAUUUAUAUUUUAAUAUAAAAGUGGCUGAACUUAAAUAAACUCAAUCCCGAACUUUAUGUCUGGUAGUAAAAAAAAAACUCAGAUUGUACAUUCAAUCUUUGUUAGUAUUAUUGAAGAAGCUAGCAUGUAAAAUUCUUUUUUAAUGUUGAUUGAAUCUUAAAAUAAUUUUUAUUUUAGAGUGAGGCAUCAACCCUAUCUUAAAUUGUGUUUAUAAAAAAAUAAAUUAAAAUUCAUUGAUAGUUAUAGUUAAGUAAAUAUCUAACUAGAAGAGUAAUUUUCCUCAGUUUUUAAUUAUAAACAUUAUUUGAGAAAAAAAUCUUAAUGAUAAAUAUAAAACAAUACUCUUUCAAAUUACUAAGGGUGUUUAAUAUUUAUAAAUAUAUCCAUAUUAAUAUUAAUUUAUUUUAAAAUAUUAUAAAUCUAAUUAAAGACGUUCAAGUACAUAUAAUUUUACAAACAUUUAUUUAUAAAGUAUAAAAUGAAUAUAUUAAACCAUACAUAUUUAAUUUGUUAAUACACGUAAAAAAAAAGUAGCGAGUAGUUAAGAAAGGAAUGGAGGUAAUAAUUAUCAUGCCCUGUGUGUUUUAUAAUUAUUUUUUAAUGAGAUCAUGGCUUACUUUUACGGUAACUAAAAAUGAAUUAAUUAACCAUCAUAUUAUAUUAUAUUAUAUUAUAUUAUAUUAUAUUAUAUUAUAUUAUAUUAUAUUAUAUUAUAUUAUAUUAUAUUAUAUUAUAUUAUAUUAUAUUAUAUUUUAUAUAUAUAUAUAUAUAUAUAUAUAUAUAUAUAUAUAUAUUAGGAUUUAUCCAAAAUAUAAUGAAACAUAAAAAAAAUUAAAUAUAAAUUUUCUUAGAAGUUAUAACGUAAAACUACUAAAUUUUUCACGAAAAGUUAUUUUUUAGACAUUUUAUAAUAAAAUAUUAAUUAAAAUAAUUAAUUUUGUAUCAUAUUUUUUUAAUAUAUAAUCAAAUUGAUUAAUUAAAAUUUGUGAAGAAAGUAUUAGUUUUAAAUUAACAAAAUAUUGUUAUUAGAUUUAAAAAUUUUAAAAUAUGAAAUUACCUUUUUAUUAAGUAUGAUAGUUUUUUGGAAACCUUUCUAUCAAAUACAAAAUUAUUUAUUUUUGGAGAUCUAAAUUGGUUGCUUCACUGUUCUUACCUAUGGACUGAUUCUAAUAUAUAUAUAUAUAUAUAUAUAUAUAUAUAUAUAUAAGAGGAUCGUUAACUUCAAGAGUAUUAGUAAAAAUUAAGGUGUUUUAUAUAUAUAGAAUAAGAAAAAGGUAUACUUUUGUAUUAGUAAAAAUUUAAAGCAAGAGAAUGACACCCCAAUUCAAAAUAGAAAAAAUUUAAGGUCUCUCUUUUUUUUUUGUGGAUGAAAUAAAUAAAAGGUUAUGAAAUAUACUUCGUUGAAGGUAAAGAAAGAUCCUGAAACUAUACAAACACGUACAAAAUAUGCAUUUAGUCUUUUUUAUUUGAAAAUAAAAAAUUAUAAAUUGAACACCCAAUAUUCUCCACUUGUAAGUACAUAGAUGAAUCCCUCAAUCCUGUGGGACUUAAGUGAGUGACAAACUGAUUUUAAGAAUUUUAACGCAAUUGUAUAUAUAAAUUUGAGUUGAAAUUUAAAACAUUGAUUAAAUUAGAAAGAGACUUUUAUCAUUUUCUCUCUCUCUCUCUCUCUCUCUCGAUAAAAAAGUAUAUUAUUUAAGUGACUCCUGCACAAAAUCAUGUGUACUAAACUAUGAAAAUGGUAUAAUCUUGGCAUCUUUAAAAGUAUAAUUUUGGCUGGCAACUGGGGAGAUAAGUUUGACUCUUGUGGGAAGUGUACAUUAAACAUUUGUUUAUAAGUACUAUAGCCUAGUGAUAAAAGAGGAAACAAAAUUUGCAGCUGCAAAUUAUACAAUGAGUUAAUUAACAAAUUACGAAGAAACCAUGGAAUUCCCUUCCCAACUUAUUAUUCUACUACUCUUGUCUUUCCCCGUAUUCCUCUUCCUCCUCAACCGCCGUCGGAAAAUAUCGGCCACCAAAAACCGCCGCCUACCACCUGGACCACCGGGAUGGCCCAUAUUUGGAAACAUGUUCCAACUUGGAGAAAUGCCUCACCGCACACUCACAAACUUAAGAGAAAAAUAUGGUCCAAUUUUAUGGCUCAAAAUUGGCGCCGUAAACACAAUGGCUAUACUCUCAGCCAAAGAAGCCACAAUAUUUUUCAAAAACCACGACCACGCUUUCUCAGAUAGAACCGUAAUUGAAACCAUGCGUGUCCAUAAUUACGACAAGUCAUCAUUAGCUUUGGCUCCAUACGGCUCCUAUUGGCGCCUAAUGCGCCGGCUCGUAACUGUCGAUAUGUUGGUCCUAAAACGCAUAAACGACACCGUUUCAAUUCGCCGAAAAUGCGUAAAUGACAUGCUCGCGUGGGUUGCAAAAGAAGCGCGCGCGCGUGAGUUGGAAGAUGGUCGUGGACUCCACGUGGCGCGUUUUAUUUUCUUCAUGAGUUUUAACAUGUUUGGGAAUUUAAUGUUGUCGCGGGAUUUGUUUGACAUGGAAUCUGAAAAUGGGUCCGAGUUUUUCGCGGCGGUUAUGGGGAUGAUGGAGUGGACUGGACAUGCUAACGUGGCGGAUUUGUUUCCUUGGUUGAGGUGGUUGGACCCACAAGGACUUAGGAGGAAAAUGGAUAGGGAUAUGGGAAAAGCUCUUGAAAUUGCUUCCACGUUUGUGAAAGAGCGUUUGGAGGUGGAGCGUGAUGAGGUAUCGAGAGAUUUCUUGGAUGUUUUGCUUGAGUUUCAAAGAAAUGAGAACCAACAUGCACUCAAUAUCUCAGAUAAAGAUCUCAACAUUUUCAUCUUGGUAAUAUAUACUUCCACCUUUCCUAUAUUACGAGCUUGUUACAGUUUUAUUUCUAAAUAAAUAAAUAAAUAUAUAUGUUUUCAGUUGAUAUAUUUAGAGAGACUAAAAAUAUAUUUAAUCUAAUCAGCCAUACUAAUAAUAAUGAAUUAAUUAAUAUAAUCAUUUGAUCGAUUUUAAUAUGUGAUGUUAAUAUUCAGGAAAUGUUCUUGGCUGGGUCAGAAACAACGACCAGCACAAUUGAAUGGGCAAUGACGGAGCUAUUAUGCAACUCUAAUUGUAUGUUAAAGGUUAAAACUGAGCUUAGUUCAUUAAUUGGGACUAAAGAUGUUGAAGAGAGUGACAUAGACAAGCUUCCUUACCUACAGGCUAUAGUUAAAGAAACACUAAGGUUACAUCCUCCAAUUCCACUUCUUGUCCCACGAAAAGCGGUACAAGACACAGACUUCAUAGGAUACUUCAUACCAAAAGACACACAAGUGUUUGUGAAUACUUGGGCAAUUGGAAGAGAUCCAGAUGUUUGGGAUGAACCUUUAGUUUUUAAACCCGAGAGGUUUUAUGGUUGCAAUAUUAAUAAUAAGAUUGAUUAUAAAGGGCAAAAUUAUGAGUUGAUCCCAUUUGGAGCUGGAAGAAGAAUGUGCGCGGGUGUGCCUUUGGCUCAUAGAGUGCUUCACCUUGUGUUGGGAUCAUUGCUACAUCGAUUUGACUGGGAGCUUGAUAGCAAUGUUACGCCUUCAACUAUUGAUAUGAAAGAUAGGCUUGGUAUAACCAUGCGAAAAUUUCAACCUUUGCUUGCUGUGCCCAAAUUAGUUGCUUCUUAAUCAUUGUUAUUUAAUGAUUUAUUCUAUAAAUAAAUCAGUGUUUUUUAGUUCAACUUAUAUAAAUGUCAACUUCUUAAAUUCAACUUAAUGUCUUGACUUUGAACGUGAUAUGUUUCAAUUGUGUGUAUAUAUAGUUAUAUUAUUUCAUCUAUAUAUAAAUAAAAAAUAUAUAUCAGAAUAUUAAUGGUAGAUUGGUGUGCAUAUAUAAAAAUAAUAUGGAGAAUAAAACUAUGAAUUCUUCUUCUUUUUGUUUAUUGAUAAAAUAAUAUAAUUAUAGUAGAAGUUAACACACACAAAAUGAAUGAAGCGAAUUCUAUAUGAUGCAACAAUGGUGUAUAGUAGUAGGCUGCAAAAACAUUAGAUUAUGAGGGGAAAAACAUUUAUAUUUAAUAUUAUAAUAUUUUAAUAUUUUAUUGUAUAAAUAACAUAAUUAAGUGGUAUAAUUAUAGGUUCAACAAGAUAUAUAUACACUUGAAUUUUUCAUACACUCAUUUAAUAUUUCAUUUUAUUUUAUUUUCUCUUUUCUGAUCACAUUAUCAACACAUAAGAUAGAUUACACCACUCUUUUGUUAUCUUCUUAUCUAUCAAAAUGUAUAUAUCUUUAUAUGGGUGUCCAUCAAAUAUUUUUCUUUUAAAUUUCAGUUAAUGUAAUGCUUUUUAUGAUGUUUAUUCUUGACAGUUGAAUUAAUUUUCUUAGUAUCUUUUUAAUGUUUCUACUGAUUUAAUUUUAUAUAGGUUUUGAAAGCGAAAUUCAACUAAUUUAAUUACAAAAUUUUCAAAAUUUCGUCUAUACUACAAUGCCUUCAUGACACAAUAAAAUAAGUCUUUGGUUUGUUAUUCUCUUUACACGGGCUUGUCAAAAUGCACAGUGACAAAGCUAUUAUAGAAAUGGAUUGCAAAGUUGUUGUUGACUUAUUAUAUAUGCCACUAAUAGUAAUAUUUUGGAACUAGGUCAAAUUAUUUUUGAAUGUAAAAAAGGAACUCUUCUAAUUAUUAACCUUUAUGGAAUGGAGUUUGUUUGGAGACAAAUAAAUUAAGUUAAUUGUUAAUCAUCUAGUGAGAGGCAAUUGGGUUCGGAGCUAGCCUCUAAGUUAAUUUUUUAUCUUGUAUUGCUUUUUUAAUUAUUGAUGAACGCCAUUAAUGUCUUUACUAAAAAGGUAUCCAUGCUUAAUUUCUAUUUCUAUUUUAUUUUUGUAAAAUAUUUUUUACCAAUUAAAUUAAUACUUUUAAUUUAAUAAUUUUAUUUCACAAAAUACUUUUUUAUUAAAAAAAAAAUUAUUUCACUAAAAUCACCGAGACUAGUUACGACUGAGAUUGCCCUUAGUAGACUAUCGCCUGUUAACAUAAAUAAAUUAACUUAUAAUUUAUUGAGUUAGUUUAUAAGUUUUUUUUAUCAAAUUAAAAUUAAUAUGAGUGGUUGAAUUCACUUAUCUAUUUAAAAUCGUGGCAGUUCAUCUGUUUUUUCUAGUGAAAAACUUAUCAUCACACACUUCUGUAAUGGCACAUAGCUCAGUGAUGUCCUCCCUUGAAUAUACCAUAUCCAUGAAUACCUUAUCCAAAUCAAGAUCUCGAAGCCAAAGGAGAGCAUAUAAAAUCGAUUACCUAUAUAGCUGCAAUAGGAAGACAAUGUCUGAUCCACAUUGUGCGAGUUGCAUAAAACCUACUAUUGAUUAGAGUUCCUUACGUGGAAAAAUAGAUAAAUCACCAUUUAAAUCCUUAAAAUUGUAGGACGCUUACGUUUUGGUGACUUAAUCAAAAAUUACAGUUGCUUUUUAACUAUCAAAACAUCAUUUAAAAUUUAAUUUUUGACGUUGUAAUGAUCAUUGAUUAUUUUGAUAGGAAAUUUAAAUACUAUUUUUAAUGAUUCAAAAAUAAAUCUGAGUAUUCAAUUGAGUCAUGAAUCAAAGUGAUAUCGUUUUAUAUUUUUAGUGUUUAAAAUGAUUAUUUAUCCUUUGAAAAAUAUUUACUAUUAUUAGAGUAAAGAAAUAUUUUGGAUCUUUAAAAAAAAAAAAACAGAAUAAAUUAGUUACAGACAAAAAAAAAUUGUAGACAAAAUUAUAUCUAGACAUAUAGUCUUUUUAUCAUUUUUUUUUAUUUGUUUUUGAACCGUGACUGAAUUAUGACAUCUCAUAUAAUGGUUAGGAUAUAUUGUAUACAAAAAUAAUGAACUCAAUGAUUUUUUCUAUUUAUUUAAAAACAUGAACUCUUAUGUAUUUUUUAAGUCAUGUAGAACUACCAUCAUUAAAGAUUUAACGAUACAUGUCAUAUGUCUUCAUACAUAUCAAUAACAAUUAAUGUUGUUUUUUUUUGUAGGUAUAAAAAAUCGCUUUAUUCUUAUUUUAAAAUAUUAAAUUGGAUGAUAUUCCAAAAUGUUGUAACUAUCUGAAUGAUAACAUAAACCAAACAACUUGGGAAUCUUUUUGGUUUGGAGGGUAGAGAUACCACUCCUGGCCCCUUUUAUUUUCAGUUGUUCACUAUGAGAUUUGGCUUCCACUUAUUUUAAAAUUCUACUAUAAGUAAUCAUAUGGUUAGGUAAACAUCUGAAAAGAGUCGUCACUAUUAAAAUAUGUGUUUGUUUAUCUUUUUUGAGUCAAUUGAUCGAGAUUAUAGUUAAUUAACUUAUAAACUGAUUCAACCAUACAGUUUGCAUCCAAAAUAUUUUGUCUAGACAAUUGAUUAGUUUUAUUUAUAGCAGAACGCAACAAAAUUACAACGGAGUUCAGGUUGGAAACGGAAUCUCCUCAGAACUCCCUUCCUCCAUCUACACAUCUCUAUCGAAUAAUGAUGCAAGACAAAUUUUUGGCUUAAAUAUGUAUAUUUUUUUUGCAAAAUAAACUGUGAUGUUUUGUGAAUUGAAAACAUUAAAAAAAAUUAUAUAGAAGUGUUAUGACACACUAGUAGUUUUAUAAGGAUGAACUAUAAAUGUGUGAUAAGAGUAUUUAAUUUUUUAAAAGGGAUAUAAUGCACUCAAACCAACCACAAUAAACGUGUCGUUGGUUGUUUGGGUGGAAUUUGAGUUAUGAGGUGUAUUAUUUUUUAAAAUCUAACAAAUUUAAUAUUUAUUUUUUAAUGCGUGCUUUUUCUCUCUCUAGAUUGUUUUUGACACGUGUUGUCCGAUGAGAUCAGAUGUUGAAUUCAUCUCUAAAUAUAAAAUUUCACUCAAUUCACAAAUCACACCAACACUCCAAAAUAAAUUUGAGUAAUUUUCAUUCUUCUCCAUUUUCUGCUUUUAUAAUUCUAUAAUAGUUUUCUAUAAUGCGAUAGAGUAUCAAUACAAUGUUACUGAGCUGUUUUAUCCUGGUAAUAUCGUGAUUGAUAGUAUGUCUUGUAAAUUUUGAGCAUUGUUGCAAAAUGCCUUAAAUAGAGCGGCCUAUCAAGUCAUUAAUAUAUUCGGUGGUUGAAAAUUAUUUUUCAAAUAGCUUUUCGAAACUCAAAAACAAUAUAAUCAUCUAAGUUAGAUUAUAUUUACAUCAUUAGUCUUUUGUGUCAUUUUAAAUAACGACUAUUGCAAUUGAAAACAUAUUAUCAUUAGAAAUUUUGUCAAACAUUGCAACAAGAAUUAACUCAUACUAAUCUAUUAAAAAAUAAUCAUCAAAUUUUAUUAACGGUAUAUAUUUCUUGAUUUUUUACAAAUAUUUAGACACAUAUAUGACCUCUAAAAACUUUGUAAUAAAGGUCUAUUCACGUAAUAAAUAUCAUUAACUUCAUUUACUUGUAAAAUAGUUAGGAUAUUCAACUUAUUAUGGUGUUUCAGUGAUAUCUUAAUAGUAAUUCAAGAAAAUUGUUAAAUUUAGUAAACUACAUACGUAAUUUAAUAUAACUUAAAAGUUAAUAAUGAAAAUAAAAUAUAAUUUAAAUGACUAAAUUGGAAAAUAAAAUGUUAAAGGAUGUACUAUAAAAUUGUAUUAAACUUAAAGAACUCAAGUGUUAUAAAAAAAAUAAGAAAAGCAAAUUAUUACUUUCCUGAAACAUAAAUGACCUCAUUAUGUAUUUUGCUUAUAUUUUUUGUUUUUUUUAUUUCUUACCUAAUAUUUACUAUGGUCUUUUUUUAAUUAAUUUUAUCUUUUAUCUUUUGUUAAUGAUGAAUUUUAAUCAUUUUUAUAAUCAUAACAAAAGCGAUAACAAGAUAUGAUCAUUGAGAUCCCUUUUAACAAUUGUUCUUAUGUGUUUGCAAUAAUAUCAUUUCAAAAAAUAUUUUUUUAACUCAUUAAUAGAUCCGCAUUUGAAAAAAUUCUCAUUGCAUGAUUUGAUACAUAUGUAACCUAUAGUUGUUUGAAAUAAUUAUGAUUAAAAGAACUAAUAUUAAUUAUUUAUAAAAGAUAAUAAUUAAAUUAAAAAGUAUUACUUCAAAAUCAAUAGUAUAUUUGUUAUAUGCAAUUUAUAAAAACGUUAGUAAAACAAUGGCUUCGCCCGGACUCGAACCGGAGACCUUCAGUGUGUUAGACUGACGUGAUAACCAACUACACCACGAAACCAUGAUGUUAAUGUAAUUGAAAUACCUCUAUAUCUUUACUAGAUAAAGUAUAAAGAUAUAUAUGAUGCAGCUCACUGCAUGCAACCACUAUUCUCACAAAAAUAAUAAAACAAACACAUUACAAAAAUAUAAUUUUAAUAUUAGUGGAAAUAAUAGAAACAUUUGCAGCAUCUAUAUCUUCAUCUCAUAUAAUAGAAUAUACACUAUUAGCCACUUCAAGGAGACUAGGACUCAAACCAUGUUCUCUUAACUAGGGUCCGGGUGUUUUACUACUUCGAGUCUUCAACCAAUCUUAUAUUGGUCUGAGAGGAUUAAAUUACAUGAUAGUAUUAUUCAAACUUUACAAUUGGAUAGAAGUACUAUUAACUACUUUUAAUCAAUUAAAUUAUAAGGAUACAACUUUAUUUAUAUAAUUAAUUUAUCUAACUCAAUCAUUUAUUUAUUUGUAUAAUUAGCUACUUUUGUAUAUGAUGCUGACAUUAUAAUUUUAUCUAAGGAAAUUAUACAUCAUCUAUCACUUAAAUUAUUUUUAAAUCUUUUACAUACUUACCCUUACUUACAAAGUGUAUGACAAUUAGUGUAUUUAAUAUAAACAGUUAUUUCACUCUUUUUUUUUUUAUCGACAAAUGUUAGUAAAUCAGUAGUUAAGUUGAUUUUUUCGAGUUUUAAUCCGAAAUAUCCUUAUAAACUUCGAAAUCUUAAUUCACCAAUUGAACCUACGUGGGACUAAUAAUACAGUGUUAAGUAUCAUUAAUUAUGUUUAGCUGCUAAUUCUACUAAUAUUGGACUCAUAAUGGGUUCAAAGGUCCUGUGAUGGGUCAAAAAAAGGCCUUGAUCUCCCAAUCAUGAUGGAUUAGCAUUAUAUCAGCUGAUAUAUUUUUACUUUACAAAACUUUUGUCAAAAGUUUUUUCGUUUGAUGAUAAUAUAUGUCAACAAUUUUUUGGGGUAAUUAGCUAAAGCAGCAAAGAAUACAAGGAUGAAACUUAUUAGUAAUAGGCAAUAACUGAUAAAGAAGAAUCUGAUGUCCACGACCAAGAGCUUGCCACACUUUCUUAGCAGUUGGAUGACAUCUAAGGCAGUGGUGCAUAGUUUCUUCAUGAAGUAAUUAUUUUCAUGUCAUCUUCUUAUAAUGAUUUCUAAAUUAAUUUCAAUAAUACAAAAAAGAAAGGAGGGUACUUACUAAAAUACUUAUAUGUUAAAUAUAAUACAUUAUUUUCAUUGAUCUGCUAUAUGUUGAUGGGUACCCAUGCAUUUCUCACAGAUGAAUAACACUAUUUUAAAAGGUAAUUCCAAUCCCAAUAUAAUUGGAGCAGAUGUGUGUUCACAAACUUACUAAUUAUUGAGUGCAAUAUAAAAUUGGGAGAGUCAUAAAAUAAAAAUAAAAUAAUAUAAAAACUAUGGUAGUAACUAAGAAUCUGAGAUACAUUAACAGAAAGUAAAUGGAUAAUAUAAGGUUGAUUUCGUACUUAAAGUGAGAAAGUUAAGUGGAGUAAUAAAAAGAUUGAGAGUUCUAUUCCUACCUACAAUAUAACACUAACAACCUGAAUUCAUGAAGGUCGAUAAUGCAGACACUCCAAUGCAAAUGAAAUAAAACAUAAUGCAUAUCUUGAACAAAUGGUCAAAUUAGAUUACCUUAAAAUAAAUUGUUUCACCCAAAUGUAAUCUAAGAGUAGAAUCAAGGUAAUAAUAUCAAAAGUACUAGUAAUUGUCAAAGGCUACCAUUUGAAAAUGAUAACUAUACAAGGAUCGUGAUAUUCAACUUCAACCUCAAGACAACUUCAAGUUCAUAAUCUAUAAGUCUAUAUAAAAUCAUUGUACAUUCCUUUCUUUCUUAUACAAAGACCAUUAAAUGAUCUAGUUAUAGCAAACUCCAUUCUAUCUCUCAUGCCUAAUUUUGCUUCAAUCCUGCAUACAUAGUUGAGACCUACAAGAAGAUCAACCAUUGCAGCUUCCGUUUUUACUUGAUUCGCGUAAAAAAGAGUUUGGACUCGUAAAAUAUUUGCAUUUACAGUUGUACACUCCUUCUCAUAAUUUCUCUCUGAAUGCCAACUUAUGGUGUUAUGUGCAAGAGGAGCCAAACAUUCUAAUGUAUGUGCGAGUACCGGACUCCAUUUUGCUGCAACGUCAGCAUCAUGGACAGAGGAAGAUUUACUUUUUGUGUCACAUUUGAGCUUAGCCCUCAGAACAGUUCUUAUUGUAGUUGGAAGCAUAUUGUAGAGUUCAUCUCUUGCUUUUAGGUCAAUCAAGUGAGGUGAUGAUGCCAUCUUCUCGAUCAAUACAAUUGUAUUCGCAUAAUGUAGGGCUAAAGCUGCAUCACCAAGGGUAAAAGAAGCCGGCUUUGACCUGUUGUUGACGCAUAAUUUAGAAUAUAUUCUAAUUCUGUUGGAGAUAGAUGAAUUAUCACCUGUUUUCAUUUUAUCAACAUGUUUCAUAUGACAAUCAUUCAACCUCAUAGAACCACCAUAACCAUUUGUCUGCACAUAACUCUGUAUGACAGGAGAAUUGUUUGAAACUGACAUGCAAUGUUUGAAUGGCCCGAUAUUUCCUAACUGCUUGCUGUCCGAUCGUUUGUGCUUUCCACAUUUUUCAGGUGGAUGGAGAGCCUUCUUAUGUUCCUUCUUUCUUUUGCUCUUGUCAAAUAAAAAGUUUGGCCUCUUAUGAACAGAUCCUGAGUUGAAUCCAUAGAGAUCAUUCUCUGAAGGAUAUAUCGAAGAAUGCAUAAAAACAGAAAAAGAUUGACUGCGCAGAAGAUUGUUAGCAUUCAUAUUCUGAGAAUCAAUUUCUUGCUGUAAAGAUGGGAGGUGAUUAUUUCCAAACACAAUUAUGAUCCUCUCAAGUACCGUAAAUAGCGAUUUUACCAGCAACUGGACAACAUAAUCAUAACUUCUAUUCCACGGAGACAUGUCUCUCAGAUUCCUCACUUCCUGGCGCUGACACACCACCUUCUUCUUAAACUCGAGCAAUUUUACCCGAUGCAGUUCAGGAUUUGCCUGCAUUCUCCUGAAAGUCUGUUCAACCUCAGCUAGUACCUCAAGCUCUUGACAAAAUUGUGUCAUGGAAGCAACAAAUUUCUCCAUUUUCUUCACUUUUCUCUCCAUCUUUUUCCAUUUAUAUUCCCACCCUGACCAUUGAAUAUAAUUUUGAACCGGAUUGCAAACAAAUUGUUCAAACCGAUGAUAAGCCGGAUCCCCACACCUCUUACCGAACCUAACAACAGACCGUGCUAGAGAUCGGAAGUUAUCGAGUAUAUCAUUCAAUGCAAGCUCCAUCAAGUAAUCAUCAUCUUCAGAAACCAGCAUUUUGACACCAACUGAGUUCACUAUCCCUUCCCUUAAACUUAAUACCUCCCAAUCACUCAAAGCCUGCCACAAAUUAGUUAUCUUCGACAUCAAAUUCACAACUUCUAGUGCCAAAAUUCCAACUACUGUCUUGUUAUCUAAUACAUUCUUGCGAGAGACAGGCCACAAAGAAUUGAACCAUGAACCAUUAUUCACCAUUUCACCUCUCAUUGAUUUCAAUCAAUCUUAUCCAAUGAAUAUUCACCUAACCAAUAAUCUAAUACACAUUCAAUAUCCUGAAAUCAAUCAAACCCACUAAUAAAAAUUAGAAAUUUAAAACCAACAAGAGAUUAUUAUAACACAUAUAUAUAUAGAGCAUCCAUUAAGAUAAUAACAAUUUGCAAUAUCAUCAUGAAAAUAGAUUAAUUUGAUAUAUUUAAGAAAACCCUAACCCCCAAUUAAAUUAUGGUCAUGUAUGGAAAAUGUUUGAUUUUAAACCCAAAUUUUAAAGUACUAAAACUAAAGUAAGAUACCAACAAAAAAUGGUAGUAGAGAAAAAGAAUAAGAAAAAAGAGAGAACACCUAAACAUACCCCCUGGAGUGGAAUUGAGGUGAAGGAGAAGAAUAAAGCAUCACCAGAUUCAAACGACAGAGACAGAAAUGGUAACAGAUAAGUGAUUGAUAUGGAAAUAUGUGAAAGUGGUGAGAGGGAANNNNNNNNNNNNNNNNNNNNNNNNNNNNNNNNNNNNNNNNNNNNNNNNNNNNNNNNNNNNNNNNNNNNNNNNNNNNNNNNNNNNNNNNNNNNNNNNNNNNNNNNNNNNNNNNNNNNNNNNNNAGGGAAUUUGGUAGAAACGAGGUAAGUUGGGAAUUUUGAGGAACUUGAAUUUAGUAAUUGGUUCGUGUUUGAUGCUGAAUGCGGAUUUCAUAUACCACUAUACUUUGCCAACAUUUAACUUUAACUUUGUUUUUACUUUUUAGUAGUACUCCUUUUUUAAAGGCCGUUUUGAAAAUUGUUAUGUGGGACCAACAGGAAAUGGUACACACUUCAGAAUUAUGAAUUAAUCUAGAUUUUAGUAAUGGAUCGUUUCGAAUGUAAUUUAUAUGUGAGAAAGUAAUAUGUGAUUUUUUAUUAUUUAAACACGUUACUCUUUUUUAUGUAUAAAUUAUCCAUCUCCUUUGCUAAAUUGUCCUAGUGGUGGUUGAUAAUGUUAUGGAUUUAAUUUAAUUUUCUUUAACUUCUCCGUCGUCUCGUUGUGCUAUGCUAGGGGCAGUUGGUGAGUUUGUUGAAAUUAGGGGUAUAUCUAUGUAUUGUACGAUAGCGUGAUGAAGAAUGAGGACACAAAAUCUUGUCUAUAUCGGUAUUGGGAAUUGGCGGAAUGUGUUGGCUAGUAAAAUGGUGCUGUACAUGUUGAUUUUGAUACAAAAUGGCUUUGGUUUGUAUUUUUGUGCUUUGCAAUUUAGGGUAUCUUUAGAUAGUUUUAAAGGAGCUAAAGGAAUGGAAUAUAGGUGGAAGAUAAUAGAUUGAAGUAGAAUAAAUGGUAAAGUUAGUAUUUUAUUGUUUAGAUAUUUUAUGAUUUUUUUUCUUUACAUUUUAUGAUUAACGAAAACAAAAUUUAUAUUUUUCAAUCAAAUAUAAUUUUAUUUUAUUUUAUUGUUUUAUAAGUGAAUCCAAUAUAACCGGUGAGUAAUAGUUUUUAUAUUAUUUUUUAAUUUAGAUUUAAAUUUAUUUUUUAUUAUAUUAUUUUGUCAAAAAUAAAUAUUUAGUAUCUUAUUUUUAAAAUCAGUUUUCUGGAUUCUGUUAAAUAAAUUUUGCGAAUAAUUUUGUUUUCAUCAUUUAAAUAGUUUUUGUAUCUUGAAUAAAAUAAUUUUUAUAUCAUUAUUAUUGUAAUUAAUUAAUUUAUAUAUUAAACUAUUAAAUAUAAAAUAAAUAAAAUUUUAAAUAUUUUAAUAUAUAAAUAAAAUUAAUUACACUAAACAAUAAUGAUAUGAAAAAACAAAUCAUAAAAAAAUCAUUAUUCAACUCAUAAAUAUAUAUAAGUGUCGUACUAUUAACGAGAGUGUUACAUCUUUAGAAAAUACAUAAGAUAAAAAAAAAUCUCAAAAAUUAAUUUAUAAUAUCAAAAAAUCAAUUUUAAAAAUAAUUAGCACAAAAUGUUCAUUUAAAAAAAUACAUUUAAACCUCUAAUAUGAAACUACAUCAAUAAAAUCAUGUUUUAAGUUGUAGUGGCUAGACUAAGAGUGAAAGUUAUUUUUAUAAGAAUUAAUUGGAUAUCUUACUUCUAUCUGAGAAGUAUGUGACCUUUAACAUUUUCCACAAAUAUAUCAAUAUGAUUUUUGAUCAAAUGAAGAUGAUUUAAUAAUGGAGGCCAGCAUGCUCAACUGUGACACUAAUACAUAGAAUUCUCAUGUGUUAGAGCCAAUAAUACAUUUACGAGGUAAUGGAUUCUAGUCCCCUUGAUUUAGGUCGAGGUCCAUUUUGAAACACAAAACAUGUCUUAAAACUUUAAUAAAUUACAUAAGUUAUCGUCUUUCCACUUGUAUCCAGAAGAAUAAUAAUAUUCAAAAUCCUUUAUUCCUCACAAUGCUAAGUUAUUCGAGAAUGAAAGACCCAAAUUGUAUGCAUAACAAUGAAUGCAUAUAUCUAAUCUGAUCAAUCAUAGUUACACGUGACAGCGCCAAGGUGCGUCACGUGGCAGAGAGUUCUAGCAAAUCCGAGAACACCGACCUGUCUUCCACCACUUCGAGUACAUUCUGGUCUCUAAAUAUUCGAAACAUUAAAUCUCCUACCUAUAAAGCCACCUUAAACAUUAUUAUUCACUAUAACACAAUACACAAAAAUGAAGCCAAUUGACGAGAAGCAAGAGAAGGUAACAAUAAGAGCGGUGAGUCACGACGAAGAAGGAAAAAAAAGAGUAGAAAAAACAGAGCUCAACACACACAACAUAGACACAAUCAAAUACGUUGAAAAGAAGCUCAUCAAUAAAGGUGUCCAGCGUCAGGAUCGCCACCCUGUCGACAACAUAGGAAUCAGCCGUCCGCCGCCGAAGUCCGGUCACGGCGGAAAGUUCACUUGGGAAGGUCCUGAUGACGUGGCUUAUAACGAAUUGAAUGCGGCGCCGGCGGCGAUUGAUGAGAAGGAUCCUAAUUAUGUGGAUGAGGAAGAGGAAGAUGAGACAAAGGAAUUUGUUGUUGGUGAGGUUGAUGUUGCUAAGGCUG